AGUAAUGUUCAUUGGGCUAAACCCAAUUUGCCCUAAGAAAACAAAAUAACAAUAGGUAGCAGGCCAUCAUCUGUUUAGCCUACACAAAACAAAACAAAAAAGAGAAAAUAAAUGAAAUUUUAAAUUGCUUCCAGCCGAACAGUCAGUUGGUCCUCAUAAAUGAUUCUGACUUUUCCUCUGCCCAAGACCACUGAAACGUAAAAGCAUAUCUUCUCAAAUCUUUUCCUUGUCAAUUUGCUUUUCAGAACAGUGCUAUUUCCUACCAUUUCAAGCAUCGCCCCAUAUUACUGAAAGCUGAGGUCUUCCCAUUUUCUUUUACUCUGAAGAACCCAGAUGAUUUGGCUCUGAUUCUCUUCUAGAUGAUCUUAAGGUCUCUCCCUCCAGGUACUGUUCCUCUCCCUUCUUAAGUGUUUCUUUUGCUAGACGAUGGGCUUCUGUGUUUUCUAACCUCGGGAUAAAAUAGAAUCUGAUUUCUUGAUACUGAUCCUUUAAGCUUUGAAUAUCACUGAUUAUUGCCCCUAUUUCUGAUAUGUCUCGACUUGUAUUUUGGCAUUUUGUAAUCACUGUUCUUGAGUCUCCGGUUAUAUCUAAAGUAUGAUAGCCCAACUGAAUCCCUAACCUUAUUGCUUGUAAACCUGCAAAUGCUUCUGCCGCGAAUGGAGAUGCAAUAUUUUCAUGAAGGGUCGACUUUACUGCAACGAUCCUACCUUCCUCAUUUCUAACAACUAGGCCUGACGCAGAUCUGGAAUUCUGUAAGUCGAAAGCCACAUAAAAAAAAAAGAUGGCCUUUUUCGCCCUUUGUAAACUUUGUCUAUGCCUCACACUAGUUUCCACGUUGAGUUCCUUAUCUCUACUCCCUUCCAGUUCCAGAAUAUAGCUUUUUAUUUGUUUGGAGAUAUCUCUGCUAGUGCUUGAUCUGUUUUCAUAUAAUAAUUUAUUUCUGUUUGUCCAGAUUAACCAGAGCCCGCAACAGAAAUCCCUGCACUGUUCGUUUGUCCCUUGGCUGAAAACCCAAGUAAGCCAACUCCAGAUAUCCAAAUGACUAUUGUUGAGUAUCCAUGAAAAAUUUAAGUGACUCCAUAUUUCCUUUGCUGUAGGGCACAGAUGGAAAACAUGGAAACUAUCUUCUCCUUCCUGACCGCAUCUCGAACAUCGAUCCUCAGCCAUCACUUUUCGCAGCUCUAGAUUGGAGAAAAUGGGAAUGUAAUUCCACGCUAUUUUUCAUACUGUAAUCUUGAUUUUUAAGGGCAUAUGUAAAUUCCAUAGUUUUCUGUAGAAAUUUUUAGUAUCGGUCUGUAAAUAAACACUAGGAUCAAUUGUAGCUUUCUGUAAUAGUAUAUAGGCACUCCUUACUGAAAAGUCACCAGUUGCCUCCCCUCUCCAUACUUGGAUGUCUUUAUGGAUUAACUUUGAAAGCGGAAUCUGUAGUAUUUUCCUAGUGAUAUCCGAGUUAAAGGUACGGACAAUCAAGUGUCUAUUCCAUGUUCUGCUUUCCUCAUUGAUUAAGUCAAACACUACUCUAAUAUUUUUAAUGUUGCUGUUAUUCUGUAUUCUGUCUACAGUCAUUCUCGGCACCCAUAGAUCAUUCCAUACUGAAAUGUGGUCUCAUUUACCAACUCUUUAGCAUAAUCCAUCUGUGAGGAGUUUUUUUGUUGACCAAAUACUCCUCCAGGUAAGUGAAGGUAAGUUACUCAAAAAAGCAUUUAAGAAGUUUGUUGUUGAAAAAUAUUUCACUUUUAAAACUUGGGCUAAUAAAGAACUCGGAUAAUUAAAAAGACGCCAACCCUGUUUUGCCAGCAAAGCUAUGUUAAAUUUAUCAAGACUUCUAAAACCUAACCCACCCAAUUCUUUUUCAAUGCAAAUAUCCUCCCAAGCACACUAAUGGAUCUCUCUUUUUUCCCCUUAUUUUUCUGCCACCAAAAUUUUGCAAUAAUACCAUCUAAUUCCUUGAAAAAAGAUUUAGGGAGUAAAAAACACGUCAUUGAGUAGGUUGGUAUAGAUUGUAAAACAGCUUUGAUGAAAACCUCUUUACCUCCUUGUGAGAGAUAUCUGAUACUCCAAUUGUCAAUUCGUUGCUUGAAUCUAUCCUUCAGCAUCUGGAACGCUGCCUUAUUCCUUCUACCCACCAGGCUAGGUAGCCCUAAAUAUCUUUCCAUAUCAUCUGAACUUCGUACCCCAAUAACUCGAAUAAUUGUUCUUCUUUCUCCUUCCUAAGUAUUGCUGCUGAAAAAAAUUGUGGAUUUUGAAAAGUUAACUUUCUGACCCGAGCAAAUUUCAUAUUCACGGAUGACCUGUUUUAAAAAAAAUUAAACCCCUCUCAGUAGCUUCCCCAAACAGUAUGCAAUCAUUCGCAAAAAGUAAAUGUGAAACAUGCGGCCCGCUUCUGCUUGUUUUGACACCUCUUAUUUUGUUCUCCUGCAUACCUAAUUUCAUAAGGCUAGAGAGACCUUCUCCAUAGAACAAGAAUAAGAACAGACUCAACGGGUCCUCUUGUCGUAAUCCUCUUGAAGGAUAAAAGAAGUCUCCAUUAUGUCCAUUAAGGACCACUGAAUAUGAAACUCUAUUAACGCAUCUUAAUAGUUGGGUCACCAACUCUGAAUCAAAACCCAUUUUCUUUAUUAUUUCCUCCACAAAAUUUCAUUCCACCCUAUCAUAUGCCUUGCUCAUAUCCAACUUGACCGCCAUAAAACCCUUCUUCCCUGACCGCUUCUGUUUCAAUGUAUGGAUUAAUUCAUAAGCCAGCAACACGUUAUCUGAGAUCAAUCUCCCAGGCACGAAAGUGCUUUGUGCAGGAUCAAUGCAUUUGUCUAACACUUUCCGAAUGCGAUUAGCAAAAACUUUAGCCAUUAAUUUGAAGAUUACAUUACACAAACUAAUAGGCCUAAAGUGCGAUAUAUCUAUUGGAUUUGAAAUUUUCAGAAUUAAAACAAUAUUUGUUCUAUUGACUGGGCCUAUCUCCAUCUUUCCAUUCAGUUGAUCAAGACAAUAAGAAGUGACCUCCUCUCUGAUAAUUGCCCAACACUUCUGAUAGAAUAACGUUGGAAAUCCAUAUUCCCCUGGUGCCUUAGUGGGCCCUAAUUCUGCCAAAGCCUGCUGAAUUUCCUCCUUUGUAUAUCUCUCUUUUAACAUUAAAUUAUCUUCAUUUGAAAUACAUCGAUGAACUCCAGAUAAAACAUGCUCAUAAUUUGCAGAUAUGCCAGUGAAAAAUAACUGUUUGAAAUAUGAUCUAGCAAUCAUUUUCAUUUCUUUUCAUUCUUCCGUCUCCCUCCCAUCAUCGUUCUUCAUUUUGUGAAUCAGGUUCCUCUGUCGUUUCUGUGUAGCUUGUUUGUGGAAAAAGGCUGUAUUUUUAUCCCCAAAUUUUAACCAGUUAACCCUCGCUAUUUGUUCCCAAAAGCACUCAUCCUUUUCGAUCUCGAAGUUAAGUUGGAUCUUUGUAUCAAUCUGGUCGGCUAGAUUUUCUUCAUUUCUUUCUGCUUCUAGUAGUGAAGCCAAUUUUGAUGAUAACAACUUCUUCCUUUCUUUUCUAGAAAAUCGAAUUUGACUAGCCCAUCGCUCCAGCCCCCUUUUCAUACUGUCCAACUUGCUUAAAAACUCUCCUUCAGAAUGUCCCAUAUGUCUUUAACCGUAUUUUAAGAACGAGUCCUCCAGUACCCACCAUGCUUCAAAUUUGAAACAUUUUUGUAUUCUCUCUCUGCACCCCUUCUUUGUGUUAACCAGUAAUGGGCAAUGGUCAGAAAACGUAUAUGGAAGAUGUUGAAGCUAAAAAUCAGGAAAUAAAUGCAGCCAAUCUUCUGUCGCCACUCCUGUAUCUAACCGCUCUUGAAUAUUAUUUUCAGGUAAGUUCCCCCUUUCCCACGUAAACCAGUUUCCAAUAAACCCCAUAUCAGAUAAAUUAAAUUCCUCUAAAGUCUUACAAAAACCUUCCAUUCGUCCUUCCUCUCGCACUAAACCGCUUUUUUUUUCAAAACUAUACAGAAUUUCAUUAAAAUCUCCACAAAUCAUCCAUGGUAACUCCCUACCCAUACCUAACUGCCGUAAUAGGUUUCAUGUCUUAGCUCUAUCAUGUGAAUAUGGAGACCCAUAAAAACCUGUAAACCUCCGUUUGUAUCCUUCAUCCUCUUCAUCAAUGAUCACAUCAAUAUGCUGUUUUGAAAAACUCUGAAGCUGAAUAUUUUUAUACUCGCACCAAGCCAAACACAGCCCACCUCUAGAACCAUCUGAACUCACAUCAAUACCGUUUAAAAACCUACAACUCCUUCGAACUCUUUCCAUUUGAUUAUUACUUAUUUUUGUCUCCAUGAAGAAGACUACUUGGGGAUUAUAUAAGUUCAGUAUAUACCGAAAUCUCCGAAUUGUCCGUGGACUCCCCAAUCCACGGAUAUUCCAGCUUAGGAUUUUUAUUGCACUCGGUCGGCUUGCCACUUGGCAGCCACCGAUGAUUGAUGACUAACCUCUAUUGUUCUCCUACUCUUUGCCGCCAAAAUAUUUGUCUCCUCUUUGGUCAGAGCUGCUUCCAUCUCCCUUCUGUUUCUCUUCUUGCCCUCCUCACCAAUAAACACUUCAUCUUCAAGAUCAUGUUCCAUUGAGUUAUUCAUCAGAAUCCCACUCCAAUUCUCAUUUACUUCCCAUGUUUGAGAUCUACUUCCUACAAGGUUUAUCCUUAAUAUUGGUGUAACAGCCCAAUUUCGACUCUAAUCGAACAUAGUGGUUUCAGGACCACAACUCCAAGACCAAAAAAAAAUAUUUUAAUAUUAUUUUGUCUGUUUAUUUUGUGUGCAUUUGAUUGUGUGAAAUUUUCGUGUUUUAAUUUUGUUGUUUGAGUGUCCGAUUAAAUAAAAGGAUUAAAUCACGUAAAAUAAAAAUUUAAUGGUUAAAUAUGAAAGUGUCUAUUUGUUGUUGUCUUUAUAAUUUGGAGGAUUUAAGAAGCAAUUAGCCCACCAUUAGGUGAGUGGAUGGCAAUGGUCAAGAAUGACCUUAUAAUAUGUGUUAUACAUUAUAUUUUAACAAAGGUUAAUUAAGUAAAUUAAUUAUUAUGGUUAAUAUAUGUUAAAUAUAACAAAUUUAAAACAUGUUCUUCAUCUUUUUCUACCGAAACCAAGAGAGAAAAUAAGGGUUCAAAGCUUUGGAAAAUUCGGCACUUACAAAGCUUGAUUAAGGUAUGAAUAUUGUUCGGUUUUUGAUAAUUUUUAUGUUUUUGAGAUCGUUGCUUCGGGUACUAUUCGACCCAUGCUUGAAUUUUUGAUUUUGAUGAAUAUUUUGAGCUAUGCCAUUUAUGAAUAAUUGUGUUUUGUGAUGUUUGAUAAUGAAUAAUGAAAGAUAUGUUUUAGAUUAAUAUGUUUUGUAUUGGAAUUUUUGGUGAAAUUGAGUAAAUAGGGUGAAAUUGCAAAAAUAAUAUUUUUAGAGACUAAAAUGUGAAAUAAAUGAAAUGAGUGGACUUGUAUGAAGACAAGGAACAUUCGGCCCUAGCUUAGUGUGGGCAAAUUUUGUGUAUUUUGUGUUUUGUGCAAAAAGGACUAAAUUGCAAAAAGUGUAAAAUGUUAGGGGCAAAAUAGUAAUUUUCCCAUUUAUGUAUUUUUGGACUUAAUUGAAUAUUUUGAUGAAUAAAAAGGUUAAAUUUGAUUAUGUUUAGAUCAAUAAACAAAGAGAGCGGAUUUGGAUCGGGGAAAAACGAAAGUAAUCGAAUAGUCGAUCGUGUCCUUUGAUAUCCGAGGUAAGUCUAUUAGCAAUUUGAUGUUAUUAAAUCAGCAUAUAUGUAUGUAUAUCUAUUGUAUUUUGAUGAGUUGAAAUCGAAAGUAUAUAGAUUGAAUUUGGUUAAAGUAUGAAUGAUAUUUAUAUAUAUAUGUAUACAUAAGGUCCGAAUAUAUAUAAGUAUAUACAUGUAUAAACCCUUAGACUUGGUUAAAGGCAUGAAUGUUAUAUAUAUGUAUAUGUGAGUUGGAACAUAUAAGUAUAUACCUGAAUAAGUCUUGAAUAUAUUUAAAGGUAUGAAAGUUAUGUAUGUAUAUGUAAUUUCGAAUAUGUAUAUGUAUAUAUAUAUGCAUAUCUAUUGUUUAUUUGGUGAGCUAUAAUUAAAAGUAUAUGGAUCGAAAUUAGUUAAUGUAUGAAUGUUAUAUAUAUAUGCAUAAAUGAAGUUCGAACAUGUAUAUAUAUGUAUAUGAUCUUAAAUUUAGUUAAAGGUAAGACUGUUAUAUAUAUAUAAGAUUCGAAAAUGUAUAUAUUUAUGUAUAAGAUUUUGAAUUUAAUUAAAGGUAUGGACGAUAUAUUUAUAUAUAUAAGGUUCAAAUAUAUAUAUGUAUAUAUAUAGGUAUAAGUUUUUGAAUAGAAUUAAAAGUAUGAAUUCUAUAUAUAUAUACGUAGGUGUGAGGUUUGAAUAUAUAGUUAUGUGUAUAUAUAUGUAUUUGAAUUGAAUGUAAAGUAUGGACUUUACAUAUGCAUGUGUGUGGUUCGAAUAAAUAUAUAUACAUAUACAAAUACUUGAGUUGGAUUAAAAGUAUAAUUUGUAAAUGCUUAUAUGAUUCAAACAGGGAUUACAAAUUUCUUUUUGAGAUAAAGUUGAGGUUGUGAAUUAUACAUAAAUGUUAUGAACAUGUGUUGCUAUUAAGAAAUAUACGAGGAAAUCAUCUUUGUAUCUGUGAAAUUGAAAUUUUCAGGUUAAGCGCCUAGAAGGCUUAAUGCCGGUGAAUUUUUCAAAUUAUAAGUCUAGCAGGCUAAGUGCCGGUGAUUGAAAUCAGGUUAUAAACCUAGCAGGCUACGUGCCGGUGAUAUGAAUCAGGCUAUAAGCCUAGCAGGCUAAGUGCCGGUGAAUAUGUUAAAUUAUGUGAUUAUAUGCAUUAGAUAGAUUUAUAAAUAUAACUAAUUUUGGGUUAUAUAUAUAAUGAAUAAGUAUAUGAAUAUUUAUUUAUAUGUGUUCGAUGAGCUUAUAAAUGUUUCAACCUAUGAGUUUAGUGAAUAGGCAUAUAUAUAUUGGUUGAUAUGAAAAUUGUUGAAUAUACUUGUACGAAAUCGACACAUGUGGCUUAGAAGUAUAAAUGUGCAUAUGAUUCAUGUAGUUUAUAAGUGGAAAUAUAAGUUUUUGACAUAUGUUUUUGAAAGAUCAUAAACAAGCAUUCAAUGAAAUGCAAAUGAUAAGUAUAUUUGGAAUAUAUAUAUGCAAUUAAUGAUUAUGUAUGUAACUUGAUUUUUAGGUAUAUAAUGAUUAUACAUGUGAUCGUUUAUAUGUAUUUUGGUUAUGCUAUAAACUUACUAAGCUAUAAAAGCUUACUUUGAAUGUUUUUGUUCAUUUGUUUUAUAGAUUUUGGAGACGCGUUACGAGCUCGGGGAUCAUCAGCAUAGUCUAUCACACUAUCGACUUCUUUUGGUAUUUUAUUAACAGUUUGAACUCGAUCUUAUGGCAUGUAUAGGUUUGAGUAUGAUUUUGGUUAGAUUUGGAUUGUAUAUAUAUAUAAAUAGCCAUGCGAAGAUGGUUUAAUUUCCAUGUUUGUGAUCAGUUUGGUUUUUUUAAAAAAAUGGUUGUGUUUGUUCGGUAAUGCCUCGUAACCCUAAUUCGGCGACGGAUACGGGUUUGUCAUCAUUAUUAUCCAUAUUUUCAUUAUUAUCCCUAUUUUCCGCUAGAUCUCUUGAGUUAUUCCUUAUAAAUUGUCUUUUCCCAUUGUUCCCACGCCCCUGUUCCUCUCCUUCUUCUCGCAACCAUACGCUUGUCAUCAUUUGGGCUCGUCGAGACUGUGCCCUAAGUGAUAAGUCCAAUCCAAUCUCUUUAGUUUCCACUCCUCCCGUCAUCCUUACUUCACAAAAUGAAUCACUAUGGCCCAAGGGGCCACAAUAAAAGCAAAAAAGUGAUAGCCUUUCAUAUUUAAACCAAACGUAUGAACACUUUCUAUAACACAUUAUCUGUUUUUCCUUUUCAAAGGACACUUUAUAUCAAUUUUGACUCUUAUUCUCAUGAAAUUUCUACUUUCUUUUCCUAGACUUGAGCCAUCAUACUCCAUGAACUCUCCUAUGAAAUUUCCUAUUUGAAUUGCCAGAUUUUUCAAGACAAAACCGAUUGGAACAUUAUAUAGUUGAACCCACAAAGGCGAGUAAAUUAAUGAUGCCUUCAAAGGAUCCUCCCCCCUUUGCAACUUAUGAAGAAUCAAUAAAUGAUUGUUAAAAGUCCAAUGUGAACCUUUGAUAACCCUUUCAAGAUCCAUUAUAUUAAAAAAUUGAAAUAAAUACCUUUUUUCCCCCCGAUCUCUAAUCUGAACUCCUUUUACGGGGUACAAAAAAUUUGCCAUUGUACUCCUCAUUGCUGGAAAAUGAACAAUACUUGCUGUUAAAAAGCAUCCCACCAAUUGCAAAACUUUCGUUUCUCUAUCAGUGUCCGCUUUGGUUUGUACUUGUAGAAUUUCAUCUUUCUCCUCCUCCAGAAAUAGUCCCGUAAAUUCCUUCUCCAUACUAACUUGUUCCUUCGAUUGCUAGAUUAAAGAGAUCUGAAUAUGAAGUUGCUGUCACAUCAAGAGACGGAAAGCAGAAACAAGAUAAAAACCUAAAAAAAUAAGAGAAAACCCUAAAAACUGCAAGAGAGUGCAGACAGAGGCAUGCUAAUUUAGCAGACUACUAACUUUUACUAUUCAUUUCAAGUUAUUUUAGGAUCAACAAUAGUUAACACUUAAUUUUUUUAGUUUAUCAAGCACACCCUAAAACUCUUGUCAAGCACCCGUUUGACACGUUAAUCAAGAGUUAAUUAUACUAUACAUCCAUAAACAAUGGCUCAAAUUUUAAAACUUAUUUACUUAAAAAUAUAAGUAUAAUAUCAAUCAAAUCUUUUUAAUUAUCUAGUCAUUAAUUUGGGUGUUAAGUUGACACUUGUUCUCAAGGAAUAAAACAAGAAGUUACAAAAAUAAUGAAAAUGGGUUAUAAAUUAAAGUAUUAAAUCAACUCUGAAUAUAUUAAUUUAUAUAAAUAUCUCAAUAUUGCUUGUACCCAAAAAAAAAACCUUAAUAUGCCACGUUGGCAGCUUCAAAUUUUCCCAUUUCCAGAAUUACUAAUUUUAUUUGACUAAAAUAAUAAAACUGUCAGGUAGAAGUGUUUAUAGUUCAGGUUGGAUUUGGACCUAAGUAUGAUAUUAACAUGCUUUAUGUUUAUUCCGGUUUAACCCGGCCCGAAAUGUGAACUUAAAAUUUUGUCUAAAUUUAUUCAUAUUUGUAAAAAACUAAUCCAAACCCACUUUAGGCCCGUCUAUAUUAUUUUUAAUUAUUUUAAUUUAAUAUUUUUAUGUAAUCAUCUUAAUAUUAUUUUAAUGUUUACGUUAAAGGUGUUAUAUAUUUAAUAUAAGUUUGUUUAUUUUUUAAUUUGUUAUAAAUUACAUAAUAUAUAAAAAUAGCAUAAUAUAAAAUAUUUUAAACUUAAAAAUGGGUCAUGGUCGGGCCUUAAACAUUUAAGGCCCGUUCCCGACUCAUAUUUUAAACAGGCCUAUUUUUUUGUUAAAACUCAUUCUUCAAGCCUAAUAUUUUUCCUCAAAUCCUUUUUAAAUUUUGAAUAGGGUUUGAGACCUAGACUAAUAAUCCAACCUAUAAACAUACCUACUGUGGAGUCUAACCUAAUGUUUACUACCCAUUCAAUAUAUAUUGGGCCUAACCCAGCAAAGACAUGAAAAUUUUAAUUAUUAUUUUUAUAUCUUUCAAUUUUAAAUUUCCAAUAUAAUUGUAGAAUCAUUUGCAUAUUAUUUCCCAUUAGUAUUUGUCGGUAAAUUACCAAUAAAAGCCUUUUUUUUAAAUUACUAAAAUGGGUCCAUUAUUUUAUUAUUUACCGGAAUGAUCCUUUUCCGCGAAAUCGCAUCCACGUCAGCGCGAUGUCAGGGUACACGCCAGCAAAUCGCGUCCACGUCAGCAACUCGCGUUGACAUGGACGCGAUUUAGACCGCGCGUGAACUGUACGCAACGGUCAAAAAUUUGACCGUUGUCCCCCCAACGGUCAAAAAAAACUAUAAAUACCCCCACCCCUUUUUAUUUUUUCACAAACAAAUCCUCUCUCAUAUUUCCUCUCAAUUCCUCUCAAUUUCUUUCCAAAAUUCUCUCAAAUUCAUAUUUAAUUUCAAUUUCCUCUCAAUUUCCUUCAAAAAUUCUCUCAAAUCCAUAUUUAAUUUCAAUUUCCUCUCAAUUUCCUUUUUUAAAAUAAUUUUAAAUUUUUUUAUGUUUUUAUAAAUCGUAAAAAUUUGUACGAUUUCAUCAAUGGCCGGAUCAUUGACUCGUCUUGAUAGGCAUCACAUAUCGGUGGAACAAAUGACAAUGGUAAGUGUUAAAUUUAAUUUUUAAAUAUUAUUUAAGAAUUUUUUAUUUAUGUAUUUUUAGAUAAUUAUUAAUUUAUUAUUUGUUAUAAAAGUCUGAAGAUCGGGUAUUUGAAUGCAUAUCCGGAAUAUGCAUGCUCUUCCAUCACUGUUGGUAGAGAACUACCUGCGGGAAGCAGGUUUUUGGCACGUGGCGAUGGUAGGCCGGGGAUGCAAGUUGGACCCGAAAUUGAUCAGUGCGUUGAUCGAGAGGUGGAGACCCGAGACGCACACAUUCCAUCUUCCAUGUGGAGAGUGCACUAUCACUCUAGAAGAUGUUAGUCUGUAGUUGGGAUUGCUGGUGGACGGGCACUAGUCACCGGGUCUGCCCAAUCUAGCAAUUGGGAGGCAGUAUGCUACGAGCUUUUGGGCGCUAUUCCAGAGAAAAUGGAGGGAGGUAAGGUCGAGAUGGGCUGGUUACGUGACACAUUCCCUGAUCCGGAUGAAGAUUCAACUGAAAUUGAAAGAAUCUGAUAUGCUCGGGCAUACAUUCUUCAAAUAAUUGGAGGUUAUCUGAUGCCCGACACGUCACAGAGCCACGUACAUCUAAGAUGGCUGCUAAAACUCGUUGAUUUUAGAACAGCCGGUGAAUUGAGUUGGGGGUCUGCCGUCUUGGCAACAUUAUACCGGGAGAUGUGCGGGGCGACGCGACCGAGGAGAGCAAACAUCGGAGGUUGCCUGUCACUACUGCAGUCAUGGGCACAGUUUCACUUUCCAUUUCUACGUCCUCGAGUGAACCACCCAUAUACAUUCCUACUCAUAACGAGGUAAAAUUUAUUAUAUUACAUUUUACAAUUAUUAUGUAGAUUUUUUAAAAUAAAAGUAUGCUAAAAAUUUAUUUAAUUAGGUGGAACCAUCCGGCAAGUUAUGCUCAAUUACCGUCCUCUCUUGAAUAUAUACAACUUCUAUUGGACCAACGGUCGGAAGCAGAAGUAAGUAUUAUUGCAAAUAGAUAUUUCCAUACAUUCGCUAUUCGAUUGAUAUUUAGUAUUUAGUAUUUAGUAUUAUGUAUAUACCUAAUAUUUCUAUCAUGUUCAUAUAGUUUUAAUGGACACCAUACGAGGAUCCAGCAAUUCGGGCAGUAAUCCCGAAAGAGUUUUUACAAAAUCCACAAGCUUGGCACGUGAAAGUCGUGAUGGUCAACUACGCAACUGUGGAGCCGCACCAAACACACAGAGUGCUACGACAGUUUGGAUGCAGAUAACCGAUUUUGGUGGAUCCUGAGGAGUUUGACGAUCAACACAAAAUCGACCCUCAGCAAUUGAAUACGGAUUGGCCGAGAUACUGGUCUGAGUACAUGAAAAUGUGGGAAGAUCGAUAUGAAUAUCUACCUACUCGGGAACCAAUCAUCGUUCCGGAGUUAUCGUGCAUUCCAAAAUACAUGCCAUGGUUUAGGAUCCAUGGCAAGCCGUAUUUCUUGACGCCAGAUGAGAGGCAGUGGUAAAUAUGUGUUGAAAGGAUAAGGCGCGGGCCUCUAAAUCCAAGAUGACGAGAUGAAAACAGCCCCUUAACGAGGCCCAAAAAUUCACCCGGCUCAUCAUCAGCGGCCAUAAAGAUCACCAGGCCCAACGAUAGCACCGACGCAGCAGUUCAACCUAUGAUACCCACGCAACCGCCUUUUCAGAUGAUGCCAGGUGCGUUUCCUAGCCCUUAUAUGUACCCUAACUCUUAUAUGUAUCCUUUUCCAAGUCAUAAGGCAGGUUGGAGCCAAAUGCCCUGUAAUAGCCUGAAUUUUCAGUGGUGUCAGAAUGGUGAUUCGAGAUCACUAAAUCUGACAAAUGAGUAGAAAAUAUUAUUAAAUUAGUAAGAAUAAGUAAAUGUGAAGUUAGGAAAAUUUUUGAAAUAGUGAAUAGUGUACUAGGAAUAAAUAUUGAAAUAAUUAAAAUAAAAAAACGAGGUAUCGAUACCUCAAAGAUUUUAAAUCGAGCCGUAAAUAUUUUUAGAAAUAUUUAUAGAGUGUCAUUGAGUUGGUAUUAAAGUUUUGUUAGAAAAUUUUAACGUUCGGAUAGUCAAUUAACUAAAAAGGACUAAAUUAAAAAUAGUGUAAAAUUUGUUAAAUUAUGAUUAAAUAGCUUAAGUGACUAAAAAGGAGGGAUUUGAAAGGCAAUUAGGCCCAAAUUAUAUGGGCUGGACGGUUGAGCAAGAAAAAAAAUCUGGAAAAGUGAUGUAAUAAGGGUAAAAUUGGAAAUUUUGUAAAAGUGAACAAAUAAAAAUCUCAAUUAAAAGAGUUUCUAGGUAAUUCUUCAUAAUUAUCAGCUAAAAAAACGCCAUUGAAGAGUCCCUACAAGCUGUUUUUUCAUAUAUUUGAAUCAUGUAAGUUUAAUUCUUGAUUAUUUCUUCUAAUUUUUGUGGUUUUGAUACUUUUACAAUUAGGUCUAACUAAUUAUUUCAUUAGUUAUUGAUUUUAUGGCUGAUUUUGAAAGUUACCAUUGAUGAGUACUGAAUUUUUAUGAUGAGUAAACAUGGAAUUAAAGCUUUAAUUUUGUUAUAUGAUGAUUUUAUUAAGUAAUUUUGAUAGAAAUUGAUUUUAGGGACCUAAUUGUGAAAAGUUUGGAAUUAGGGUUUGGUGUUUCGGUUUUGAAUAUGAAAGGAUAUGUAGUAGUCUAAAAUAGUUGGACAAGGUGUCAAUUGAGAAAAAUUAGAUCAAUUGAGGGGUUAAUUGAGUAGGGACCAAAUUGUAAAAAAACUAUAAAGUUUGGGGUAAAAGUGUAAUUUUGAAAAUUUAAGGGCAUAAAUUGUGAAAUGAAUUAGAAUAGAAUUAUAUGCUGAUGAAUGAAUAAAUUUUUAUUUUAGAUCGAGAACCUGAAGCAAGCCGAGGAAAAGAAAAAAGUAGUUGAUUAGUCCCUGAACUUUUACAAAUUUUGCAAAUUGACCCAGGUAAGUUCAUAUGGCUGAAAUUUAAUGAUUAAAUGUUAAUUUCAUGAAUUAUAUAAUGUAUGAUGAAAUGUAUUUAUUGUUGAAAUGAGAGUAAAAUAAAAAUGUGAAAAUCGAAUAAAUGAUCAAAUUAAGCGGAACGCCGGAUUUGAGUACUUCUGAUCAAGAGAUAAAGUGAUAAGUGGUAGCUUUAGCUACACUUAUCUGAUCAAGUGACAAAGUGAUAAGUGCUACACUUAUCUGAUCAAGAGACAAAGUGAUAAGUGGUAGCUUUAGCUACACUUAUCUGAUCAAGUGAAAAAGUGAUAAGUGCUAUACUUAUCUGAUCAAGUGAAAAAAGUGAUAAGUGCUAUAUUUAUCUGAUCAAGUGAUAAAGUGAUAAGUGGUAGCUUAGCUACACUUAUCUGAUCAGGGACAAAUGAUAAGUGAUUAUACAUAAGACCAUAGUUAUACUAUGGCAAAGUGAAAGUGAAGUACUCAAUUUUCCGUAACCGUUCUUUAAUUUUGAUUAAGGAUGGUAAGUGACAAAUGGGCUGGAGGAAUUAUGGUAAAAGAAUAAGUAAUAGUGAGUUAUACCAAGGAACUCACCAAAGAUUGUGGUUGACAGGUAAACUUAGUAAUGGUGUAUUAUGUAUAAGUGUAUAAAUGUUUGGUAAGAUUUAUGUUUGUGCCUAUGAACUUACUAAGCUUUCUAUAAGCUUACAUGUGUGUGUUUAUUGUUUUUGUAGAUUAACGUAUUUAUACAUUCGGAGGAUCGGAUCUACAUCGAGAAUCACACUAUCCAGAUUUACUCCGGUAGAUUUUAUUAAACAACUUUUUGGAUUUAUAUGGCAUGUAUAAGGAAUUGAAGUAAAAAGUAAUAGAAUGAAUGACUAAGUAUGCAAAGUAAAUUUGAAUGUGAUGGUUGUGUUAGAUAUUGAAAAAUACAUGUUUUUAGUUUGAAAUGGUUGAUUGGUUGAACUUCAUUAGUAUUCAAGUGAAGUAGUUGAAAUACUAGAAUUGGUUGUGAUUUGAAAUUUGCAGGGAAGGUUAGAUAAAUAUAAAAGGGGUUAUAUUGAAUUUUUUUUAAAUUUCAAUGGAAUAGUUUUUGGACAGCAGCAUUGAUGUCACUUUGAAAAAUCACCAAAAAUAGUGGAAAUAGAAUUAGAAGUUGAAUGAGAUAUGAAAUUAAAUCUGAAUGAAUCUACUUUCACAUGAAAGAAAUAGAAUAAGCAAAAGAGUUAUAUAUUUUUAGAUAAUUGAAUUUUAGUGAAACAGGGCAAGAAUGUUUUUGAAGUCCCCUGUUCUGACUUUAGAAAUUCAUUAAAAAUUGUACCGAAGAAAUUAUGAGUUAUAAUUUAUAUUUAUAGAUUCCUUAAUGAGUCUAUUUUCAGUAGAGAUAAGUAGAAGCACCAUAUGAAGUCUUUAAAAAGAGAUAUUUGAAUUUCAGUGAUGAGAGGUCAGAAUAGUCAAUUAGUGAAACAGGGGAGACUUCAACUAAUAAAAUGUACUAAUUGCCUAAACUAAAAAUUCUAAAAAAUUUAUGGUGAAUAGAUAUAUGAGUCUAGUUUCAGGAAAAAUUUACGGAUCUAAAUUUUGAGUUUUGUAACUUGAGUUAUAAUUAUUUUAGUGACUGCUGCGCAGGUGGACAGCUUUAUUGUGAAUAGUGAAAUUAAUUUUGAAAGUAAACUUUUAUGCCCCGAACUUUUAAGUUAAGUCAAGUAACGCCUCAUGCUCGACUCCGGCAACGGUCUUGGGUAAGAGGUGUUACAUGCCCGGUUCAGCUCCAUUUCCUGUUAUGCCGAGCGGACCUUAACAUAACUUUAAAACCCUAACCUUAACAUAAUUUAAUUAAAAAUCCUAACCUAAUUUAAUUAAAAACCCUAACCUAAUUUUACAUAAUUUGAUAAUUUUACUAACCAUUAAUACAACUUUUAGAGUUAAUAAUUUUACAUUCUCAUAAUGUUAGAUUUGAAAAAAUGUUUUGACGGGUACUAACAAUUAAUAAUUUUAUAUAAUUUGAUAAUUUUACUAUCCAUUAAUACAAUUUUUUGACUUAAUACAAUUUAUCAAUUAAUAAUUUCACAAACUUAAUUUUUUUACAAUUACAUUCAACUAUUGCGAUUAGGGCAUGAUCGACUUGUAUGGCCUGGAUUCCUAUACCAUCCGCACAACUUCGUUUGACUGGUUGUUUCUCGGAUAUCCAUAUUCUUACGUAUUCUAGUCGAGCAAGGUCGACUAUUUGGUUUGCGACGUAAUUCACUAUCUGGUAACAACUUAAAAGGAGCAGGAGAUACGGGCAGCCACUUACGUUCAUCUAGGACCGAUAGGAAAACGUGUCUCCAUACGUUGUACAUGUUUUCUAAUUUGUACACUUCGUCCACAUAACUCAUCGGAUCCAGACGGAGUUUCUGACAAGCUGCAAUAACAUGAGCGCAUGGAUAACGAAGUGCAUCAAACAUCCCACAGUCACAAGUCCUAUUUUGCAAGUGUACACGAUAUUGCCCGCCAAUAACACCUUGGUGCGGUCUGUCAAACUCUGUCACGUGAAACCAUAAAUUUUCUCGAUCGUGACACACUGUGUGCAUCGUGUUUGCCCUCGCCUUGGCCUUGUUAAUUUCUUGAACUACCUUACUGCACCAUACAUGGCCUCCCUGCAUUUGGCCUGCAUAACUUGCUGCUCGCUUUGGAAAUAGCGUCGCCAAACGAAAAUAUGUCUCUCACACAACCGAUGUUAUCGGUAGAUGACGCGUUCCUUUAAGAACAAAAUUUAUGCAUUCUGCCAGGUUCGACGUCAUAUGGCCAUAUCGUAGGCCGCCGUCAUAUGUUUGUGCCUACUGUUCGAAACGUAUGUGUCAAAGGUAGUCCGCUCCUUCUCCAUUUUGGGAUUGUAAAAUUACCAACAUCUCGUGAAAAUGAUUUUUAUUUACUUCAUACCCUUCCAAUAUAAGAUCAUAACGAAUAAUUUAUACCACUUCUACCAAUAAAACUAAUUCAAAUUGACAAACGAAAUAACACAGAUAUAUACUAAAUACCCAUGUUAGUCACUUGUCGUCGUUCACUUUUAGAUGGAUAUUGCCUGUAAUAGUUCGAAGCAACGUGUCUUAGGCAAUAUCUAUGGUGUGCGCGCUGCCAUAAGCUUCCCUCUCGAUCAAAUGCAGCUAGUAUACCGGUGCCCCGAUCUGAAAUAACACAGAUAUUAGGUUGGGGGCACGCAUGCCUCCUUAACCUAGAGAGAAAAAAAUCCCAGUCAUCAGACGACUCCCCAGUGUUAUUGCAAAAGCAAUUGGAAGAAUUUUCCCACUGCCAUCCUGUGCCACUGCCAGCAAUAGCCGAUGAGUAUACCUACCGAACAUGAAGGUACCGUCAAUUUGUACCAACGGCUUGCAGUAUGGAAAUGCGUCUCGGCAUUGCUUAAAAGUCCAAAACAGGAGUUUGAACACUUGGCAUCCACGUAGCAAUUGGCCGUUGUAGUACGCAUGUUCUGUUUCAAGGUCUGUGAUGUCACUGGGGACGUAUCUCUCUAGCACCUGACACCACUGCCAUAUUUCAUUAUAUGAGGCGUCUCACCCACUAUGCAUCUUCUCCAACGCCUUUUGUUUAGCUAUCCAAGCCUUGCGGUAAGAGGGCGUGUACCCCAUUCGACUACGGAUAUUGGCAAUUAACACCGGCACUGAAGUCCUAGGAUCUACUUUUAUCGUGGGCAGUAUCAAGCUAGCUAACAUAGCUGAAUCCAUUUUGGGAUGAUCUUGUGAAACACCUACAAAGGGAGCACAUUAAAUAAUGCAACAUUGUAUAAUAAAAGUAUUAUUCAGAUACAAUCAAUAUUGUACCUGCAGCACAUGUAUGUGGACCUUUGUACUUUUUUAUCUCCCACAACCCUGUCAUUUUCCUUAACGAGGCGUAGAUUUUCCAUGAACAUGUGUCAUCUUGCACCGCACACUUUGCCUCAAACUUAUCAGAUUUUGAUUUAACGACGUGGUAGUUAACGCUGUUUUUGAUGCUAUGUUGUUUCAAAGCACCAAUAAAAUUAUCCUUGUUGGUAAACUGAUUACCAACUUCAAGUUCACCGAAAUCUACCCUCGAACUUGUACGAUCACGCAACCGGUGUGGUAGAUCUGGAAACUCUAACGAAUCAUCUACAGAUAGAUCGACAAUAUGCAUGUGGGCUGGAGGUGAGUAUGCUCUGAAUAGUAGAUUUUCUUCCUCAUCUGAACUCCUGUCAGCAUCUUCAGCUUCUGUUGGAAUAGGCUCCGGUUCAGAAAAUAAGCCAACUUCUGCACCAUCUGGCCCGGGCUCUCGAGGUGGAUCCACAUCAAAGUCAUCUUCUAACCCACAAUCAUGUGUAGUGUACAAGGUCCCAUUACCGGUUGACAUCGUUGGGAGUACAUCAUCCCUUUUUCUGGACAUUUAAUAACGUCCCCAAUUGGAUGUAGAUUGUCACCCGCUAGAACUUGAUGCCACUCCCCAGUACGUAUUUCUAGCAUCAAACAUCAAGUCACCGAUGUACAUGUCCCAUCCACCGAUAUAGUGUCUUGCAGGGGAUGUGCAUUCGACACCGCUACCGAACAUGGGCUGUUCCGUAUUUUGUAAUCCACUGACCGAGUGUCGGCUAGGGGUGGAUCAACAGAAGAACAAAAUCGAUACGUGAUAGACAAAACUUUCAUUGGUGUCGUUCCAAAAAUUUUACGCCUAAUCCUUUUACGAAGUUCUGUCAAAUCUAUGUUCUGAUUAAAAACCAGUCGCACCAUAUUCUCCGACAAAAAAACAACACCAUUCUCGAUAUGGCAAACCUCACCAUCGUAGUAAAUAACAGCACUAAUACGUUCACUUAUAUUUGAAACUCUAACCUUCUUAGCCUAUCUAAAUUGUUUCUGCUGUGACUUAUGCAUUCUGAGAACAUUUUCUGCCUAAUUUAUAGCCUCAGCCCAAACAUGCUAAUUUAGCAAAAACGCGUCCACGAGGGCACGAUUUCACAAAUUCUUCUCAAAUAGCAUCCUGCUAGAAGCGAUUUUAUAUUAUUUGCUCAGAAACAUCAAAAAAAAUAUUUCUUACAUGACCUACUGUAGCAAAAACGCGCUGACGAGGCCGCGAUUUCACAAAUUCUUCUCAAAUAACAUCUUGCUAGCGAUUUUAUACUAUUUGCUCAGAAACGUCAAAAAAAUAAUUAUUUCUUCCGUGACCUACUGUAGCAAAAGCGCGUCCACGAGGGCGCGAUUUCACAAAUUCUUCUCAAAUAGCAUCCUACUAGAAGCGAUUUUAUACUAUUUUAUCAGAAACGUCAACUCGAAAUUAUUUCUUCCAGGACCUAAAAACCCUUAAAAGCCUGAACCCUAAACCCUAAAAGCCAAAAAAACCUAAUGUGGGAAAAACCGCGAAAUCGCGUCCACGUCAACGCGAUGUCAGGGUACGCGCCAGGAAAGCGAUUUGUUGCCACGUAAGCAACUCGCGCUGACGUGGACGCGAUUUCCUGAUGCAUACCCUGACAUCGCGCUGACGUUGAAUCGAUUUCGCGGGAAAAGGACCAUUCUGGUAAAUAAUAAAAUAAUAAGCUCAUUUCGGUAAUUUUUGAAAAAAAAACUUUUAUUGGUAAAUUGCCCGAAUUUAUCAACAACAAAACAAAAUUCUUUUCAAACCCAAUUUGACAAUUUAUAUAUAUAUUUUAAAGAACCAAUGAUUUGCACACUUGUUCAAAUAAAAUAUACACAUAUCUAUAUUAGUAAAUAAUUUUGAUGGACAUGACAAGUCAAAUAGAAAUUUGUCCUUUUGUUUUUUUCUUGAUGUUAUUAGUACAUUCAACUGAAGAAAAAUCCCAACUUCGUAAAAGCUGAAAUAAAGAUUUAAAAUUUCAUGGGGCAAGCUCAGCCCACUGCCCACCAAAAUGCAAAAACAAAAGGAUAAAAUAAUAUUUAGCCCCUAAAUUUGGUAAUUUUCUUUCUUGGUCUUUGAUUCUAUUGUUCAUAUUAGGCCUUAAAUUUAGCAACUUUUCCCAAUCUAACCCCAAGUGUCACAUCAUUACUUGAUAACUUUUUAAAAUUUUGAAAUGCUUUUAAAAUUUUGAUGUGAUAUAAUAUCAAAGUAUAACAUAUUAUAACUUAACAAAAUCUAAGUUUAAAGGAGUAAAUUUAAAAAAAAAUUAACAAGUUUCAAGAUUAACAUGGACAAAAAAUAUAAGUAUCAAAUUAAAAAAAAAUUAUCAGUCAAUAUCACUGUAUCCUAAAAUAAAGAGUUAAAUCAUUAUUUGUAGUCUGAACCUGGGUAUUGUUCAAACAUUAAGUUUAAACUCAAGAGUUUUCAAGGACUAAAUUAAAAAAAGAAAUUCAAGCCCUGAUGUGAAAACAAUUAUUAAAUUUAGAGCCUAACUUGAAUAAAAGAAUUCAAACCUUAAACAAUUACUAAAUUCAAAGCUUAACUUAAAAGGAAGAAAUAUUUAGCCCCUCUAAGAAAAGUUCCAAAUUCAUGCCCAAAAAAGAUUUAACCCUAAAACAAAACUAAACAAAAUAAGCAACACUCAAAGUGUGGCCGGCAGGCAAAGAUAUUAGAGAAAAGACAAAAGUGGAAACCCAUAAUUUACAAAAUCCUAAGCAGUCGAAAAAAUCGCAUCCCAACUUCUUCACACCUAAUUUCCCUUAAGAAAGAAUCAAGAAAGAUUUGGUUGAAGGGUCGCGAUGUUCAUCGAUAUUAAUUUAGAGGGCCACCACCACCACCACCACUUUCAAAUCUAAUGGCUCCAACGACAACCCUUUACAGCCUUCCUAAUCCCCAUAGUCCCUUUAAUAUCUUUCUCAAAUUUAUAUGGUUCCAAUGCUUUUUCUUAAUGGAAAAUUAAAGCAAAAGCAAAAGCAAAAUCAAAAUGAAGAAUUUACGUGAGAGGAAUGAUCUUUUGCAUUCAUUUAUUAUUUGCAGGAUUCCCAUUAUAAAAGCAAAAGCAAAAGCAAAAGCUAUAUAUCGAAAAAAUUUACAUGACUUUUAAUAAUUCAAACCCUAAAACACCAAACAUGGUGAUGAUGAUGAUGAUUAUGAUGGUGACGAUCUUUAUCGAUCAUCCCUUGAACAUUACGGAACUCCUCGACAUGGCAAGGAAUGGUAAUAGGUCCUUUCUGAUCGAACCCGUACUCAUCCUCGGCUACCUUCAACAGCUGCAUAAACAGCGGGUGGUUAAUAUAAAUCACCGGAAUCACGAACCGUUGUUGCUCUUCACCUUGACCCACCAUGAUAGCCAAACACCCUUUCGGGAUAUCUUUGAGGUCCUUCUUCUCAUGAUGAUGGAAGCCAUGAAGGUGUGGUAUAUGAAGGUGAAAAUUCACAUGGUGAUGGGAACCUUUGUUGUUAUCUCCACUCCCCAUAUUUUUUAAAAGAAAACGAAACCCUUUUCUUUAGAGGAUCAAAGGAACUAAAGGUUAUAAGAAAACGAGAGGGAAAGGCCAAGGAUCAGAUGAAGAAAUAGCAAGUUUAAAGAGAGUCAAAGAAGAAUCUGUUAAUGACCUUGGAACGUUGCUCAUGAUAAUUUGAGAAUCAACGAGAUAACCCACAUAUGAACAAAGAGAAGAGAAAAAAAAAAUGAAAGUGAAGGGAUAGAGGAGAACUAGAUUUGGGUAUUUAUAAUCUUAAAAUUGAAGAAAAAGGGAAAUUAAUGGUGAAUGAGGGUUUUGGGGGGUUUGCUUAGCUUAUACACAAAGUCAUUUAAAAAUAGGUGUAAGGCUGAGGAAUUUUUCUAGAUAAUUUUUGGCCUUUUUAUGAAAUGGUCGUGGUUGAGAAAUUUUAUAGGUCAACCGUGUGGCUACUUCCGAGAAGGAAUUUUUGCUAGGUGGAAUUUUAUUAUUAGUCCUUGUAUUCUGUGUAUAUUAUUGAUCUAGUCCAUAUUUUUUAUUUGAUUAUUUUUAGUCACUAUGUUUAUCGAAUUAUGAAAUUUUAAUCUUGACUCAAACAAUAGCCAUUUAAAUUCGCUAACUAAAACGACAUGUUUUUUUUAUGGAUUAUGUGAAAAUAACAAGCUGACACGAUAUAUAAUUGUAAAAAUCAAUAAUGAUACCAAGGGGUUGGAAGGGGCCUAAGCCCCCUAAAAUAUAAAUUUUCACUUUUUGUCCUUAAAAUUUUAGAAUAUUUUAAUUUAGUAAAUGGUAAAAUUACACUUUAACUCACAAAUGAUAAAAUUUUAGUUUACUCCUUAAAAAAUUAUAAAGGUAUAAGCUAUUAAAAUUGUGAAAUUGGAUUUUACAAUAUCCGCUAGCAUUUGGUUAGAAUUGAAGACAUAAAACACGAUAGUGUAAGGUCUAAAAAUAUCAAAUUACAGUAUGAGGACUAAAUUUGCAACUUACUUGGUAUAUAAGAAUUAAUAGCACAAUUUGACAUUUUCCCCCAUAUUUAAGAGCUACUAUUGUUGGCAAUAUUUGUAAUCUUUGGAAGUCAACUCAAAACCUCCCUCCCCCGUAUAAUAUCAUUUUCUUUGAAUAUAUUUUUAUUAUUGUACUAUUAUUAUGAAUAUCUACAUCGAUUAAAUUUCCAUCCUUAAAUAUUUCCCAGUUAAUACCCCUAAUCAGAUAUAUUUUUUGGUUUGGUUGGUGAUUGGUGUAGACUAAUGGGUAAAAUAUCAAUUUUCUUAUUCAUUAAGGAUGAACCUAAAAUUCUGAAAGUUACUUUUAUAAUUAUCUAAGCGAAGGGUUAGCUAAUAGCAAUCAUAGGUGAAUAUAUUUCACAAAUCCUUCCAUUAUACUGGUAAAAUAAUUAAAAUUUAACAGAGUUAACAAGUUGAUUGAGGCUUAUCUCGACUGGCAUCAGUAUUAUUAUCAGUGCAGAAAGAUGUGGGUUCAAUUGUGCUGAAGCACAUUAUUCCCAUAUUUAAGGGUUAGGAGGGACUAUGGGCAAUUCGAGAUAUUAUGUAAAAAGAUUAUUUAUUAUUUAAAAAAUGUCAUUUUCUGUUUAAUAGAAUUAUAUUUAAAAGUUUUUUAUAAUUCUGUAAAUAAAUUAUUUUUUAAACAAUAAAAAUUAAUUAUAUUAUAAUUUCACUUUAUUUUUUAAUAAUACGGAAAUUAAAUUAACCUAUUUAAUAGUAAAAAGAUUAAUUUAAUCUAGAUACCUCGUAAGUAUUUUUACCAGCAAUUAUAUGGUGUGGCGGAAUGGCAGGGCAAGUUAAAGACGUUGCUGAGAGGAGAGGAAACGUGGAUAACGAGCGGCAAAGGCUUCGCCACAUUGGCAACAGUGGGUCUUAUAAUUUGCGACCGACACUGCCGGCAUCUCGGUCCACACGUCAGUGUUCCGUUGCAACCAUUCAGGAAAAGUGGUGUCACCUAAAAAAAAUAUUUUUUUUUGACGAAGGAAAUUUUAUUCAGGAAAAGCGAAUUUGUUAGGGUUUAUUUCAUCAAAGUAUCCUAUCAUUCAGGUUAUUCUGUAUGUCUCUGCAACAUUACUGUUUGGAUUAAAUUGGUCCAUAAACAUUGAGUAUACAUUUAGAACACAAAUUCAAAUUGAAACAUAUGUGUACCUUUUCCAUGAUAACUUGGAUCUGACUUGUCAAAAAAAUAAAUAACUAGCCUUCUUACGUUUUAAUGACAUGGUAUUUUGUUAACACAUCAUAUCGAAAAAUUGUCAUUCGAUAUAUAUGUAUAUUUUAUAAUUUGAUAUAUGUAUUUUAAAUAUACUUCACCUCGAAUUUGAUCAGACAUCUAAUGGAUGAAUUAAUAAUUAGACUGAAGGAAAUAAAUUGAUUGAUAUUGAUGCUUUAAGGAUUCAAAUAAAAUGUUUCCAAGGACCAAUUUACAAUAUGUAUGAUAGCGUAGUGAUGUUUAGUGGAAUUAAUCCUUUUCAAGUGGGCAUUCGCCUAAAGCAAACGCGGCGGAUGAGAUUAUCAUAUACCAAAUUUGCCCUCCUUUUUGCGAAGCCCCAGAUCUCCUGCCAGAUUUCACUAAGAAAUUAUGAUUUUUUUUAUAAAAAAGAAAAACAUGAUAAUGUAAUUGUAAAGUAAAAUCUUGGAACAAUAUCAUUUUUUCUCCGCGUGAUAAAUCAUUCUCUCAUGUCAGAAAAAAUUACAUUAAUUUAGUCAUUAAUUUUUUAAAAUUAAAUUAUUUUUAUUUAAUAAAAAUAUUUAAUUAAACAUUAGUUAUUAAUGAUAUUAAUAUGAUACUAUUUGUCUUAUAUGUCACAACAAAAUAAAUAAAUAUGUAACAAUGAAAAUAAUAAUAAAAGGUUCAUAAAAAUAAAAAAAAAGUAUGAAAUAAUUAUUAAUUGUUAUAUAAGUUGUCAUCUUAAAAUUUUAAUAUUUUAAUCAAUAUUUUUAUUAAAAUGCACAUCAAUUUGACUCAUCUUGAUUUUUUUAAAAGGCUGAACAAAAAUUCUAAUUAAAAAAUUAAAUUUACAAAAAGUUAAACGUUAAAAAAAAAUUAAUCGAGAUUUUCUCAUUUGAGGUUAGAAUGAAUAAAAAAAUAAAUUUUAUGAUCCACUAAAAUGGAAAAGUCAAGUGCAAAUGUUGUAGUUGCCAAAUGUCAUGCAAUCAUUGGACAAUAGAAACAGUAUUUCCAAUUACUACUAGUUCGGCUAUCUUUUUUAUAUGCAAAUUUCAAAUUUCUUUUCAAACUGUUGCUCUCUCUUUUUUCAUCUCCAUGUUUCCAGAUAAGAAUAUGCUGCGCCCAAUGAGGAUUUCUUUAGCUGGUGACAGAUCAUUGAUUCAUGAUAAAGUAAAAAAAAAAAAAACAUUUACACCAAAUUUAAUUUAGUUUCCAACUUUCCUUUUAUCAUGGUAGUGGCCUCAUUAGAAUAUGUAAAAUUUAUGAUUUUGGUCCCUCUAUUGUGUUACCAGGUUUAAUAUCUAUGUAUUUUUUUAAAUUACAAUAAUUCUAAUAGAAUCCACCAGUAUCAAUAUUAAAUUGAAUAAUUAACUCAACAAAUAAAUCAAAAUAAAUUUUAGGAAGUACCCAAGUAUUUGCAUAUGGUGGAACUCAAAUCUAAGAUAUCAAUGUUUUUAGCGCCUAAGCUUGGACCUUAAGCCAAGGCCUUAUCAGCUAAUAUCAAUAGUUUAAUUCAAUGUUCAUUUUUUUAAUAUUAUUAGUUAGUCCAAUUUGUAAGAAUUGUUAACUAUUUUGUGGGGUGUGCAUUGCAUUUAUUGGACAUGUUGUAGGCACCUUAGACAAGAAUUGACUAGCAACUGAAGAAUGGCCAAAACAUGCCCGACAUCAGGACGAGGAGCACCGGCACUUCGUGACGAGGCUAAUGGGACGUUGUGGCGACAUGAUGUACUCUCCUAUUUGGCAACCACGUUUUAGACUUCAAGCAGGACUUCUUCUCCCAUUUAGACUCUGAUUAUUUUAGGGAUAUUUUAGUAUGAUUAGGCCUCUAAUCUUGGCCUAUUUAAAGGGGCCUUCUAUCCCUAUUUUGAUAUGCCAAUCAGAAAAUGGUUUUUCUUUGGAGCAACAAUAUGUAGUUACAUAUGAGUUUUUGUGAGAGUUUCAUGGUAGUUAUGAACAAUAUUUUGUACCCAUUUUGUGAAUGUCCUAUGAGAUUUACAGCAUGUUUGACAAUACACCCCUAAUCAGUGGGCCCCACUUAAGCCCCCUUUAUUCCAUUGUUUGGUUCAUGGUAAUGCUAUUACGGGUGUAAUACGUUACUUACUUAAUCGGUGAAAUCCACCGAUUUGUAAUACAUCCAUUUUGCUCAGUUUAGGUACUGAUUCAAUUUUCUUCCCUGUUUUAGCCUCCCGAUUGACGCUUCUGUCUUACCCAAAGUCUUCUGUUUCUUCCUUCUACCUUUCUUCUCCACUCUCCUCGCCGUUUCUCCUUCUCCCUGUUAUAUGUUUUUUUUUGUAUUAUUAUUUUCUCAAUAGAUCUGCGCAGCAGCACCCUCUAUUUUCAUUUCAAAUUUCCCAUCUAACCGGUUUUUUUUCUUCAUCUAACCAACCCUAGCAGCGUUGUUUCGUAGGACGACCCUUGGUUUUGCCACUAUUUACGGCGUUAACCCAUUGGAAGAAACUCCACUCUUUAACUUCCUUUUUUGCGGUUGUAUAUAUAGAUUUCUAUUUUUUUCCUAGGUUUUAGAAUUUGUUUGUUUUUUAGGGAGUUUAGGGCCGUGCUAUGAAUAAUAGAGGGAGGUAUCCAUCGGUGCUCGGCCGUAGCCGCGGAGCGAACGCGAACCCUAGCUUUCAAUCGAGGCUGGAGCAACCGCAGUAUGCGCAGAAAAAUUUGGUGCAGAAUCAUCAUCAUUUUCAACAACAACAACAUCAUCAUCAUCAUCAUCAUCAUCUGCAAACAGCAACAACAUCAACAGCAGUGGCUCAGAUGAAACCAAUUGCCCGGCGAAAAUGACUCCACUGUCGCCGAUGAGGUCGAGAAGACCGUACAAUCUGAAGUCGUCGACUCAAGGUUCUUUUUUGUUUCUUCUCCUUUUUUCUUUUUAAUUGCAUUUGUGAUUAAUUUUUAUUUAAUUUUCUUGUACAUGUUACGUAUUGAAUGUUCAUAAUUAUAUUUUUUUCACAAAUUAAAUUUCUUGUGCAUUGUUUACAGUUAUUAAUUUUUUUAUUGAAUUUUCUUUUAUGUAUUUCAUAUUGAAUUGUGCACGGUUUUACAUUCUUUUUCAUCUUUCAGUUCACAUGAUUGGAAGGCAAGGCUAAAGAUGCCACCAUCAGAUACACGCUACAAAACGGAGGUAUUUUUGUUAAUGAUAUUAAUCGAGUAGAUAUUGAAGUUAAUACAACCUUUUUAAUAAUAUUGCAUAGCUUACCUAUCGUUUUAAAAAUUCCUUGAAGUUUCUGCUUUUACCAGUUAUGGUUAAAGAAAUUGUAGCAUUGGUUUUGUUUAUUUCACUAUAUAUAAUUGUCAUACCUUCGUUAAACUAUGAAAAUUCUCGAAGGAAAAAUUUCUGGCUUAUGUUAUUUAGGCAAUGCAGGUGAAUUACUCAUUAAUUUCCUAUAAGGUAUAUGAUUUUGAAUGGACAGUUUCCAAAGAUUAUAACUUAAGGACACUGAUACUAGUUCCUUGAUGUUGAGGCCUUUUGAACAAAGGGCCAUUUUUAGGCUUGCAAUUGCAUUUCUUUACCCUCGAUAGCACUCCAUAUUGUUUCUCUGAUAUAAAUUUCACACAGGGCAUGGCAGUGCUUUUGUUGGUAUUUGGAUAUUUUUUAAAAUUUUAAUUUUGACGCUUAUGUACUGAUCUGCCUAUUAAAUUUGUGCCAGGAUGUGACUGCUACCAAAGGAAAUGAAUUUGAAGACUACUUUCUGAAACGUGAACUUAUUAUGGGAAUAUAUGAGAAGGGCUUUGAAAGACCAUCUCCUAUUCAGGAAGAGAGUAUUCCCAUUGCUUUAACUGGAAGUGAUAUUAUUGCUAGAGCCAAAAAUGGAACUGGGAAAACUGCAGCAUUUUGCAUUCCUGCAUUGGAAAAAAUUGACCAAGAUAACAAUGUUAUUCAAGGUUAGAUUUCAUCUACAUUUAAUUUCUUGAUUGUGUGUGUUUGUGUUACCAAUUCAAGCCCAAUAAAAUGGUAGUGGGUACUGAAAGUAGGAUUCUUUGGCCAUUUCAAUUAUUUAUUGUUCUUCUAGUUGUCUGAUCUGCUUGUCAAUCUGAUAUUGGAGAAGUGUGAGUGUCAUUUGUUUCAUUUCUUUUAACUGAUAUUUGAAUUAUGGGCUUUGGCAUGGACGGACUUAGUUGACUUACGAUCAAAUCUUUGUAGCAGUUCCUUAAACAUGUGCAUUAGGUCCUCCAUUUUGUAAGUUGGUGCAACUUUUUCCAUCAGUCCAAGCAGAAAUUUUCACUCAUCUUUCUGAAACCUUCCAAAUUAAGUUCUUUGUUGACCCUUUUGCUGUAAUUUGAAAUAUGAGUUAUAUUAGGUGCAAUGCCGAGGGAUGUUUUCAACACACUACCACCGUUUAGCUGUGGACUAUAGGAACAAUUCCAAGGUGUGUCUGCUUUCUGUUGGAUAAUAUAUUUUUUAAACUGAAGUUUAUAGCAUUUAUAAUUGGCAAAUUAUAUUAGGUGCAGAGAGAGUGAAUGAGAUAUUUUGAGUUGUACAGCAUCAGUUUGAAGUCUUAUCUGCCAAUUUGUUUAGUGAAAAUUUGUAAAAUGCAGGGCUCAUUGCUAUUUUAGUGUUGAUUUUUCCUUGAAUUUAGUUCAUAUUCUCAGAUUGUUGAAAUGUGCAUUAAUCAAUACCUUCUGUUAUUGAGAACCUUUAGGACAAAAAGAUGUAGAUAUAUUUUGUUGUAUUUAUCUACAUCUUUGUUUAUAGAGAAUCUGACUGAAUUGCAAAAUUUUAGCAUCUGCUAUGAUGAAUGUCACCUGACUGGUAAUCAUUUCAGGGCUUCCUGACUCAGUACUACGAACAACUGCCAGUAAGUCUAGAGAAUUUGAGGUUGUAUAAGGGAAACACCGAAGCAAGGGAUCUGAAGACAAGUUGCCAAUGCAAAGUAGUCUUGUAGUUUUUAUUCGGGAACUAAUCAGCCUUACACGCUUAAAGACAUGCGAGGAGGGCACUUGUAUUAGGUGUUGAAGGGCAAGGAUGCUUCUACAUCAACAUUGAUUGAAUGAAAUCCAUGUAAUAUUUGUAAUUUUUCCCAGGGUCAUUCAUUUUCGGAUAUAGUUAGUGAUGUGAAUAUGAUUGUGACUAAUAUGCUAUCUAGCAUUUUGUAAAGUUUGGGUGGGCUAGAAAAUUGGAAAACAUAUUAGUUGGUAGCUGGAAGGUUGAAAUGAUCUGACCGGCAUUUUGUACAAUGCAGUUUGAAUUAAGUAAUUAACAGUAUUUGUGAAAAUUUGGGUGAUCAAGUUCAACAUUGCUUAAAGGUCAUAAUGCUUGGCACUGGUUAAAUGUAUAAAUUAUAUAUCAUUAUUAAAUUAUAUUUAAUAUUAAUUAUUUUAAAUUAUAUAAAUUCAUAUAAGAAAAUUUAUUAUCAAGAAUUUUAUGAAAUUAUAUAUCAUUAUUAAAUUAUAUUUAAUAUUAAUUAUUUUAAAUUAUAUAAAUUCAUAUAAGAAAAUUUAUUAUCAAGAAUUUUAUGAAAUUAUAUAUUAUUAUUAAAUUAUAUUUAAUAAUAAUUAUUUUAAAUUAUACAAAUUCAUAUAAGAAAAUUUAUUAGGUAUAAUUAUUUUAAAUUUUAUUAAAUCAUAUAUUUUAAUUAAAAUAUAUUUAAUAUUAAUUAUUUCAAAUUAUAUUUUAUAGUAUCAUAUAUUAUGAUUUGAGUAAAUUCAUAUAAGAAUAUUAAUUAUUAAGAAUUUUAUUAAAUUAUAUAUUUUAAUUAUAAUAUAUUUAAUAAUAAUUAUGUUUAAAUAUGAUUAAAUUAUUUAUUAUUGAUAAUAAUAAUCUUAUUAAAAUUUAAAUAACAAUAACAAUAAUCAUUUACCAAAAUAAAUUUAUGCUAAGGGUAUUCUAGUCAUUUUAGUUUUUUCCAUUAUGCUAUUACACCUUUAUUCCAUUCAACCAAACACAAGAUUACUAUUACGCCUCUAUUCCAUUACAUUCAACCAAACAGUUGAUUUGCUAUUACACCUCUAUUCCAUUACACCUCUAAUCCAAUACAGCGAACCAAACGUGCCCUUAGGGUUUUGUUUACCAGUUUACUCUUUGGGAUUUUGAGCUUUAUAUUCGGGGUUUUGGGUAAUGUAUAAGUUGUACAUUUAGGUUUAUUUUAUUCAUAUUGUACUCUCGUUUGUUUACUCAUUUAGUGAAAAGUAGAAGUUUUAUUUGCUUGUGGUUUUUCCCUCUCUAAGGAUUUUUCACGUAAAAUAUUUGUGUUUGUUUUUCUUCACAUUUAUUAUCUAGUUAUUUAUACGGGUCGAUCACCAACAUAUUUUAUUAAAUGUUUAUGUGAAUUUUUUUUAAAAAUUACCAUUAGAAAUUUAGUUGACACAUUGAAAUAUUUUAAUGAAUUAAGUUGUUUGAAGGAAAAAAAUUGCAAACCGAUUAACAAUCCCAUGUCAGCACUUUAAAUAUAAAGAUCAAAAUUAUACCAAAUUUAAAUAUACCAAAUUUUAUGAAAAGUACGAUGAUUAAAUAUAAAGAUUAUACCAAAUUUAAAUAUAAAGAUUAAAUCUCUAAUUUUAAAAUAGUAAAGGGAUAAAACUAUAAUUUAACCAACAAAAUAAGAAAGAAAAUGACUAAAAAGGAAAAGCCAAAUUAUACAUUGAAAUGUUUUAAACGAGCCAAUGAACAUUUCUCGUAGUAUAGCGUUUUACAUGAGACUUGUGACAAUCCAAAUCAAAUGCAGGAGUCAUGUUAAUCACAUUAAAAAGGAAAAUUAUUUUAUUAGACCUUGAAGUUUCCAUUUUAUUAAUUACUAGAAAUGGACCACCUUUUUUUCUGGGAUUGGACUAAAUUAAAGGCGCAUGCUUGGUUCUUAUCCCAUCUUAAUCAUAGGCAGAAACGAGUGUGCUUAUGAUUUUUUUUUUUAAUUUCACAAACUAAAUUAACGGAUAAUAUAAUAUAAAUUUGAGAUAAAUCUCAAAAUUAUAAUAAAUUUUAAUUUAUUAUUAAAAAAUUAAAAUAUUAUUAUUUUGAACUACAAUUAAAAUUUCACAUAUAUAAUCCUAUAUAAAUUGAUGAAAAUUCUAAAUUAGUUUGUAUUAUAAUUAUAUGUCAAAUCACACGUUAGAUUAAAAAGUUUAUUUAUCCAUAAAUAUUUAAAAUAUUAUUAUUUUGUUAAUUGCAAGAAUAUUAAUGCAUGUAUUGUAUGUAUGCAUAUCUUGAAGAGAGGAAAAGAGCUUGUGUGUGGGACUCUCGGUUGGCUUUGGCUUUAUGACAAAGGAAGAGCAAAGUGAGGCGUAAUUAAGGGCUUUUGUCACCCUUUUUUUAAAGGUUUUCCUUCCAAAUGUAAAUGCUAAAAUAAUGUUGUGAAAUGGUAAAUAUGAAACUAAUGGUUAUUGAGGCAAAUAUUAAAGAGUUAAAUAUUUUUUAAGUAAAGUAUUAAAUUCGAAUUUUGUAAAUAAGUAAAAUAAUAUUAGGAGAGCUUGAUUUUGGUUUACAACCAGACUUAAUUUUGAAUUUAGUUUAUGCAUAUUCAAGGGGUUAGGCAGAAGACUUAUUAGAUCAAUCUAUGGGUCGAGUUUUUAUAAAAUUUUACGUCCGUUUGAUAAUAAUAAAAUUAACAAUAAAAUAAGAGUUAUAUAAUAUUCAAACAAUAACAACAAAAUAGUAUCAACAUAAUAGUGAAAUGACAACAAAAUAAUGAGGAAAACAGUAGAUUAUUUUAAUUUUUGCAAAUUCAAACCGUGCCAAGCUCCGCCCAAACCAAAAAAAGACUUACCUGAGAAGGCUGAGACUCGGGUUUUAUUUUUUCUCAAAACUCCCCCACUUUUCGAGUGGUCCAACCCAUAGAUAGGUCUACAGCCUUACCUCCUUCCGUUGCUUUAGCUUUUCCUAUAAGAUUCAAUUUAGCAUUUCUUUUAAUCUUUGAUUAAAUGAAACAAAAUAAAAAAUUAGCUAAUAAAAUUUAAAACUUUUUUCUCAAAUUUUAUAACUUUAUUUCAAUUUUAAAAUAAAAAAUCUAACUUCUAGGUCCUCAACGUAUCUAUUUGUCUGUUGAUUUUCUCAGCUUCCCCUGUAAGGAUUUAGGGUAUCUAAAUGACUUUUUGAUGAUUUUGCCCUUUUGAUUUUAUUUUUUUUAAUUUGUCUUAUUCUCACACAUCCAAGGAAAAGAUAACAACAAAGCACAUUACGGCAUUUUCAUUUGACGGUAAGAAAAGCUUGGUUUGAUGUUUCUAUUUGUUUUGAAAAAUAAUUCAACUGUAACGUUGUGGCUUAAAAAAAAAUCAAAUUAAGUUUACGAUAACAUCGAUGUUCAACGUUCAAUUUUAUUUUCCUCUCCAAUUUUGAAUAUGGCACAAAUAAUAUCAUAAAUCAUUAAACCAACCAAAAUUGAAUUCCAUGCGCAUUCGAAUUUCUUCAAUUUGUCUAUUUUGUAAAUUCAGAUAACUACUGUAAUUUUAUAUACUAUUUUACUUUUUUCACUUAUUUAAAAACAAUAUAUUCUGCAAUAAGAUCUCGAUAUUAUUAGCUAAGACGGAAGUUUUGAAUCAUUGAAUACCUAUAUUCGAGUCCUACCAUGUGGAAUUACGAUUUGUGGAUCUCUAUGUUAUUUUAUGCGUGAACAAUCUUACAAAUUAUUAACAACGUUAUUAAUAUAUCAUCAUUUUAUGCUUAUAUGUAUUAUUGUAUAAAAAAAUAAUUAUAUUUAUUCAAUAUAAAAAUAAAUUGAUGCAUUUAACUCUUUUGAGGGUGUAUAAUUCCAUUAAAUCAAAAUUUAUGUAUUAAAUUACACACUAAAUCUAAGUUGAUGUAUAAUUUUGAAAUUUGUCCUUUAUAUAUUUAUAUUGUGAAAAUAAAGUAUUGAUUUGUUUUAAAUAAUUUGAAUUUUUAAUUAUAAACUGAAACCAAACAAAUUUUAAUUAAAUUAAAAUCAAAUUUAAUAACAAUAAUAACAAACAGGUUUACAAAAGUUGUGUGGUUGCUUUAACUAAAGACAAAACAUACUGCUGAAACCAUAAUUAAUAUUUCUAAAAAUUGGUUGACAUGAUUUAUGUGAUAAUUGCCGAAUCUUAAAUUAAUCCAUCCGUAUCGUGGGACAAUAUUUUGGAAAUGGCAGAAUUAAAGUGUGUAAUUAUUACUCAAUUUCAUGUCUCGAAUUGAAAGGGCAACACUCAGUUUUCCUCCAUUAAUAAUUAAUUGUACACUGUUCUUAUUUAUUCGUUUGGUAUAAUCUGAAAUUUAGUUUUUAUUAUUUAUAUAUUUUGUUUGGUCAUUUUUAUUAUUAUUUUUUUAAAUUUUGACCAUCAAUCUUUUAAAAAUAGUCGAAUUCUUAUUUUUUAAUAAAAAUAUUAACUAAAACUUUAAAUUUUUAAAUACAAUAAUCAAUGUGGACUUUAUGCUUUUCUAAAAAAAUAUAUGUUUUUUUUACUUUUUAAAUUUAUUAUUAAUUUUUAAAUAUUUUAUAAAUUUUAAAUUAUUUGUUGACGUAACACAUAUGGCAAAUAAUGUUAUGUCUAGGGGCGCAGUCGUGGGCUAGCCGGGGCCCCGGCACCCUAAAAUAAUUUUUUUUUCAUUUAGUCCCUUUAAAAUUUUAAAUAUAUAAGGUAUGCAAAUGGUAAAAUUAUAUUUUUACUAUCGUAAAAAUUGAAUUUUAAUUUUAGCCUCUCCUAAAUUUUUUUGCCUUCACCCCUGAUCAUGUCAACAUAAGAUAUGGAUACACUGUCACACAAGUUGUCAUGCCAAUAUCAUUAAGAAAUGAGUAAACUACAUAAAUAGUUACUCAACUAUAAAAAUUCUCAUUUUAGGCACCAAAAAUAAAAAAUUUACAAUUUAAACAUCUUCAUUACAUAAUUUAUUUAUUUUAGUGAUAUGACAUUUUUUGACACAUGGACCAAACAUUAAAUCUUACAUGGCACAAUUUAGCAUUGCAUACCAGUUUUAACUUUAAAGUUUAAAGGACUAAAAUAUAAUUUAGCUUGCACUAAUUAUUAACCAAAAUAAAACAUUUUAUUAUUUUCUGGGGUUUGGGUUCCGACCCACCCUAGUCGUUGCCGACUGAACACCGUCCUAAGCUAUCUCCUCCCGGGUCGACUCAGCCACAGCUUCCCCGCUCUGCUCAGCCGUUCGCACCAUAAAGAAACGGAGUAGAAUGGGAUCAUUCAAGAAAGUACACUAUCGUCAUUAACAGAUUGAAAGUCAGAUUAGACACAAAAACCUUUUACUUCAAACUCCCAUCUUUACCAUUUCCUGUUGGUACAUUAAUAAACCCAAAAUAUUCAGUACCUCUGCAUUAGAGACCAACACACCCCUAACACAGAUGCUACAUUUAUACCAUUAAAAUUUGAAGAUUAUUAUCAUAAUUCACAGCACCAAAAGUUUUACUGCAAUAAUUGUAUGCCCAUUCUGACUAAGAAAAUCAUAUGCAGAAUAUAAUAUUGAUUUUAUAUUCCAUCCAUUCCUUGAAGGGAACAAAACUAAAAUCUUGCUACUUCGUUUUGCUGAAGUUUUACAACUUGAAAUCUGUUCUCUUGAAUAUAGGAUCCUUUUAUCCACCAUUGCCUUUAUAUGUAGCAAAAAUAAAGUAAUUCAUCCACGAACUCACAAUGGCCAAAAUACAAAUUGUAUAUGCAACAAAACCAAGCAUAAAAACAAGCAGCAGCUGCUGAGACACCGAGAAGGAAAACAGAGGAACGAGAUCUGAGAUUCUCUGCAUUCGGUUUUAAAAUUUUAAACGGAUCGUACAAUAUUUUAUUUUGGUUAAUAAUUAGUAUUGGGUAAAUUAUAUUUUAGUCCUUUCAAGUUUAAUGCGGUAUUCAAUGGUCAUUGUGCCAUGAAACAUCCAAUGACUAGUCCACGUAACGAAAAAAUGUCAUAUCAAAUUUCUAUUAGAGUUUUUAACGGGAGUGACAAAAAUGAAUUAACUCGAUUAAUCAUUAUUAAUAUGUGAUAGAUUUUAUCACACCUAUGAUCAUUAAAAAUUAUAUUAGCAAAUGAUUAUUAGUAUAGUGAUAAAUAAUUUAUUAUAUGAAUUUAUUGGUCUUAUGUUUGAUCCCCAAAUAACAUUUUUUAAUUUUUUUUGUUUGAAGAUUAUAGAAAAGUAUCACAAAUUAAAAUAUCCUUACAAUAAUAUCAAUAAUCCUUUACUGAUUUUCUUAUUAUAAAUAUGUUUUAUAUGACUUGAUAGUCAAGCUGUGACAGUUUGGCCGAGUGGUCUAAGGCGCCAGAUUUAGGCUCUGGUCCGAAAGGGCGUGGGUUCAAAUCCCACAGCUGUCACUUCAUUAUAUUUUUAUUUUAUUGGGCUUAAAAUCCAACUUCUUAACGGGCUUGAGGCUUUUCGGUGUAAUGCAAAAGACCAGGAAUUAGAGUCCAACCUUACUUAUUGCAACUUUACAUUUUACAUUUUACUUUUACUUUUUUUUUUAUGAAUACUUUGCCUUUUUUUAAUUGCAUAAGUGAAUUAAAAUUAUCAUAGGUUCCAUUUAGUGGAUGAAAAGGACUAGGAAUUAGAGACCAACCUUAAUUAAACUAUACAUAUUCCUUCUUGUUUAUUUUACUUUUUUAUUAUUCCAAUGCUAAUAAUUAAUUUUCUUUUGAAUUUCAUAAGGGAAUUAAAUUUAUCAUAGGUUCCAUUUAAAUAUCUUGAAGAAGUAUCCCCCAAUAAUAAAUUUAAGAUUUAAGAAAAAAAUACACCAACGACGGAAAAUGAAAGUAAUUUUCUUAAGUCGAUGUAAUAACGUUUGACGAAAAUAUUGUUCAUGAAAGAAUUUAGCAUGUUCUCCAAUAAUAACAUGGGCAUGGGGCAACCAGCAAUCGGAUAAUUCGGACUGAAAAAAGCUUUCAAUCCCGGUCGGACCAAAUUCAAUUUGUUUUGAUUGAAUAAUUCAAAUUUAUUUGAUCCUCAGUUUACCAUAUUAGAAGCUUUGCUUCAUGAAUUGAAGCAUUAUUUGAUAAAAUUUUAAUAUUUUUUCAUAAAUACUUUUACAAAAAACUUAAUUUUCAAUCAAAUAAAAAAUUCAAUAACUCUUUGCAUAAUAUUUUUAAAAAAUAAUUAUACAACAUUUUAAAUUAUUUUUACUAUUUAAAAUAUAAAGUAAUUAUUUUUAAUCAUAAAAAAUUAAACAAGUUAUAAAUUAAAUAAAAAUAUAAAUUGAUUCGGUUAACCGCAAUUUCUUAACUUAGAAAAGAACCCUAUCUAAAUGGCAUUAAUUCGAAUCAAUUUUUGGGUUCAAGGUUUUUUUUUCUCGGCCCUACUACUAGGCAAAACGCAACGACAAUUAACCAUAAAUAGAGAACUCCAAUAUCAUAUCAUAAAAUUCAAAAUUAAUGACAUAAAACAAGGAGAGGUUCAAGCUUAAAGAAAUCAAAGCCAACUUAGAAGGUAAUUAAGAUCUGUUAUUAGCACUACACCAUUCAAAUUCCAAACAGAACAUCUGAAAUUGAAUGACUUUAAAACUCCAUCAAGAUAUCCAAUCUACUUGAUCUUCUUCUUUGGCCUCAGCUGUCAACAAAAAGAAGAAAUAGUGUCAACUCGACGCACUAAAAGAAAAUUUAGCAUGACGCCAGAUUAGGGUUACUGGAUAAACUCUUAAGAGUUAUGGCCUUAUGGGCUUCGCAUAUUUAACAGAACAACAGGAUUAGCGUAUAUUGUUUACCUGAUUGCUAUGCCCACACUUCUUUUUCCUGCAGUUCACAGCACGGGGGUGUAGACGAGCAUAGCACCUACAACAAAAGAUAUCAAUGGUAUGGCUUUCAGUACGGACAUAGAGAAUAGAAAGAUUUCAGUUCUAAUGUGUAAGCCCGCUUUCUAAAGCAGUAGGAAAGGAAAGCGAUUUAACCAAGGGUGUAACAUGAUUUGGGGCACAAUAAACAAUAUUGUAUACUUCAAAAAAUAUGGGCAAAAGAUGCUUAUGUCAAGAAUCAACAAUAUGAAGUUGUAGAAGAAAGAGAAUAUAUAACCAGAUGCAUAUGAAAAAAUAAAUUGAUAGUGCUCGAAGAACAAUUCAUUACAAACAAAUUUCAAACUAAGGUAUCUAGAAGGAGCCUUCAUAUAAAUAAGCAAAUGAGGAAAAUGCAGACAUACUUGCGGCAGAUCAUCUUGUCCUGGUUGUAUUUCCUAGCCAAUGCCAUCAAAGAUGGCUCGAUAAUGCCACCACGAAGCCUCAGAACCAGAUGCAAUGUUGAUUCUACACAAUUCCGAACAAACAUUCAGAUAAAAAGAACAAAAAUGUUCAGGCAUUCAAUCAAACAACAGGGAGCUUCUCCUAGAUUCAGUAAAGAAAGAAGAAAAAAAAGAUUCAGGGAUAACAUGAAUUCUAUUUCUUCUUAUCAUAUAUAGGGGAGCUAGCUGAAACAAUGUGAUGGGAAACAUGGAUUGGUUCAAUACGAGGAAUGAAAACUAAAUCGCAAUUUGCCAGGGUAGUCUUCAUCGGUUCUUUUAGCAUGAACAAAAUUCAAUUUAUUGAAACCUAAAACUUUUUCUCGAUAAUUUAGAAGUUCAUGAACUAUUUGUUUUACUCAAUAAUUUUAUGAUAAAAUAUUGCUUAAUGGAACCUUAGUUUUACUGAAUUGGGUCUCUAGUGUUCCAUAAUUCGGAACAUAGGUAAGGAUUCAAAAAUCACUAAGGAGAUUAGGAUUUCUGGUAACAGAGAGCUAAAAUAGGUUCUAACAAUUCCUAUAGUAUUAGUUGCUUGCCAUCGACUCGCAUUUCCUCGGUGAGAAAACAAUAAUUAAGCAUGUUUACAGCUUUGAUUCGCAGAUCAGGUCGUAUAAAUAUAAAUUAAAAACAAAUUGUAACAUUCUAUGUCCAAAUUUGCGACGAAUUUUCUAGAGAAUCAAACAGAUUUUAUGUUCAGUACUACUUACCUUUCUGGAUAUUGUAGUCGGCAAGUGUACGACCAUCCUCAAGCUGCUUUCCGGCGAAGAUCAACCUCUGCUGGUCCGGCGGGAUACCUAGCAAGAUUUUACAAAGGAUAAUGUAAGCCAUCUGAUUCCAUUCCUAAAACAUGAACAAUAAAAAAAAACGGAAGAAAAAGAGAAGCGUGUACCUUCCUUGUCCUGGAUCUUAGCCUUAACAUUGUCGAUAGUGUCGCUGGAUUCAACCUCUAGGGUUAUGGUCUUCCCAGUUAGGGUUUUCACGAAGAUCUGCAUUUUCCUUAAAACUCUUAUGCCGCUUAUGUUUCUCUCUUUGAUCCAAAAUUUCUUACUCGUUUAUUGGCAUUUAAAUAGAUGGGUUCAUUCGGGAUUUAGGGCUUUUAGAUGUUGUUUGGUUACAAGUUUAUAGUUUCAAUUUCCCGUCGUUUGGCAAGCCAGUUACAGAUAUAGGAAUAGCAAAAUCCGGUUUUAUUAGGUUAAUUUAUAAUAGAGUAUAUUUAAAAAGGUUUAAUGUUAUAAAAAAAUUUCAAACUUUUUCAAAAAAAUAAAUUAAGCCCUUCCGACCUUUUUACAUUUAAUUGAGUCCUCCAACUGAGAAAAUUAAUUAAAUAGAUCUUUUGACUAACAUUAACUGUUAAAAACUAACGUAACUGAUGACGUAGCAAUUUAAGUUGAUUUAAAUUGUUUUUAAAUAUUCAAAUUUCUAUAGAAUUAAAAAAAAAAUCAUGACGUGGAACUUAAUUAAUAAAAAAAAAUUUUAUUACAUUUUUUUCUUUAUUUUCAAAUUUCUUCUCAAAAUGAAGAAUCCUCUCUUUUCUAAACCUAAUGGUCACUACUCAUCAUCUUGUUGUCGGUGAAAUUUCUUUUGGUUCUCGUUUUAACAUUGGAAUAAAGCCCUUUCUCCCCUUCUUUCUCUUUCCCUAAUGAUUUUCUUUGAUGCUGACAGAAACUUUGUGAAUCUAGACCUUGUGUUCAAAAACUUAACCCAUAUUCAUUAUCGCCAUUGAUUUUUUUUUUCUUUGUAAGUUCAAUGACUCGAAAGAAUCGGAGGAAUUGAGUGAAAAUUUUUAGUUAUCAAACAUAGAACAAGUUUACACUCUUUUACUCAACUAAUGGGUGAAUGUAUCCACCAUAGUAUUUUCCACCGAGGACUUUCUAAUCAAAUAUGUAUUACACAAAAAAAAUUAUAGCUUUUAUUGAUUAGUGCUAUUGUAAUAUUUUUAGGAAAUUUGGUAAAUUUGUUUACCUAUUUUUGUUAACGGGUCACUUUCUUGUUGAUUUGAGUUUUAUACAUUUUAAACAUUUGUCUUUGACUUAAUGAUUUGAGUUUUGUUUAGGGUAUGAUUAUGGUUUAUUUUUGUUAAAAAUUGACGAUGUUAGAGGUUAACUUUAGUGGUGAGGGUGGACACGAGUUUAGCAAUGGUGAAUGAGCUGUUUAGGAUGAGUUUAUCUCAAUUUCACGACUAAGUAGUGAGUGGAGGAUGAAGGUUGAUAAAAAUAACUAUUAAGCUUAUAGAUGGUGGAAAAAAUAAAAGUUUUAUGGAAAUAUUUUAUUUUGUAAUUUUUCUGAAAAUGCUCUGCAAAUAGUGUUUGGUUGUGAAAAAAAUAAAUAAAAAUUUUGAUGGAGGAAAAUCUGCAAACCUUAAAAGUUUUAACUUUUAAACAUUGAAACAUAAUUAAAAUAUUUUUAAAAAAAAUUCAUGUCAGAUCGUCAUAAUUAAUUAGAUAUGAGAUAAAAUUUAUACAUAUUUAAUGCAUACAUCAUUAUUUUUUUUAACAGUCGUAAAUGCAUAUAUCUACUUACAUAAUUAGAUAUGAGAUAAAAAGUAUCAUGAAUGUCUUUAUAUUAGAAGUUAGAUUGUAUUUUGUUCUCUCCACUCAAAUAAUGGUUAAAUUAGUUCCUAUACAUUAGAUCAAAUAGUAGAUUGAUCAUUUUUUAAAAAUUUCAUCCAUUUUUACCGUUAAAAAAUCAUUUUUUUAAGUUAUGACCGUAAAAUUUAUUAUAAAAAAUAUUUUUUAUGUUUUAAAAGUGUUUUAAUAUAUUUAUUUAUAAAAAGUUAUGAUCAAGAAGUAUGGACACAACUUAUUUAUGUGCCUAUAUUAUAUAUUAAAAAAAUAUGUUUAUUCGUAAAAAACAAAAAUGUUAUAAAAUUUUUUUAUCAUAACUUAUUUGUAAAAAAAGUAAAAUUUUAAAACUAUGAAAAAAUUAUAUUAUUUAUAAAUAGUGUUAUAAAAGCUAUUUGACACCUUAUAGAAACUUUUUUUUGUUUUAUAAAUGUUAUAUAUUAUAAUUUUAUAUUAUAAUUUUUACUUAACUUACAUAUUAUGAAAAAAGUUAUAACCUAUAUAAUUCUUUCUCCAAAAUAAAUUUAUAUAAAUUUUUAUGAUUAAAGUUACAAAUUAUAUGAUUAAAGUUACAAAUUAUUUGCAUCGUGAACCCAAAUAUUAUAUGGUAGACGUUAAUUAUAUAAGUACAAAAGGUUUUUUUGAAUCAUAUCGUGGGAUAUGAUACCAUUUGAGAUAAUAGAGUUAGACACAAGCACCGGAUAUGGCUAGCAAACUCUUUAAUUUGAGAUAAUCAAAACUUCAAAAUGUGGUUGAGAGGGCAUUUGUUGUUCUGAAAAAAAAAAUUUCUCAUAUUAAUAACACAGCCUUAAUUUAACUUUAAAAAAAAAAAACAAUGUUGGAUCAAAUUAGUAUGUUGCAAACUUCAUAGCUUCAUUCAUAGGUGGAGUUGAGAUGAUCUACUUUUCAAAAAAUAUUUGAAAGAAAGAUAUAUUGAAGAUCUUGAUAAUACAGAUUCAAAUGAUGAUGGUGAUAAACUCGACCAACGAUCGACAUUUGAUAAUAGUGCCAACAAAUAUGAAACACUAGAACAAUUAUAUAAAUUUGUAUAUGAUGUUUAUUUUUCUUGUUAUUUCCAGUAGUAAUGAUAAUAUUAUAAACUAAUUUUUUGGACUAACAUAAUAUAUAUGAUAAUUUAUUUUUAAAUGUUGUUACUUGUUUAGAAUUUCUUUUGCCAUGCUAAUAAAUAUUAUUUAUUAAUUAAUAUUUUUAAAAUUUUAAAUUAUGUAAUUGUGUAAUUACAAUCUGAACUACCAAAUAUGAUAUAGAGAAUUACAAUUUGUCAGCCAAACACCCUAAAGGAAUUAUGACUCUUUGCAAUUACAAGAGAAUGUAAUUAUUAGGAUAAUAAUUAAGAUUUCAUUCAAUUACUAUAUGCUCUCCAAAUAGAUCUUUAAGAGUUUUACUAAGUUGAUGUCACAUUCGAUCGAGUCACUAACUUAGUAAUGAAUUUACCAAAUGCCCUUCAUUUUUAAUAAUCAAUAGACAUUAUUGCAAGGGUAAUUUUAUCUUUUCAUUUAAAAUCUAGAAAAAAAAAUACUUCACAAAAUGAGAUUCAAACUCAAAACACUGUGUUUUUUUUUUCAUUUUUAACUUUAUCAUUUUAACCAGAAACAUUUUUUAUUCUUAUACCCGUUUUUUUAAUUUGUUAUAUACAAUUUCUACCUAAAUUGUGGUGCAACAAAAUCUAAUUUAAAUUAUAUGUUUUAAAUAUGCUCCAAAUUUCUAUAGCUUUAAGAACUAAAUUAAAAUAUUUUGAAAUUUAUAAUGUUUUAAAAAUUUAAAUUAAUUGAAAAUACAAAUAUGUGCUAUAAUUUAGAGAUAUAAGAUGAAAUUAACUUGAUUUUAUUUUUUCUUAAUCCAACUGAUUUAAAAGGAAAAUCUAAAAUACUUAAUUAAAAACAGUGAUAUUACAAUUUAAUUAGCAUAAAAACAAAAUCUUAACUAUUCCAAAGGACUUGUACAUGUAAUACAAUUACAAUAAUGAAUUAUUUAGUUGAUUGGGUUUUAGCUCGAUUGACAUAUAUAUUAUUGUCAAUGUAGAAACACGUAAGUUCGAGUGUGCUGACGUGUAUCUUCCUCUUAUGUAUGGGUUGAGAAUGAGUUACGGCCUAUAUGUAAUUCUAAAAGAACAAAUAUAAUCAAAAUUUAUAAUGAAAAUAUUUAUAUUCUAAAAGAUUUUCCUUUAUUCCAAGGGACAUAUAUGCAAAUCUUUAUUCCAAGAGGCAUAUGUACAAUGGAUCAAUAAAGUAAUACUUAGGCAUAUAUGCAAUGUGUCAACAAAUCCAUAUUUACCGUCGUAAUUGGUAAAGUCAUUCUAAAUUGAUAUUAUCAAUCACUCUUUUUAUUUUUAUUUUUUUAAAUUAAAGAAUUCGUUAUUGAAAAUAAUUAAUGAUGUAUGAAUCGAAUUGAAUUAAUUAUUUAAAUUAAAAAUUAAUUGAAAUAUCGAUAUAACUAAAAGUUUAAUUAAUUAAAAUUUAAUAAUUUUUAAUUAAAUCGAUUAAAUUGGUAACUGAAAUUCUUAUAAGAAAAUAUAUAUUUGAACCAUGAUACAAAUAUUGACCAAAUAAUUUAACCCCUCCCCCACAUUGGUAAUGCCACCUCAUCAUUUCACCGAAGAACUCCUGCCCGAAACCUCGACAAGACCGAAACUAAACCCCACUUUAAUCAGUCAGUCAGGUCCAAGCUCGCUCUUUGUCAAACAGUCAAUUAUAAGUUUCAAGGGCACAUCACAUAAUGGCAUCUUCACCCCUUCAAUUCUCCACUCCAUUUCGCACUCUCCUAUUAUCAUCGCCGUCGUUACGAAAAUCCCCUCGUCUUCCUUUCCAUCCUUCAUUAUUCUCGCCGCCCCUUACUCAGAAGACCCUCACUUUUUCGAUUGGGACUAGAGCCGUUUCGGGGUCCGGGAAGUUUUAUUGGAGAGCCAAGGCGUCGAUGGCCGGGACCGCCAUGGAGAAAGGGAAAGGGAAAGGGAAAGUCGAAGUUUUUGAUUCCGAGGAGAAUCUUUCGGUUUCGCUCGCUAAAUACACCGCCGAUCUAGCCGCUAAGUUCUCCAAAGAGAAAGGCAGUUUCACCGUGGUUUUGUCUGGCGGCUCCCUCAUCAAGUCUCUCAGGUCUUAAGCUACCUUUCAUUUUCUUAGUUACUUUCACCAUCUCAUUUCUAUUUCUACUUGUUUUUUUCUCAAAUUAAUUGAACUUUCAGGAAACUAGUGGAACCCCCAUAUGUUGAUGCGAUUGAUUGGUCAACAUGGCAUGUUUUCUGGGUGGAUGAAAGGGUUGUUCCUAAGGAUCAUGAUGACAGUAACUAUAAGCUAGCUUUUGAUGGGUUCCUAUCGAAGGUAUAAUUAAAGAACAUAGUGAUUCCACUUUGUUAUUUUCUCACAGAAAUUAUAGUUCGUUCUGGGUUAUUUGUGACUAAAUUGAUAUGCUAAUGUGGUGGACAUGAGAAAGGUUAGGGUCUGAGAAGAUAGAUCAUAGAUGUUUCUACUUUGUGCAAGUUGGGUAAAAGUACCAUGUAAAUCAGAUAGCAUUUUGCCUCCUCUACUAAAAAGAUGGGGAAAUUAGUCCAGCAAACUGUUCUUUCUAUUAAAGUUCCAUUCAUUUCUACCAUUAAAAAUGGUCUUGUUGAGGUACAUGUACUGCAUAGCAGAAAGAUCCGUUUGCUCUUUAAUAACGAAUUCGGUUAAUUUGCUUAUUUUUUUAGUAAAGGGGUAAAAUGCAAUUUGACUCCUACUACUUUCACCCUGCUACUUUCACCCUGCAAGGUGCUGUUGCUUUGUGCUUUUCUUUGUGGCAGGUUUGCCUGUUUAAUUCAUUCGAAUCAUCCAAAAGAUACAAGAAAGGGUCUUGGUCUUUGAAUUGUUAAUAUGAAAUUGUUAAAUUUUUAUCUCCUUUUUUCUUAGCCAAGUUCUCUGCCAAUUCUGGUUCUAAGAUGAUGUUAGUAUACCAUUUUUCCCUAGGUAACAAGUUAAAAGUACUUAAAACAUGUUAUUUUCUCACCUACAGGUACCGAUUCUCCCUGGUAAUGUAUACGCCAUCAAUGAUGCACUGUCUGCUGAAGGUGCAGCCGAUGAUUACGAGACUUGUCUCAAGCACUUGGUGAAGAGCAACGUGCUUAGUGUCUCAACAGCCACUGGGUUUCCUAAGUUUGAUCUCAUGCUUCUCGGAAUGGGACCGGAUGGACACGUGGCUUCCCUCUUUCCUGGCCAUCCUCUGGUGAAGGAGAACGAAAAGUGGGUUACCUUCAUUAAGGACUCACCAAAACCGCCCCCGGAGAGAAUCACCUUUACUUUCCCAGUUAUCAACUCAUCUGCUCACAUUGCACUUGUGAUCUGUGGUGCUGGUAAAGCUGGUCCGGUGCAUUCCGCAUUGGGAAAUAGUCAAAAUUCCGAUCCACUGCCUGUUCAGAUGGUUUCACCAGAAGGGGAGCUUGUUUGGUUUUUGGACAAAGAUGCAGCUUCCAAGCUAUAAGUUUUUAAGCCUAUAGCUUAUCUGAGUUACUCGAGACUUACUUUGAGUGUGUUAAAUUGGAGUUCACUGGUCUGAGCAGUGAUUGUGCUACCGGAGUUCGUCUCCACUAUAGUUAUCGACUAGCAACCAUUUUCUUCUUUUUCUCAUGAUGAAAACAUGCUAUGUUCAAUAAAACGUAUUUCAUGGUUGCAUCAUCUGCGGCUUGAGUUGUUAAAAGUAGUCUUACCAUGAUAAUUAUAGGCACCGCUUGAAAUGUUGUCUCUGUUUUUUACUAUUUAGUUUAGUCUAAAUGCUUAAAUUAGAGGGAAUAAGGUUGCGUUCAGAUAAUGGUCAAAAUUUUACAGAACUCUUCAAGAGUUUUUCACUUAUUCAAAUUAGUUUGCGGUAAAAAGGUUAAAAAGAAUUCUCAGAGCAAAUUUGUCCUUUUGAAAAUAAUCAAAGCAAUUUAAUUACUAUUAAUUUUGAAAAAAAGUUUGCAUUUUAGUCAUCACUUUUAAAAAUAAUCAUUUUGAAAAUAAUCAAAGUUUGCAUUUUGAAAAUAAUCAUUUUGGUCAUUCGGAAGUAUUUUUAAAAUUUUUUUCCACUUACUUUAGGUAAAAUAAAAAAAUUAACAUUUUAGUCCCUAAUCUUUUAAUAUAAAUGAGGUUUAAUCCUUUUCUAAAAGGAUGAGGUUAACCCUAAAAUUGAAGAAAAGAAAGGGGGUUUGUGGAAAAUCUGUAGCUGAAUCGUUUUUGUUCUGCUUCCUCCAGUACCGUUGCUCUAAGGACAUAACUGUAGUGCAGCUUUUUUGAAACUGGAAGUUGAAUGAUUUUUUUAAUCCCUAGAAAUUUAUUAUACCUAAAAUUCACUUUGUUGCAUCUUCUGCAUUUCGGUGGUCCUUUACUUGACAAAUUAAGCACAACUUCUAUCUUAUAACUUUAAGCAAUGCUUGUUGUAUGCCCCUAAUCUCUAGCAAUUUGUGUCGUGUGGGAACUCACAAGCUUUCACCAUGUUGGUUUUAGGUGAUAGCCUAAGUGAUUGAACCAUCAAAUAAGUGUGGAGAGUUUGGGCUAAGAGAAUUGGUUAUUCUGAUUUUAUCUUUUGGGGUUUCAUUCAUAAUUUUGAGGUUUCAUCCAAUACACAGUCAAACCUCCCAUUAAUACUGUUCACUUCGAAGAUGAAGAAAAUAACAGAGGAGGUGGGUGAUGCCUCUUGUCGCCAAUUUGUAGGGUUAAACUCUUUUUUAGGUAGGAUUAAACUUCAUUUAUAUUAAAAGUUUGGUACUAAGAUGAUAAUUUUUAUUUUAUUUAAAUCAUGUGGAAAAUAAAAAAUUUAGAAAUAAUUCCAUGUCAGAUUUCGGUUUACAAUUUUAUCAGAGUGACCAAAAUGAUCAAAUUAUAUAAUGUAGGUACCUAAAUAUAUAGAAAAAAUCCAGGUGGCUAAAAUGAAAAUUUUUUAAAGUUAAGUAACCAUCUGUGUAGUUUACCCUAAUGUUUACAUGAUUUUAAUUGGUAUAAUAAUAAAUUUGUCCCUCCAAAUUUACAUAAAUUAACAAAAUUACUCAAAUUUGUGUAAAUGUGUAAAUGUUAAAACUAAAUUUAUUGAAUUUUUUAGAAUUAAUGCCAAAAUGACAAAUUAAAUUAAAUUUAUUGAAUUUUUUAGAAUUAAUGCCAAAAUGACAAAUUAAAUUAAAAAAAAGGGAUCGAAGUAAAAAUUAAGUGAAUGUAAUGUAUUUAGAAUAAAACAAGUCAGAACUUUGAAGAGGAAAAAUUAUACUAUAUUUGGAAAACUCUUACUUGAGUAUUUGACCGUUGAUUUGACCCUUAAAUGUCAAUUUAUAAAGGUUUGGCUUUUACAUGCUAUAAAAAAGGAUUCCACUACGAGUAUUUAGCCAUUUUGUUACUUCUUACUCUAAAGCCAAAGCCAAGUAGCCAGUGGCAAUGGUAAAAAUUGCCUAUUAGUCUAUAAAUUAGCAUCCCAUUGCUCCAUGGUUUAGUAUACAUAAUAGGAAGAAAUGCUCAUGUGCAUGAUACCUUCCAUGCUACAAAUGACACUAUGAUAAUCAGAGCCCAUAAUUCCAAUCAAUGUACCAUAUUGCAAGAGACAUAAUAAGAGAUCCAUCAUGUCAGCCCCUGCCACGCCACUAGCCCUUUUUGCUCUUACAUAGAGAGGGCUUGCCCGUCUAUGGGAUCUAGAUCAGGGUGAAGACUAGGGACUUAUGCUGGAAAUGUUAAGAUGAUAAAUAGGUUUUGCUAAAUUGCAAUGGAUCACAAUGUCAUUUGACAAGUAUAAAAGGAAGAGGACACAGAAUUAUAAAAACAUGCUCCUGCUUUUAAAUUCCAACAAUAUUAAACAUUGUCUGGUUUCCCUGCUAACUUAAAUGGGGGCUCAAAGAUGCUCAAAUAUAUUGUCUUUUGACAAUGGAGCAUAUCAUCAACAGGUAUUUAGUUCGACACACAAAUGCUAAAAGGAAAUUAAACAAAAGAUAUGACUGUGCUAUUUCAACUAACAGAUGAGACACACUGAUUCUUCCCUCGUAACAGGUAAAGUCCUGUAUAGUAAUAAGCUACUCUUUCUUGGUAUAGUGACGUACCGCAAUAGCCAAGCCCAGGAUCAAGAGGGGAACAAGAAAUUGUAGGAUCUUGAUGACAAACUCAGGGGUCUUAUCGGGAUUGUAAGGCGUUUGCUGGGGUGGAAUGUAAGUGCGCUUUGCCGGGACAGUUUUUGGAUCAAUCUCACCAAUAUAGUAUUUUUCCAUCAUUUCUCUUGCUGAAUCACUGUGACCCACAUCUUCAAAAUCAUUGGUGGCAUCCUUCCCUGAAAAAAUUAGGGGACAAAUAACAUGAUCAAACUACCGAAUUCAAGGUUAGUUACUUAAAGCACCAAAUACAAAAUCGACUGUAAAAACUUACCAGUAGCUGACAGCAAAACUUCAUCACCUCCAGGAUGAUCAUCCAUGAACGGAGUUACAUCAUAAACCUGGAUCAAGAGAAAUCUCAAUCUUAAACAAUAGUUUAACUUCAAAUACCUUGUUCUUGACUUCAAUGGACUACUAAACAUCAAAGGAGAAACGUUCGAUAUAUAACGAAAAUUUGACCUACAAACACCAGAAAUCAAAAUUUUCAUUCCCCGUAUUCAAUUACAGGUAGCACUCUACUCCUUUUUUUCACAUAAGUAAUGUUGGAUGAGAGCAGAUGAUGGAACUACUGGAAUGGUUCAUUUGCAUAUUUAUGUGAUUAGAUCCCAUCAUUACCCUUUUAACUAAUUAGAGAUAAUAUGAGUUCUGCCAAUUGAAAAAACUUCAAUCUAUCAGACAAAAGCAACCACAUAAAUGGCAUAAACUGUUGCAAAACACACACACACACACUUAUAUAUAUAACUAAAAGAUUAAUUAAUAGUAUCCAAAUACUUAAAAGGCAAAAAGUCAAAUUUCAACUACCAUGAAAAUGAAUAUAAUAAAUAGCUCUUUAAUUCUCUCUCUCUCCAUUAGAAGGAAAAAUCCAAACUCUUUUUCUUCAUGUCAUAUAUCCUCCUAAUUAUGAAAAGAAAAACUUGAGAAUAGUCAUUAUGACAAAUACAGACAUUUUCGAACUGGUACGCAUGUUUCAGAACAGGGAAUCCUCCCGCUAGCUUAUAGUUUAUUAGUAUAAAAUUAUUGAGCAAAACAAAUAAUUCACAAACUUACAAAUUUUAUAUAUUUAGAAUUAUGUAUUCAUAUAAACACAAAAAUAAUACAUUUAAGUUAAAAAAAACGUUUCACAUUCCAAUUUUCAUUCCUCGUAGAAUCCGCCUUCCAAGUAACAUAGAUGAAACUUGCAAUUGAAAGAUGAACUAAACUCACAAAUCAUCCAUAAUCAAACAAAAUGAGCAUGAUUUUUAAAUAAAAGCAAAGGAACUAAAACAAUCCAGCAGAGAAAGACCAGAAACAUUAAUAGAAUAAAAGAAAGAACAAGAUCUGACCUUCCCAGAAAUAAACAGCCAACAAUCUUUGGUUUUGUUGUGGUUGGCAACCUCCUCGAAAAUGUGCACUUUAGGAUCUGAAGCCAUUCCUUCAACGAUGCCAACCAAAGAAAAACACCAAAAAUUUCAAAACCCCACCGCCGAUUAGAUCUGAAGCACCCACAAAAGAAAGCUAUAAAAGCGUAUAAAAAAAGUAAAGCCCAGUUAAACUAUAAAAAUAAAGAGUCCAAAAGGCUUCAACUAUGUUCUUAAAAAAGAAGAAGAAGAAAAAAACUAGAGAAAGAGAAUUUACGAUGAAAAGGGAGAAAAGGCUUUAGCUUACGUCCCCCACUGUCUUUGUGUUUUUUUUGCGUCAAACGGACAGUGCUAAUUGCCAACUCAAAAGAAAGUGUGGAUCUUCGCUUCUACUUAUGCUGUUGAUGGCCAAAAAACGUCCGUAUAAUCUUCAGACUUUACGGAACUAUCCUGAAUCAUAAUCAGUUCGAUGAGGGUAGUUUUGUCUCUUCAGGAAUACAUUUUUCAGUUUUUAUUUUUUAUCGUUUUUCUCUGGCCAUCAGUUUUUUUUCAAAUUAGUCCUGAAAUUUUGUGGUGUUUUCAUGUUUGUCCUGAUUUAUUUCAUUCGUUGGUAAAAUUAAUUAAAUUGUUAUUGAAUUUUACUUAAAUUUUGAUCAGAUAAAUUCUACAUUAAAUUUUUAAUAAGUACAACUAAAAGUAAAACAAAAAAAAAAUCAUCACGAUCAAAUAACUUCGCAUAUAUCAAAAAUUAAGUUUAUGGAAUUCCAUAAAUUUAACAUUUAUGCUAUAUAUUAAUAUGAUUAGUUGAGAAUCCAUUUUUAUCAACGUAAAAUGAGGUUUUAAUAAAUCUAAAAUUAAUUAAAAAAAUAAUAGUGCUAGAAAUUAAAAUUAUUUUUUAAUAUCUAAAAAAUAAUAGAAUUAAAUUUCAAAUGUGAGCAAUUUUAAUUAAUUAUUAAAUUCAUGUAAAGGGAUCACACUAAGCUUUGUGUUAAGCUGUUUAGCUUAUAGCUAGUUUAGUAUUGUUUUUUAGAAUUGUUUUUAAAACAUGUUUUAUAAAAGUGAUUUUAAUAAGUAUUUUUGAAAAGUUUAGUUUAAGAUUUAAAUGUUUAGUAUUGUUGUCAACAAGUGUUUUUUGAGAAAUAAAAUGUCCAUUUUAAACGUAUUGUUAUAAAGUAACAAAUAAGUAUUUAAAUACUGUUUAAAUUAGUUGAUAUUAUGAUAUUUUAAUAAGAAUAUAGAAAAUAAUUUAUUAUAAUUUGUUAUUGAUAUUUUAAUAUAUGAUGAAAAAUAAAUAUUAAAUAUUUUUUAAACAAUUAACCAGUGAAGGGAAAGUACCAUAUGUUGGAAAGAUAAAAACGUAAUUAAGCUAUCAAAAGUACUUUUAGGAGAGAAAAGUUGAAAAUUUUAAUUUUUUCAUUUGGAGAAAAGUACUUUUAAAAAGCCAAAAAUUUCCUUCAAAAGUUAAUUGUUUAGCAUUCAUUUUGCUUCAAAAAUAUCUAUAAAAAACACUACAAAACACAAUCUUAAUUUAAUUCCCAACUAACACGUCUUAACUAACACUUAAAUUCCCAGGUUUUGGUUAGGCUGUUUAGCUUAAUCUAAGUGUACAGGCUGUUAGGUUUUAAAAUAACUUGCGUCAAUUUUAAGAAAGUAGGUACCAUGUUUAAAGGUUUCUACACGUAUUAAAGUUAAACUUAUGGUUGUUUCUGAAAAGAAUGUUAGGCUUUUCUAGAAAAUAUAUUAAAAAAAUAGUUCUGAAAAUAAUUGUUAAGUUGAGAUAUUAUUUUGGAUAAAAAAAAUGUCAAAUUUUAAUGUGAGAGUAAAUUAUAUUUAACGCCACUAAACUAUUAGUAAGUUCAUAUUUUGGUCACUUAACUUUAAAAAGUUAUAAAAUGGUCAUUGAACAAUUUGAAAAUUUUUAUUUAAGUCAUUGGGUUGUUAAAGUUGUUACUGUAUGGCCUUCUUUGUUUGCAUUGCCCGUACUAAUUGGAAGAUAUCUUUCUCCUUCUCUUCUACAAUUUAGUGCUUUUUUAUAAAAUAGGUUUGAACGUCACAAUUUUACGAACCAAAGUCCAAACAACAUUGUUCUCUAAUAUCUGAUAUUGACUUGCAGAUCAGCUUGAAUCUAAAUUAUGUUCUUUUACUCUUAAUGGAUACUGAUUUACUGUACUGAUCGUUGAAUUGUUAUUUGGGGUUACUAGUUGGGCUUUAAAAAGAAAAUCUUAAGACCCAAUAUCUAAAAUAAAAAACUUUCGAAUAGUUCAAUAAUUUAAAUAAAUUUUUUUGAAUAAUUUAAUGACCAUUUUAUAAUUUUUUAAAAUUGAAUAACCUAAACAUAAAUUUAUUAAUAAUUUAAUAACAUUAAAUAUAAUUUACCCUAUUUAUUAUUUACUUAGGGGAAACAGAGGAUAUUAACAAUUGGGAAUCGAUAAAAUAAUUGAAGCAACAUUGAAACUUCGUCUUUUAGUGUAAAAAAAAAGUUGGAGCUUUUUUUUUUUUUUUGGUUCUAUAAGAAAAAGGUUGAGCUUUACGAGGUUCAAAACGUGAAGGUUGAAUUUUGUAACUAAAGAGAAUUAGAAAGUUCUGAAAUUUGUAACGUCAAGCUUCACGUUAUUCUAGGCAAAAAGAGAAUUUUAUCACACUAGACUUGGCUUUCUAGGCAAUUUUUUGUUAGGAAUAAACAUAAACAUAAAUUUAACCUUUGAUGUUUAUUGAUUUUAUUUUUUUUUGUCUAUAUUUAUUUAUUUGGAUUACAUUGACUUUUAAAAUUUUUAAAUUGUAAUUAAAUUGUUUUGUUUCGGAUAGAAAAGUUGAGUGAAUUAUUAAAAUUUUAAUACAAUUGACGUAACAAUUGUAUGGAAAUUUACGUGCACUUCGUUAAUGAGAUGGAUAUUUUUUAAAAAAAAAUAUGAAUUUUUUUAAAAUUUUGUUGAAAAUUGUUGAAAAUUUUUAAGUACACGUGGAUUACCGUCUAAAUUACCACAUGAAUGUUGUAAAAUUUUUAACAAGUUAGUCAAUUUUUUUUGGUAAACAAGAACAACACUAGACGAUUACAAUAAAAAAACAUAAAAUCAAAAGUUCAAAAUAUCUUUUUGAAUUAAACCCUACACAGCUUGAGGAGGUAUGGAGAAUAUUUAAAUACUUGUGAAUUCUAUAAUCAAUUUUCUAUUUGGAACAAAAGUAAUUUAACAAAAUUUUGAAAUUCAAAAACCAAAAUGAUAAAAAAGAAAAGAUUGAGAACUAAAAUGAUAAAAUAGAUAACCAUUAAAUACUAAAUUUAUCAUCAUGUAGGUCAAAAUUUGGUUUUUCUUGGAGGGGUCAACCAUUUAUUCAUAACACUAUAAAAUAUAUUGGGAGAAAAUAAAAAUAUAAAAUAUGUUUUUUACACAACACCAUCCAUAAAAGAACAAUAUAAUUAUUAUAAUAGUGUAUUUUGCCACCAUCUAAAUUUACUAAUUCUUCGCAUACUAAAUAUGUAUAUUAUUAAAUAAAAUCCAUGUUCUGUUUUUGGUACCACGAUUAACAUACAAACAUAAAGACAAAACAUUUGCUAUCAAGAGCAGACAUAAAUUGUGCUACCAAGAGCAGACAAUGGAUUUUAUUUAAUAAUAUUUAUAUUUAGUAUCCGAAGAACGUAUGGAAGAGUGUUUUCUAUUUUUGUUAUAUUCAUAGAGAGACUAUGAGUUGGAGUCAAGAGAUUCAGUGUGUAGUUUCUCUUCUCAAGAGAAAAUCUUUGCUUACUUUAAUUCUGAAAUUAUUAUGGAAUGCAUUCAUUAUCUUAUGGAGAGAGAAAUCGAAGGCAUUUUAAAGGAGCUUGAGUUACAGAAACUGAAAAUUUGAUUUCCAUCAAGGAAAUUGUACUGAUUUAGAAACGGGGGAAGAAUUGUUUGUAAUUGUUACGUUGUUUGUUUGUAGCAAUUUUAGAAAUUUAUCAUAAAGAAAAAGAAAAGUUCUAUUCAAAUUUCAGAGGCCUGUGAAAACCCAGCUUCUUCAAAUUCAAGAGAAGUUAAUGGGCCUAUACAGCAUGUAUAUUGGACAAUUGAAGUCCCAAAUCAAAGAGCUGGCACGGGCCACCACGAGUGGUUGUCCGGCCCAAAUUAUCCUGUUUUUCGCGACGGCGACCACGAGCUUUGUACUGGUACUGGACGCCACCAAUCUUUGCUUUCCGAUUCCCAACUGUCAAACCUCAAAAAGUCUUUGGGGUUCCCCUUCCUCGCCAACCUCGGAUUUGUCGCUGCGGUCUAGGGUUUUCAAUUCUUGCCGCGAUUUCCGAUCUCAAUCCUUUUCUCUUUCAAAAAAAAAAGAAAAGAAAAUCUUUAGCUGAUACUCGAUUUCGACCUGCCAAUUGUCACUUGAUCUCAUCGUUUUUCCGUCUAUUCUUCUCGGCGAUUUAGAUUAAUUAAAUCGUAACAGCAUGGUGAGAUCGCACAUUCUUUUUAUUUAUUUAUUUUUUUACUUCGACUGGAUUUUGCAGUUGAGACUCUAAUAUACCUUUUAUUUGAAUGCAAUUCGAAUUUCUUGAUUUUGUUAAAUUAGAAUUUCCUGCUUGGAGCUUUCAAGCCGGCAUGCAAUAUCUUGAUCACAUUUUCCGAUGCUAAAACUCGCAAGCAGGUAUGCUUCUAGAUCACUGUGAUUGUUCAAUUUAUUUUUCACGAGUCAUAGUGCUGGAAUCUGGAUUAUUGUUAUGUGAUUAGGUCCCCAUGAAAAAGGAAAAUGGCCAAAUGGUUAUGGUACCGCUUUUCCAAAGUCAAGAAAAUAUUGCUGGGAAGGUAUUUAUUUCAACAGAUUGAGGAUCAUAGUAUUUGAGCUUUGUACUUGUAACUUUAAAUGUACUACUAUCAACUUUCAAAUUUUGAAGAUAUUUCUUUGUCGCCUUCAGAUCUCCAUAGAACCACUUCAAGGGAAGAAAAUUGAACAUAAUGGUGUGAAAGUCGAGCUUCUUGGUCAAAUAGGUCGGUCCCUGUCCCUUGUUCAGUGUGUUGAUCCCAAUUUUUAAAUAUCAUUCAGAUGUGGUAGAAAGAAUGAGGUUGAACAUUUGAGAGUGUUGUUUCUUGUCGAAUGAAAUUUAUACAAACUUUGAUUUUGCUUGCAGAGAUGUAUUUUGACAGAGGCAACUUUUAUGAUUUCACCUCUCUUGGUGAGUACUGUAGUCUGACCUUACUGUUGUUUGCUUUUCCUGGAAAUUGUUUCAACAUUCUUCAACUUAGGAAUUAAUUUCCAUUAGUUGCAUUUGGAAUGGAUGUGGGUGAAAAUAAAAACUCAAAGAGUACAGUUUGUGCUUUGCAGUUUGUGAUAUUUAUAUCCUUUUUCAGUCUGUUAAAAUAUUUUUGCAUAUAAUAAGUUCUUGUAGACUGUUGAGUUUUUGUAAUCUUUUGUAUAUCCAUAAUAUUUGCAGUACGUGAGUUGGAUGUUCCUGGGGAUAUAUAUGAAAGGAAAACUUACCCAUUUGAGUUUUCUACGGUUGAAAUGCCAUAUGAAACUUAUAGUGGUGUGAAUGUGCGGCUCAGGUAUGCUACCCACUGCUUAAACUCUUUGAAGAAUUUUGUUCAUUUUUCUUUUGAUCAAUUUGAAAAGACUGGUUCCCUGAUCACCAAAAGUUUGUUUGCUAUGUAUUUUCAAGGAUUAUUAAUCAGUUUCUUAUCAUGAUAAUAGUUUUGGAGUACUUGCCUUAAUAAAGAUUAUAAUUAUCCCGAUUCAUGUUACUAAAAGAUGCUUAUUUUGAAGUUAUGAAAUGGUUUAGUUUUGUUUGUCUGAUGAUGAGGUUGUUAAUUUGAGGCUAUAAUGUGACAACUCAUCGUAUAGUAGUUUGAUUAUGCUUUCCUCAGGUAUGUCCUGAAAGUGACAGUCAGCCGUAAUUAUGGUGGAAGCAUAGUGGAAUACCAGGACUUUAUGGUAUGCAGCAUCCACUUCCUUUUCUCUUCAAUUUUUGCUUUCUUUAUCUCAUCUCCUUUUUGCUUAGCAUACUAUGGCUCCUUACUCUCAUAUGUACUAACACUAUUAUGCAAAUAAGCAUAUACAUUGUGUGCCACUAAAGGCAGAACUUAAAUUGUCUGUCAUGCUUUCCCCCUCAUACCUGAUAUGCUUCUCUUAUACACGAAAAUCAGCAUCAAUCUAUAUAGCUAUAUACAAUUUAUCGGUUAUGCAGUCUUGGCUACUUAUCUUUUGCUUGGUUUAUGUGUAUCAGGUUCGCAAUUAUUCUCCACCUCCAUCCAUCAAUAAUAGCAUCAAGGUGUGUGCAAUAGUUUUAACUUAUUCUUAUGAUUGUGAACAUCAGAUUGUUUGCUUCAUCAUUUGCUAAUGAGCUGCUCACCACUGAUUUCAUUCGUAAUAUUUAAUUUUAAUGAAUAUCAAAUCCGAUCUACAGAUGGAAGUUGGAAUUGAAGACUGCCUGCACAUUGAAUUUGAGUACAAUAAAAGCAAGUAAGUCAAACAUCUAAUGAUCUUGCUUAAAUCUGGAAGAAUAGGCUGGCUUAGGUCAGUGGUCAUAUAGGAUUUAAGUUCUUGAACUUAUACUACUAUAAGAACCAAAUUUCCAAGUCACUUUCUGUGAAGUAGUUUUGACUAUAUAUUGAAGUUCUUACUUAUUGAAAUCCAAUUUGCACAGGUAUCAUCUGAAAGAUGUUAUUAUCGGCAAGAUAUAUUUUCUUCUUGUGAGGAUCAAGAUUAAGAAUAUGGAUCUUGAGAUACGGCGUCGAGAGUCUACAGGAUCAGGAGCAAAUACCCAUGUUGAGACUGAGACACUAGCUAAAUAUGAGUUGAUGGAUGGUGCUCCUGUCAGAGGUAUGUUCAUAACCUGUUUUCUUUGAAGGAUGUUGAUUUGGGCUGAAAUUUUAGUUUUAUUAAAUUGUGUACUAUGCUCAUAUCAUGUUCUUGGUAUUGAAGGUGAAUCAAUUCCAAUCAGGCUGUUUCUCAGCCCAUAUGAACUGACGCCGACGCAUCGCAACAUAAACAACAAAUUCAGCGUGAAGAAUUACUUGAAUCUCGUGCUUGUUGAUGAAGAGGAUCGUCGAUAUUUCAAACAGCAAGAAAUUACGAUAUACAGGCUACUGGAUUCCUGAGUAAGCAUCAUAUACAUGUAAACUUUAACAUUCCAUCCAGUAAAGAAGAACAGUGAUUAAACUUGUGGUACCUUUGUAAAGCCGCGAAGCUUAGGGUUAAAACUUGAAGAAAAAGAAAAUUACCGGAAGACAGGGUUGUUUAUUUGGAAGGGCUAUAAUGGCUUUUGUAUACUUUGCUUGCUAGAUUUCAGCUGACUCGGAAUUGAUGCAGUUAUUUACACGUGUAGUUACAUUUUGAUACGACCAUUAGUAGGCCGCCACUGCCGAUGAACAUUAUAGUUCAGAAUUGUCAGUACAUGUUCUGUGUAAUUACAUAACAAUUGCAUGAUUUCUUUUUCCCUUUUCCUCUCUAACCUUCAAAGGAAAACUCACUUUUUUCCGUGACAAAGCCCAAACUUCUGCAACACGAUAUAAUUUCAAAAUGUAUUUAAUAUAAAUCAUUACAACAAAAUCUUAAACACGCAAAUUACACCAAUACGCAGACUAGUCAAAUUUGUUAAUUGGAUUAGUAGAUUUGAUUUGGGUUGGGUUAAUUUGGAUUUUAAGAUUUUCGAUUCAGUCUCGAUUUUGGAUUAUUUUGAAUUUGGGUGGUUCAAGUUGGGGUGGUUAUGAGUUUGUAUCAUUUUGAGCAUUGAUCUAUUUUAGUUAUUUGAUCAACUCAUUUUGACCAUGAGUUAUUUUGGGAUUUGGAUUAUAUUAACUUUAUAUUAUUUUGUGUUUGGAUUAAUUUUGAGUUCAUGUAUGAAUUAAGUUGAGUUUAUUGGUUCAAAUUUUUAAACCUUCUAGAAAUUUAAAUUUAGAAUGAUUUAAAUAUAAAAAUUCAAACCAUAAUCUUUACAUCUAUAAAUACCACAUUAAGUAUGGCGGCCUUUUCCAGUGCUAUUUGAACCAAAUCGGUCUAGCUAGUUAAAUUGGAAAGUAAUUAAUAUAUCUAUUUGGAUAAUGGGUUGAAUCAACUUUUAAGCAAAUAGCUUAAAUUUAAAAAUUGAAUUAAAAAUUGACAAUUGAAUAAUUUUUUAAAAUAUUUAUAAAUUUUAAUUAAAUCGAAAACAAAUUAUUUGACGUAUUAGACCAUUGAUUUGGUUAUUAACCCAUUCACUUUCCCACCGUCGCAGGUCUCCCGACCAAAAGGAGCCUUUGUCAAAGUACAAAUGAUGCCUACGCCAUCUGAGCCACCGACACCUCCUCUUCCUUAAUACUAUUCAUAUCGGAUAACCCAGAUCCUGCCACGUGUUACAUUCAAAAUAUAAAAUUCCUAUCAAGUUGUGCCAAACGCGUACUCCGAUUCUGUUUCCCAUUUCAUCCACAGUUACUCGUCCCCAUCAUUUAUCCCACAUCCAAUAUACCCAUUACUUCUGAACACUUCAAAUUGACCCACUCCUUUUCUCCAUUAAAAGGUAAAAAUCAAAAUGCGAGCUCUUUUCAUUGAUUAAAAGCCCAACACAUUGGCUUUCGUCUUCGCAACUUCAUAUUAAAAUCUCUGCGUCCUCUCGCAGAAGGAAAAAAAGGGGAGAAAAUUUGACCGUGAGUAGUAGUAUUAGGCAGAAGAAACAAUGGAACUGUUCUAUUUCAUGGUGUUCGGUGCAUUGGGAGCAGUGGUUGCAGCAUUAGAGCUAAGCAAGAACAGCAAAGAUCGAAUCAACACUUCCCCUGCUUUCAAUUCCUUUAAGAACAAUUACCUCGUUGUUUACUCUCUCAUGAUGGGUAACUAUAUAACUCCCCCUCAUUUUUUUUUUGUAUUUACUCAGAUCUGAUUUAAUUUCUGUCCUUUAGAUCUCACUUUUCUUUUUACUCUUAACAUGUAUCUGAUCUAAUGCUGGUUUUUAUUUGUGUGUGUGCGCGCGUGAAUCCACAACCUAUUCCCUAGAUGUUCACUUUUAGAGUGUAAUUGAAUUUUUUUCUUUUGUGAUUUGGUUUCACUUUGAAAUGGAAAACGGGAUAACCUGCAUAUGUUUCAGCUUGUAAAAGGAAAGAGUAAAGAAAAUGACUUCCAAUAAGCGUUAUGUGGAUUGUCGGUCCCUUUCUGUUUUCUGGUUGAGACAUUGGAUCUUUGUGUGUGUUGGUGAUAGGUUGCUAUUACUUGGAUAAAGAAACAACCAAAUCUUUGAGGAUGAAACUAUCCAUUGUUGUUAGAGCUUACAGUGGAAGCCUUGAACUCGUGAUUCUUGCUGAGUUUAGCACCGUUGUGUUAACUUCUUUAAUAAGUUUUGUGGCAAUAGAUGUAGGGGUGAUACUUUCUAAUCUAGGUAUCUACUUGAGAUUUAAUGGUCUGAGAUGCCAUUGGUCAUGAAUUUGAAUUGUAUCAAAAUUUGUGGUCAAUCUAGCUUUUGAUACAAGUCUUUUAUGAUGACAUAUCUGUAACGAUCUUAAUCAAAUGCAUCAUAAACAUAUUACUACUUAUGUUUGAAUGAUAACCUUCUGGAGGUAUGAUCUGGUAAUUGUGAAAGAUAACCUUCAUGGUCAUUGGGUGAUAUAUCUGUCUUGCUGUUCUGAUAAAUGGUUGUUUAUGUAUCAAUAGCUGGAGACUGGCUGCAGGGUCCAUAUGUUUACUAUCUUUACAGUACAUAUGGCUUUGGAAAAGGGGAGAUUGGACAGCUUUUUAUUGCUGGUUUUGGAUCUUCCAUGUUGUUUGGCACAAUUGUUGGAUCUCUAGCUGACAAACAGUAAGCUUUUACUGUGGCUUCUGUUGUGAUCCUGUCAUACUCAAUGAAUGAAUGUCUAAGGUUUUGUCUUAAAUGCUAAAAUACCUUUUGUUCUAUUCAGGGGCCGAAGGAGGGCAUGUGUUACUUACUGCAUAACUUACAUACUUAGUUGCAUCACCAAGCACUCUCCUCAAUACAAAAUUUUGAUGAUAGGUCGUGUUUUGGGAGGUAUCGCCACCUCCCUUCUGUUUUCAGCAUUUGAGUCUUGGCUUGUUGCUGAACAUAAUAAGGUGAGCAAUUGUUUUGUGCUCUUUACUCUUAUGCAUAUCAGUCAAGCUUACAACUUACGGCAUAUAUGUGUUUGAUUUUGUGCCCUUUACUCUUGCUUCCUUACUAUUAUGGAUGCUGUGUGUUAGUCUGUCAGGUUGUUUGCCACCAUGCCCUAUUUUGGGGGAAAAAAACAAUGACAAAGACAUUUAGCUUACAUCUCAUAUUGAAAAUGGUAUAUAGGAAAAUGCAAACUUCGAUUCUUGAACUUUCCAUCAUUGUUUUCAAAGAUGUCAAGGCAUGAACCAUCUGUUUCUGCUUAGCUACAUUCUCGCCUGCAUCACUGAUGUUGAUAUCUCCUUUAAAUUUAAUCUUGUUCUUACAAUUCUAUUUCUGCUUCUAAUCUUUGCAGAGGGGCUUUGAGCAACAAUGGUUGUCACUAACAUUUUCUAAGGCAAUAUUUCUUGGCAAUGGUCUUGUUGCCAUUUUGUCUGGGUUGUUCGGGAACCUACUGGUUGAUUCACUAUCCCUUGGACCUGUGGCUCCUUUUGAUGCUGCUGCAUGCUUUCUUGCCAUUGGAAUGGCCAUUAUUUUAUCAUCAUGGACUGAAAAUUUUGGAGAUUCAUCAGAAAAUAAGGACCUGCUUACCCAGUUUAGGGGUGCUGCUGUAGCAAUAGCUUCUGGUAGAGUUCAAUAUUUAUUAUAAACUCAUACAUUGAUCAGAUUGACAAGUUGCAGGCCAAGUACUGUCUCUUGAUGCCUUCUUGUUGUCAGUCAUCCUCCAUUGUGCAAUAAUUAUUUCCUUAGGUUUCUUUUUGUUCCCUUUAGUCUAAUUUUUUGUGCACUUCAGAUGAAAAAAUUGCUUUGCUGGGUGCCAUCCAGUCUCUGUUUGAAGGUUCAAUGUACACCUUUGUGUUCCUUUGGACUCCUGCUUUGAGCCCCAAUGAUGAAGAGAUCCCUCACGGUUUUAUUUUUGCCACAUUCAUGUUGGCUUCUAUGCUGGGAAGCUCCCUUGCAUCUCGAUUGAUGGCUCGCUCAUCACCCAGGGUAGAAAGCUACAUGCAGAUUGUUUUCGUGAUUUCCUCUGCCUCUCUCCUGCUUCCCAUUAUAACUAAUGUAUGUUUGAACAUCUCUCUCUCUCUCUCUCUAUAUAUAUAUAUAUAUCUGUAGAUUAUUCUAUUGAGUGAUUCCUAACUAUAUGGAUUGUAACAGUUGUUGGUGCCUCCUUCAAAGGAGAAAGGCGGAAGCAUCUCAUUUGCUGGCUGUCUUCAGCUUCUUGGCUUCUGUACUUUUGAGGCAUGUGUAGGGAUAUUCUGGCCAUCCAUUAUGAAAAUGAGAUCCCAGUACAUCCCAGAGGAAGCUAGGAGCACCAUUAUGAACUUUUUCCGCAUUCCUCUCAACAUCUUUGUCUGCAUCGUGUUGUACAACGUAUGUUAUAAGCUUUUCUAUAAUAGCUUUAUUUGAUCAUGUGCCAUAGACCAAACCCAAUAAAGCUUUAACUCUGUAACUAACCAGCUAAUGUUUGUUUUGGCUGUGAAGGUUAAUGCAUUUCCCAUCACUGUUAUGUUCGGUAUGUGCUCGAUUUUCCUCUUCGUGGCCUCUAUCUUGCAAAGACGAUUGAUGGCAAUUUCAGACAAGCCAAGUAUGUAUACAACAUCAUAUCACACCAAACAUCCUUCAUUUUCCUGUGUUAUCUUUCAAGUCACUUCAAGCUGUUCUCUUUUCAAACAUUUUGAUGAUUAUUAUUAUUAUUUUCUUUUCAGAGAUGGAAAACUGGACAGCUAUGAAAGAAAGGGACCCUGAGGCAGAGCCACUAAAUGAUUGAGAGUGAUGUUUGGGCUACAUACAGGGUCACCAAGGAUUUUCUUGGUAGGUAGAAAGCAACAACAUAACUCAUUUCCCUUUUAGAGAUGCAAUUGCUACUUGAUACAGAUUGGAGGGUUUGUAUUUUGAUUUUAUGGUAAAAGAGGUAAAAAUACAGUGUAUAAGAAAAUAGGGGUCUACCCAAUAAAGAAGAUAUGAGUUAUAUAAUAGGUCAUUAUCGACUAUUCAUGAUUUGUUUUUUUUUGGCUGUCAGUAGUUCAGCAUUAACAAUAAUUAACCAAGUUUCAAAAUCUUUCUGAUUUUGAUAUUAUUCUUUUUUUCUAGAGUGCUUCAUAAUUCUUAAUGGGUACGUGGUUUAGAUUUUUUUUUAACAUAAAGGGUAAGGGUAGUCUUUGUCCAGAAAUUGAAUAUGAUGUCAAUCGAAGACUUGAUUUUAUGUUUAAGUUGAUUAAUAUAAUCACUGAUUUCAGAAUCGAACUGUUUGGAUAGAUUGGUUGGAUAAAAAAUCAUAAGAUAUCGAUUCAGAAUAAGAGUUGGAAUGGUUAACUUGUGAAUCGAGUACUCGAUUGGUCGAAUCGAUUGAAUUGAAAAUUAAAUUAAUUUAAUUUUUUUCUUUUAAAUAUUUUAAAUAAUUUAUUCAAUUAAUUGAAUAAACUCCAUCAGAUUAUUUUAGAUAUAAUUAGUUUUUUAAAAUUUCUCUUCUUUUGAUGAGUAGGUGAAAAUGGUUUUAUUUCCAAAGUCAUAAUACGAACUAAAUUAUUACAUGCAGAAAGAAAGAGAACAUUAGAAAUGCCAUCUAUUUACUCGAUUCACUCAAAGCAAUGUCUAGUUUUAAGCCGGACAAGAUAUUCUCGCUCGGCUAGACGUGAUAAAGCCUGUUAUAUUUAAUCAUUAUUAUUCAUGAUAAUUAAUCUAAUAUAUUAAUUAAUAUGAUUCUGACUAUCAUUAAUAAUUAAUUAAUAUUACAUGAAUAUGUUGAAUCCAAAAUUUUAUUGUAUAUAUAAAUAAAAUAAAAUUUAAUGUCAAUUUUGUUAUAUAAUAAAUAAUAAUUUUGUUAGUUUAAAAGUGUUUCUAAUUUGUAUUAAUGUGUUAUAUAUAACAAAAUUGAAAUUCACUCUAAAUUUGGACUUUUAUUUCUUAUCAAUUUUAUUUUUUUACCAAUAUUAAAAAUACAUGAUGGAGGUUUGAGAUUUGUAUUAAUUCUUUUUCCUUGAAAAAGGGGUAUUUAUAAGAGGAGGGCUUGAUGUGGGCAACUCUAUCAUUAUCACUUCUUUAAUAAUCUGGAUAUACGUUGGUGAGCUUAAGAAACCGAAAAGAUUAAAAAGAUUAGAUCUGAUGUAAUAACUAUCCUUGGUGACGAUGCUCGUGCACGUUAAUUUAAUAAUGCAUAAACUAAAUCGCAGAUGAAAGUACUGACUAUCGCCACCACAAAAAUUUAGAAUUCUUAACUAAAUACCAAACCGAGCAGCAAUCAAGAUACAAUAAUAAUUCAUUUUCUAUAAAAAAGAAAGAAAGAAAGAUUCAAUAAAUCACAUAAAUUAGAUCCUUCAUCCAAUCCAUGACGAUUACAAGUAUACGAAAACUUGUCCUCUCAGGUACUUUGGGUCGACGACCCCCCUAAAAUUUUGUGUACAUUAUCCAAAAUUACAAAUAUCCAUUACUUUUCAUGGUCUUUUGCUAGUUUCUACAAUGACUCUGCAAAGCUCCAUGAUUUUUUCUUAAAAGCCGCUCAAAGCAGGCUUUUCUUUAUCUAUUGCUUUCAUUCUUAGGAAGUAGUGACAAAGCAGAUUGAAGUGAGUUCCCUAACUUGUCUCUCAAGCUUGAAACUGUGUUCUUCAAUGGUUCGUAACAACUCGUUUCAUCAAUCUUGUUGUGUUCUUGUACCUGGAAUUGUCUCUCCAAGUAUCUUCUAAGACUUGCCUCUGCAAUGUUGAUGAGUCUAAAUGAAGCAUUUGUGUGCAUGAAUUUUGUGAUCAUAAAUCCUGCUAGAAUCAGCUGAUCUGCCUUAACGAGCUCCAAUAUGAAUGUGGGGAACAAGAUUCUUGCAAAUAGAAACAAGAUGUCUCCCUUGGUGUUUCCAUGUUCAUUGCUUCCUUCCUUUCUAAGCUUUGGCAAUUGUGCUUCUUGGAACUGAUGAGAGAAAUUGCCUACUAAAUAGCAGACAUAGGAGAAAAUAGUGCCGAAGGAAGAUUUGUUGAUGACAGUUGAUAAAAUCCCUGAGGAGAGGAUUAGCGUUAAGAACUCGUGGUCGUUGGCAAUGUCAGAAGUACCUUGUUUCAUCUUGUUUUCGAGUGCAGUCAAAGACUCCACCUGCAACCCGUCAUAAGGAAGUAAAAGCAUCAUCUUUGAAGCCAUGAAACAAUCCAUUCCGAGUACGAUGUCAUUCAAGUUCCUUGCAUCGCCUUCAUCAAGUAAUACUCCACCGGGUUUUGAUAUGGAUUGGUCAAUCAGCUUUAAGACAUCUUUAACUCGAGAUGCUUUAAUAAGGAGCUUGAAAAUCUCUGUCCAAGACUCGUGUAAAGGAUGGAUCAAAAGCGAAUCCCCUUUCUUUUCUCUCUCCAAAGGUUCAAUUUCCUGAAAGCUCUCCCAUCCUUCAUCCCAAUCAUCGCUCCAGCUAUUUUCUGCAUUAGAUAAUUCCGGAGAGGCUUCCUCUUCUUUCUUAAUCAUGAAAAGCCCUUCCCACUCUUCCAAAAUGACUACCAAAACAUCGAGAUGAGGAUCUGCAUUGGCAAUGGCACACAAUUUUAAGAAGCAAGAAACUGCCGUAUCAACACUUGAUAGGUCAUCGGGGGUGAUUUCAAAGCCAGGAGAAAUGGCUGCCAUAAGUUGAGAUGAUCUCAGGGCAACUAAAGUACUUGUAAACCUGCUGGAAGUAUCUAUUUGCUCGGGCAACCCAUCAUUUGAAGUAAUUUGGCUCUUGUUAUUAGCACAUAGUGACUCAUCCCACCCUACCCAUGGAUGAACAUUUAGCUGCAGCUCAGAAGAUAAACCCUUCACACUUUUACCAGCGAUAAAUUGCAUAAGCUCUAAGACAUGAACUCGAACAUUACUAGCUAGCAGCAAAUCUUCAGAGAAUCUGGCAAGUCUUUCCCAAACUGCACACCUGACUUUCUUUAACUCGUUGAAAUCACCCUCUAAAUUGCUCAGAGAUGAUAUCAACUGAUAUAAUUUCUGGUGUUCCCGAGAUCCAUUAGCCAAAUCCUGUAAAAUUGGUUCUAGCACUUUUAAAUAAAGAUGGGAAAGAUUCUGGAACUCAGUUUCAGCUGACGCAGUUACAGUGGUUGCAUGGUGUUGCAGUGCUUCAACAAAUACUUCUGAAAUAGUGGCGAAACCACAGCCAGAAAAUAUCAUAGCUCUGCAGAAAGUGAAAAUGUCUCUAGAAGGGUCACUGAUUAAACCAUUUUUGACAUAGUCAACAAUGGUGCUCCAGCUCUGACUAGGAGAAACAGAGUCCUCCAUUACCAACUUCAUGAAAACCUUUAAACAACUCAUUAAGCAACCUGGGUGGAACUUGAUUUUCUCUACAGAAAUCUCAGCGGAAGCAAAUUCUUGCAUUUCUUCAGUCAACCUGAUCCAGAAAUUCAAAAGGAAGAUCAAGCAGUCUUGCCAUGUCGAGUUAUCAGGUAGAUUCUCAUAUGCACCAUCUGGAGGUAAGAUUACAAUGAAAUAUUGCUUCAUAAUAUCCAAUGCCUCUGAAGGUUCUAAGAGUAUAAUAUGUUUUCUACACAAGUCAUAUAUAUGCUCAAGUUCACUGCUUGUGUUCAGAAAAGUUUCAGGGUUCUUAGUGCUAAACUCUGUUCUAAAUCUAUCAUUCAAUUUUGUCAAUAAACGCAGUAUAUAAUGUUUGCGGACAUCCUGCCACGAUAUGAGACCCUCAGGCACUGGAUCCCUGUAGACACUGACCAGAGUCUUUACCAUUUCAGACAAAGCUUCCAAGCUAAAUUCAUUGGUAUGAGCAUAGACUUCACUACUGAAACACUGCAGAUUCAAACCACCUAAUCCAGUAAUAUUUUUGAAGUUCAGGUCUUUCACAAAGGAAAUUCUUUUACAUUCUUGCUCAAUAACCUUGUAAUAAUGAACUAAUCCCAAAGAUAAUGCAUGUGUUUGAUCCGAGAGUAUCAUUGGUAAAGGUUCUUUGCUUUCCUCUAACUUCUUAUAGCAGUCAGAGAGGAGGCUAUAGAUGUAAGCAAGGCGGUGCUUAUUACAACCAUCAACUGCAGGGUAUACGAUCAAUGAUACGGUUUUGAUAGUUUCAGCAGCAUUAUCAAGUAUUUCUCCCUUAAUUUCUGAGAUCUCAGCCAUGAUGUCAUCAUUGGUCCAGAUCUCAGAAAUAAGGAUUGAAGUUAAGUACCUGAGUAUUACCUGCAAAAGAAAAAAAAAGGUCAUUUAAUGGCUUAGAAGGGCAUACCAUAAUAAUCUACCAUUUUGAGCUAAGAAACAUAUACAUGCACGGCCACAUACCUCAGCUCUGUUUAGGCCAUAGGUAUCAGCCAUUCUCAAAAUAUCCUUUAAAAUGUGCUUCUUCUCCAAUGUCAAAGAUUCAAUUAGAGAAAAAAUGACACUCUCAAUGUAACUGGCAUCACCAGACAGAAAACGUGUAGUUUCAACCCCAGGAAUUAUUUGCUCUAAGAAUCUAGAAUGUUCUGUGACACGCUUUUUCUCUUCUAAUUUUAGUUUCCAUUCCCUCCAAAAUGAGGAUUGUACUGCAUCGAUCCUAUUUAUGUCAUCUGAAAACAAGUAAAACAGAAAAAAGGAACAUCAUUGCAUGAAAGUGCAUGUAGGAUAGUGCAAGCAAAAUUAUGUGGUCUGGUUUAAGCAGUUAACUACAGGAACUAAGUCUAUUACCAGCAUUAAGUGGCUUAUUCUUUUCUCUAAACUUCCCGAGUAGCAGCUCUCUCCUCUGAGUAGGACCUUCACAAUCAACUCCAGUAUUAUGUAAUAUGCUAUAGGUCAUUCCAACAUUCAUAAUACUACAUGUUUCGAGGUAGUUUUCCCUUGUUCUCAGCUGCUCUUCAAUUACUUGUACACCACUAAAAGCAUCCACAAGAUUUAAUAGGAAGGAACAACCAAUGACAUCUUCCUCUUCAGUAGCUGGCGGUUCUAAAAUUGAUUUUGCCAGAGAAGCAAUCAAAUCGUCUCUAGGAGCAAAACCAUUCCUCGCCAACCAGGACAAAAUAGUUAUCACAGUUUGUGUUCUUACACUUACAUAUUGCUUCCCAGGAAUCAAGCCAGAAGUAAAUUUCUUACUGUAAUCUUCUUUUCUAGUUAAUUCAAGCAACCAUGGAAGUUGUAUUGCAGCAAAAGAUAAAAUCUUUCCAUUUUCUUGCAAAAUCAGAUCCCAAUUUGUUCCAUUUUCAACAGGCAGAUUUUUAGCAACAAGAGAAAGCGUAUUUUUAAUGCUACUGAAAUGAUUUUCUUGAUCAGCACCAUUAAACCCAUCAGCCAGUUCAGAUGAAUUUUUCAGGUCGACAAUAUCUUGAAUACUGUAACCUGGAAGUGAGAUUACGGAGGAACCUUGAAUGGAGAAAUUCGGAGCAUUGGUCCCUGUCAACGUCAUCAAAGUCUCACACUGCCCUUGCAUGUCUAAAUCUUUCCAUGCAAGGAGCAACUCACUAAUUGACUCCUCAUCACAAUGGCUCAAAGCAAAACCCAGUAGCUGCUUUCGAGAACUAAUGUCCAUAUUCUCAAGAGGACCCCUUGCUAGAGCAGCACAUAAAUCCCAAACAAGACCAUGACCCUUUUUGGCCAGAACAAGGCAGAGAUCAAAGGCCAACUGCAGAUCACCUGAAACUGCAGCUUCCCUAGCAAUAACUUCCUUCACAGCUGAUAUUUCAUCCAAGGAGCUCAAUCCAAGAAGUUUGGCAACCUCAAUUAGUUCAUCAACAUGUAGAUAAGCUCCAGCUUGACUUGUGACUGCCAUUUUAAUAAUUUCCAUUGGAUCUUUUAUUUGCCUAAAUUGCACUGGUAGAAGAGUCACUCCAAGGUAUGGAAGUUUAACAGUAAGUGCAUCAAUAAUAUCAGCCUCUGCUUUAACAUUUCUGCUACUUGGAAAUAAGUUCAGGCAUUCCUUAGCCUUCCAGAUCUGAAACAAGUUAAAGCAACACAAUCAAUUUUUUGUUUUCUGAAUGAAAAACAAAAAGAAAAAACAGUAUAUUUCAUUCCUUUUGACAUCAUUGAACCACAAUAUGAAUUUAUGCUGUCAUCAUUGAAUCACAAUAGCUCAAUCAGUUGAACAGGGAUUCGAUUGAUUUUAAUGAUCAUAACAGAGGAAUCAUACAUGAGAUUAAUCUUUUAGAAGGAUACCAGAGUUUUGGAUUAUUAAGCUAUUCCUGUAUAAACUAAGCCAUAAAAGAUCAUGAACUGACUCCAAACUUACUUCAGAGCAAGACAGACUUGAAGCUGAGAAGAAAUACUCCCUUGCAGCUUGAAUAACAAGAUUUUCUGCUUUUUCUGUUGCCAAGGAUGCUGAACUCGUACCCCUUAAGUAACUUCUUGCAAGAGAAAACUUCCCUGCUUUUAACAGUCCUCUACAGAACUCUGUUAACAGAUAUUCAAGGUCCAGAAAAGGAAAAGCCUUCUCCUGCAAGCACAGCAUAUCACGCCACAUGUUUGCCCACUCAUUAUCAGAUCGGCCAGGCUGACGGCGGAUAAAUUUUGAGAGUAUGAGGCGAAUAAUCUGUUUUACACCUUUUUCAUCAGAAUGGGCUUCUAAGAAAAAAUUCAUUGGUUUUGGGACCUGUAGAAAAAUAUCAUCAACAUAGACUUAGUCUACCUAUAGCAUUGAGCUCUGCAGGAUAAACACCUCAAACUGAUGCUUAAAAGGGAAACAAUUUGAAACAAAAUUCACACUCACAUUUGUCAUGAUAAAAGCAUAGAAGAAUGAAGACAAACCUGGUAAAAGGCCAAAAGUCUCCCUGCUUCUAUAUGGCCUUCUGCCACUUUACAUCUUUGAUCAAGGAUGCCAAUGCAUAUUUCAGAAUCUGAAUUAAUUAUAGAUGGAGAAUAAGAGCUCAAUAUGACAAAACUGAGGCCUAAAGUUAUAAAGGGAUCUGGAAUCAAAGAAGUGACGGACCCAGGUGGAGAAAUGGAAACAACUCAAGCCCUAGGAGGAUGAAAAGGAGGAGAAAGACAGAGAACCAGAGCAUAUAUGACUUCUAAAAUCUUAAUUCACUCAAAACUCUCCAUCUUACUUACAGCCCUAAAUUAAACCUUAUAUAGCCUUAUUUCCUAAAGUAAAAGAUUUUUAAAUGCCACUAAUAUAAUCCAGCAUGGUAGGACCUAACCAGUCUGUGCACAAUAUAAGGACACUACCAAGAUGAAAUGAAAAUCAUAAUUCAUUCCAAGCCCCUUCACACUUUGUACAAUCAUGUGAAACUGAUUAAUGAUUAACAACAAAAAGAAAAACAGAUUGGAAGUAAUAAAGUAGAAUAUUUUGAGCGAGUUGGGUCCAUUUGAUGCAGAAACUACCUUGCUUAUGCGGAAGCUUUGAUAAUAUUGCAGACAUGGUACUCCACCUAUCUGUAACUGUAAAUAAGUAUACACAUUGCAGAGCACAAUCUACAACUUCAACCUCAUUCUUGAAGAAGCCACAGCUUUGGAGCUCCCUGCACCCUUCCUCAAUAACCAUCAAGCAUAAAUCUAAUUUAUUGGCCAAAGAUAUCUCUUUUAGCCAUCUAACCAGAAAUGACUCACCCUUAGUAUGAUCUACUUCGGAAUGGCCAUCUGCAGUGUGCUGUUGGGUAGCCAAGGUAACACUAUGGGACCUUUUGUGCAUAAAUGGAAUUGCCUUAUUCCGUAAUGAUUCAACAACAUUUUCCUCUUUGCACCUUUGAAGCAUUGUUCUAAAUUUUUCAUAGUCACAUAAUUGUUCCCAUGCAACAAGACUCAUGCUGGUACUUAUCUCACCAUCAUUAUCAGCAUAAACCAGCUGGUGCAGGUAUGAGAUGUCCUCAUGAAACUGCUUUAACCCAUAGACACCCUUCUGGCAAGCAAAGUCAAUCAAGCAGAGGCAGUUGUCCAGCAACCCACUGUAGGAAUCAAUAUCUCUAGCUCUAUUCUUAUACCAAACUGCAAGGUCAUCUGUUGAAGGCCAAAAAGAUCCUAGCAAUCUCUUGACAACAGGUUCAGUUCUAAUUUGACUCCCAAUGUCAUGGUUCUCGGGUAAUUUAUUAAUAAAACUUACCAUUUUGUCACAUUCAACCCAAUCUUCUUCCCUCAUAGCAGUACUUGCAGGAGGAGACUUUCCAGGAAGCAGCUGCGCAUAUGUUUGCACAGGAAUUGUUUCAGGAAUAGCGGCCAAAAUAUCUAACAUGAAAUGAACAAGUGAAUAAGGAUGACGCUUGAACAGGAGGUUUAAAGCCCCAAUUUUCCCCGUUUCAGCAAGUGCAAUGGCUGCUUCAUUCAUUGGCAUAACACGGAACUUGCUGUAUUCCUGCACGGAAAACCUACAAACCCCAUGUCAUUAAACCAUCGAUCAGUAGAAACAAAAGAAAGUGGAAACCUCUAUACAUUCAAAACUAGAAGUAGCAUGUGCAACUAUUAAAAGCUCGAAAGCACAUACCUGCCCAUGUUUAUCCCAAUCAAUGUUUCCAACCUGUCAUGGAAUUGCAACAGCUGAAGUCUAGACAUACGGAAAUCCCAAAUCUCAUCAGAUUCUUGGCUGUUUGAUUCAGAGAAUUUGUAUCCGUUAGUUAACUGCAGGCCAAAUGCAAGUAAAGCCUUUGCUACUUCUUCUGAUGACCCAACUUUAUUUACACACUCAGAAAGCACAAAAACUUUAUCUUUAAUGUUUGACAAGAAGGCAUGUAUGUCGUUUAUUCCUUGGCCAGAACCCAACCACUGUGACUUUAGAACUUCAUCCCUAUCCAAUCCAUGACGGUCAGCAAAGUCCAAGGCAGCUUGAUGCUUGGAACUACCAAUUAGUAUCUUAAACAUUUCAGGAACAGAUCUUUCUGAGAAAGAUCUCAAACUCCAAUGCAACUUAGAAAUGUCAGAUAGAUUGGAUCCAUUUUCAGAAGUUUCCUCUCUUUGAUUCAAGUCAUGUGUUAUUCUAUUACUAUUAGAUAAAUCAAACUCAUUUUCAGAUGAUAAACUCUCUAAAACAAAAAGAUAUCCUUCAAACUGCUGUACCCUUUCUACAACAGGCUGAGAAUAUAUAGGUUCAUUCUCUAUUAGUUUCAGACCACUAAGAAUGUCAAGCAUGGUAACAAAGCCAUUUCGUUUACCAAGAGUAAGAAUGUGGUCAGACCACCAAGUAAAAUCAACAAUGUCAGCUAAAAUUUCUGAGCAUCCAUUUAACAGUUCAUCGGUCACUUGAGAAUUAGUUCUCACUCUGAAAGCAAAACUCGUAACCAAACAGCUUUCUUUAUCCAGCUUAAAGAUAUGCAAACAUCCAUUCAUAUCCAAAGUGGCAAUAUAAUUUCCUUGGGGUGAGAUUAACACCUUUGGGUAGGCAAGAUGAGCUGCAUAACCUUGUUGCUCACCGUAAAGGCCCUCAAAUUGAGUAGAGGCUACAGGCUCCAAAACCAAAUCCUGACCUUUACGCCAAAGAGAAAGAUAACAGGAUCCUAUAAAGAAUGAUAAAAAGGAACUAUUAAGUCUUAAACUAAAAGGUGAUAAUGGUAAAAGUUCAUCUGCUCAUCCAAUCCUCUAUCAUACAGGUACAAAUGCUUAUUUGAUUAAGUUUAGUACUUUUAACAAAGCCUAGAAGAUUUGAGACAUGCAACAUAAUGGUUUAAAGACAGUUCAAAUUUAAGAUCUGAGUUUUCAUUUAAGGUCAAGGAGAAUAAAGUAUAUAACCAUACCAGAUUUCCUAUCAGCAGUAAUGGAGUUGCCACCAGCACUACCAACAACAACAAGCAAAGAAAGUUCUGGACAAUAGUCAAAGCAGAAAACAUUCCGAGGGAAUUGCUUUUUUAAAGCUAAGCCACUGUUGAUUGUAGAGGAGGAAAUAGAGGCACUUGGCUCUUGACUGAUCUCAAUUUGAUGAAAAGCUCCAUCAGAUGUCAAAACGGUGAAGCUACACCUGAAAACAAGCCCAUUAAAUACAUGCAUGUAGUAAUUCUUUACCUUCUAUAGUACUUUAAUAUAUUUAGAAAUCCAAGCAACAUGAUCAUCAAGCAAAAGUUGUUAUAUGAAUUCAUACCGGAAAUAAAACUAGCAUGAGCGAAACAAAAGCUUACAAGAAAGACUGUUUUACAUCAGACUCAUCCGGUGCAAUCAGACCUAUUACUUUUGAAGAUACUUUUAGAUGUCUUGUAGUAAUCCUUGUUAUCUCUUCACCAUUUGCUUUAAUAAAAUACACUACAUCAGCAUCAUCAACGAUUCCAAGGAUAUCAUGAGAUUCUGACCAAGCUCCACAUGUACACGAAAUAAUGCUGUGACCUGAUGCAUAGAAGCCAAGUUAAAGACCAUUAUAAACUGCAAGGAACAGCUUCUAUAAAGAACUUAUAAUUCUAACUUUAACCAAAAAGAAAUAUAUUUUCUUCUGCCUCAAGCUAUAACAUGGAAUGAGUACAAUCUUAUAACAAGAACUCUUUUCCUGUAAUUAUCACGAGUUUCUUGUUAUGAAUCUAAAUCACCCCGAACCUUUUAUCCUUCUAUCAGUAAAAAGAAUCUAAAUAUAUGUUCAUCAGAAAAAUAAUUGAGCAUAAAUUAGAGAACACAAAUCUUACUUGUAAAAAUGCCAAAAGGUUCCUGGUAAUCAUCCUCCUUGCGCAAUAUAGUGACUUGAUUUCCAGCAGCCACAGCGACACGCUCACCUCUAGGGGAUACAAUCAAUGACACUGGUUUUUUUAUUUUCUUCGGAUUCAUAUUGCCAACCAAUUUCUCUUUCAGCUGACUUACACCUUCACUCAACAAAAGAAUCAAUUUUUUAAACAAUUCUAUCAACUACAUAUAUUAUACUAAAAACAAAAAUAGUUACUAAUCAUAUCAGUAACGCAAUUGAAUUACACAAAAAAGAAUAAAGGUGUUUAAAUAAUUAAAUCUAGUAUACCUCGAGAGGAAAGAAACGAUAAGAAACCGCCUUUAUCAGCUUCACUUGACUGAAUUUAGAGAAGAAAAAAUAGAAAAUUGUAAAACUGAGCUGAUUUGUAAGAAUAAAAUAAAGUUAAAGGAAAAGAGGAGACCUGUUGAAGAGGAAGAGGAGGAUAAUUGGAAGUGAAAGGCCGGGAGGCGUGAUGACGUGCUUCGAAUAGCACUUCUCUAACAGAUUCCUCCAUGGCCGGUGCCUUGCGCCAGCUACUGUCCCUCUGUUCUUCAAGAUCUCAAUUCAAUUACCUUUUUUUUUCUCUUUAUUACAUAAAAAAUUAUAUGGAUGAAGAAGAAGAUGAAUCGCAGAACAAAUUACUUGGGAAAAUAACGGGUUGAAAAGGGAAAAAAAACAACAAAAAGGCUAUGAAUAAGACAGCCCAUCUUGGCUGGUCGUUUAAUUACUGCUUCUAAAAAGGGGCCUCUUCAGCCUAAAUGGGCUUUAGAAGCUUUUUCUUUCUCAUUUAGGGUUUAUUGGGCUGCAUACAGUAAAUGAGCUCCAUCCAGAUUUUAGUCUUCAAUCGAAGAGAUCAUGUUAGAGCUGAGAAGAAAAAUCGAAAAAUGGAAAUCGAUUUGAAUCUGUUAAGAAAUGGGUAAAAAUAGCUUGUAUACUAGUUAUUCAACUCGAAUUAUAUUUUUAUUUAAUUUAUUAAUUUGUUAUGAAUGUAAAAUUUAUUUUAUAUUUAAAAUAGUAAAAAAUUAACCUUAAAACAUUAUAUAAAAAAAUUGUUUUUGAAAAGAUUCUAUAUAAAAAUUAUUGAUUUUUUUAUUUUAUUUGAAUUUUAAGAUAUAUAUAAUUAUGGCACAACUAGCCAUAAUGAAUUUCAAUUUUUUUUUAAACAUCGCGUAAUAAAAAUUUUAACUAUUAAUGUUUAUAAUUUUGUCAAUUUGACACUUAUUUUGUUAGUUAAAUUUGACUAUCACCAUUUAAAGAGAGUCAAAUUUGACAAUCAAUCUUUUAAAAAGAGUCGAAUUGAUGUUGAAUUUUAAACACGAUAAUCCAAGUGUACUUCAUACUAAUUUUGUUGAAUUUAUAUAUAUUAUAAUUAUGAGCUUUUAUUUUAUUUUUUAUUUUUAUAAUUUUUCAAUUAUUUAUUGAUGUGGCCUAUAUGACAAAUAGUAUUAUGUCAAAAUAAAGUACACGUGGACUAUUACGCAUACAUCGUUAAAAGAUUAGUGUUUCAGUCAAUAUUUUCGUUAAAAAAAAAUAAUUUGACUCUUUAUUAAAGAUUAAUGGUCAAAUUUAACUCAAAAAUUAAUAAAGAUCAAAUUGACAAAAUAUAUAAAUAUUGAGACUUAAAUUUAUCUUAUACUAAAAAAAAUUACUUGUACUAAAAAUUCCUUAUAAUUAUAAAUUUAGUAGUUACACUUGUUUACAACUACUUGAUAAAAAUAUGAUUGAAGCCCCGAUAUUAGGUGUCUAAUUAUAUUUUAUUUCCUCUAUUUAAAAAAUGGACAAAUCAAUCAACGUACAUUAGAUAAAAAAGCAAAUUGAUCUCCUUUUUUAAUAAAUUUAAUCCAUUUUUAUUGUUAGAAACUAAUAUGACUGAUAGAAUAACAAAACAAUGACGUGUGAUGUGUUAUAUGUACCUCAUGCUAAUAUAUAGAAACUAUUUUUUAAUAAUAAAAAUAAAUAAAAAUUUUAACAAAAAAAAGACCAAUUUACUAUUUAAUCAAAUAUGAAUAGAAUAUAUUCAUUUUUUAUAUAAAAAACAAAAUACAAUUUACCUAUUAAUACAAGUAUAUCGAUAAUACUUUUACCCAACCACUCCAUAAUAUCCAAAUAUAAUCUAAUAAUCGUAGUAUUGAAACACUUAAAAAAAUUAGGGACCACUUCUCAUUCACCUUUUUUUUAUUUAUUUUAACCCAGAUUAUUUACACGAAUUAGCACUAACCUCGCACUGAUACAGCCCACUAUUAGUUCCCAUGCAUACAUGCCUGACUGAACUUUACCUGACUUUUUUUUUAUCUAUAAUCGAAUCUAUUCUAAGCCCUACGAUUUUAUGAAUCCACCUUUACCAAACAAAUCAGCUAUACAAUCUUUACAUUUUCAAUUCCGGGUGUGGUUGACGGCCGCAGCCGGCGGCGACCUCAACUUUCCCUAUUGACUUCGUAAGGAGCUAUAUAUAAUGGUGAUAUCAGUAUUCAAGAUUGUAUUAUAUCAUAUUAUGUUUUAUAUAUAUACACAUAAUCUGAUAAUGGGAAAUUCAAAAUAUGUGUAAAAAAAUUACAUGAUAAAUUUAUAAUAAAAUAAUUGACAUAUAAAUCAAGUACUAUGGAGGUAUUUAUAUUAGGUAUUAAAUUACAUUUUGUCUCUUCUAUUAAAAAAUAAGCAGAUUAAUUAUUGUACGUUAAAUUAAAGUGCAUUUUGAUCUUUCUAUUAAAAAUGUCAUCCAUAGAUGCUGUUAAAAAUUAGUCUCUAUAUAUUAGCAUAAGGUAGACGUGACACACCAUAUAUAAUUGCCUGGUUAUUCUGUCAACCACGUCAUUUUUUUUACAUGUUUAUUACAAGGCUAUUCUUAUUUACCUGGUUACAAAAUAAGUAUUUUUUUUAAAUUUCAAAAUGUUCCAUAAAAAAUUUAAUAAAAAAAAGUGGCUAUGUUAACAACUGGACUUGAAUUUUGAAAUAUAAAAAGUAAAGGGACUAAAUUUCUGAAAAUAAAAAUAGAGGAAUUAAAUUUUAAAUUUAUGAAUAAUAAAAAUUUAAGUUAACAUAUGAUAAAAUUACACUUUAACUCCUCUAAAAUGAAAAAAUAUUAUGUUUAGUCCCUUUAGAAUAAUAAAAUUAUAUUUUGAGUACUUAAAAAAAUGUACCUAUUUUGGAAUGUAACCCUUAGAAACACCUGUAGUCUGAAUUGACUGCUAUAUAUUCUUGAUAUCUCUUCAUUUUUCACUGUCUAAUAACAUGACCGGAAAAGAAAUAAUAAUUUUUUAUUAGAUCAAUGCUUCUUCUUUUAUCAAGAACCUCUCGCAUGACACACAAAUUGUCUUUGUUCUUUCGUUAAUGUGACACCUUUGCUCGAUUAAGAAAGCCAACUAAUCAGAGUAAGAGGAACCUUUGGAUUUCUCAAAAAAAGCUGUGGAAGGAGAUGAGGAUUCUCGUCUCUUAACAAAAGGAUUACUUGGUUUAGAUUUCCUUCCAUUUCUUGUAUCGUCUAAAACUGAUUUUUCUUCUCCUUUUUUAAAGAAAGGUGCCAUCCAAUAUAAGAAAACUUAAACAAAUGUUUGCUAACAACGCUUUGACAUUAACAUUUUAGGUUCGACUUUUAUAUUGCUUAAAUUAUGUAUGAGUUGUCUUCACUUUUAUUAUGGUAUGAUUUAAGUUCUAUUCAAAUUUUUUUUUUAAAUUCAAACAGAUUAAAUUAUCCAAGAGGUCUCUGUAUUAUAGAGGCUGAAUCAAUUAAUUUAAUCAUUAUGCUAUUAAAUAGAAUUAUAUAAGUUUAAAUUGUAAUAGAGUUAAUAUUUAUUGUAUAAAAAAUGUAUUGAAAGUUAUUCUUUUCAAUUAUAGUUCAGUUCCAAAUAAAAUAUUUCAUUUACAAAACAAUAAAAACUUCAAAAAUAUUAACUCUAUAAAUGAUAUUUUUUAUGGGUAAUUAUUUGAUAUAUCGCUAGUCAAGUUUCUUAAACUCCACAAAUGGGUUAAGGGUGUGACAAAUGUCACAUUUAUUUAUGUAAAUAUUUUUUUUAUUCUUUUACUACAUCCUAUAAUACACUUGUCAAGCCCUUAACCCACUUGUGGAGUGUAUAAAAUAAUUUUUCAUUUUUUAAACAAUAAAUGUUAACUCUAUUAACCUUAUUUUAUUCUCUUUAAUAGUAUAAAAACUAAUUUAUUCUAUUUAAUAAUAAAAUAAAUAAUUUGAUUAAAUUUUUAUAAUAGCGAGACUCUUCGUAUUAAUCCUACCUGAUUUUGAUUUAAAUGUAUAUUCCUUCUACCUAUACUUGUAAAUCUUAAAAGUUCUUUUAUUCUUAUUUAGUAUUUUUUUUAUUAAAUAACGAUAUUGGAUUCCAUAAAUUUGAAAUUUAAAUUAAAUUCUGAAUUAUUUUAGGUACUUAAAAAGAAAAUAUACACAAAAGAAAAUUCAAGCACGUGAGAGGCUAUAGUGGAAUGUGUGUUUUAAUUAUAAACACAGCUGUUCAUGAAUUUAUAUCUACCUAAUUCUCUUCUCUGUAUAUAUAAUAUAAUACUCGAGGCUCAACCCUAGACAGGGGAAGUACGGUGUUUCCAAGACAAGCAGCUGUUCAUAAAAAAAACAUUAACAUAUUUUAUCCUAUCCAUGUAACUUUAUGUCUUUUCCGUUCAAUGACACCCAAUGAACGUUCGAACCAAAUUGGAACGCUACAAAGUGGGGGGACCUUCUUCAUCUCUUUUUGUAUAUAUAAAAUUCUAAUUAUUCAACCAACUUUCCGACUUUGAGAAUCAACCGUGCUAUAUUAUUAUGUGCAUAUAUUAGUAGAUAAUUUAAUUUGAUUGGAUUGGUUCUCAAAUAAAAAGAAUAUACUAUUAUUAUAUUAAUUGGUAACAUUUUAAAAAUAUUAAAUAAUUAAAUUUUUAAUUAUUAUUACGAGCGGAUAAGAUUUUUAUAUUAAAAAUUAUAUUAUAUUGGAAUAAAUUAAUUUUUAUACGUUAGAUUAAAAUAAUAAAUUAAUUUUUUAUUAAAAAAUUAUUAAUUUUUUACUAUUAAAAAACUAAUCAUUGUAUGUAAGUAAGAGACCCGUGCAUUUUUUCCAAUAAAAAUAGAUAAAAAUUUCUGUUAUAUAAUCUAACAAGCAGUAAAAAAUCUCAAUAAUAUUUUUAACGAUGGAUGGCGCAUGCUUUUUUCACUGUUGGUGAUGAUCGGCUCGAUGAUCGGUGGGUCCGCCAUGACACGUGCAUUCGUGUUUACACUAUUCCUACACAUGUACGUGCGAAUCAAUGACUAAAUAAUAUAAGUGUAGAACCAUACUGGAAAAUGGAAAGCAUCAUUUUGCACACAUUUGUUGUUGCCCAUUCUUUUUUAUAGUCAUUUACUUUUUAAACGAAUACAUGGAUUUAUUUACGUUAGAAAAAUAACUAUUUUUAUUAUAAUUGAAAAACUAUUAUUUUUAUAAGAUAAAGUUAAUUAUAUAAAAUUUUACUUAAACAUUAUUUUUAAAUUGUAAAAUGAAUGAGAAAUGACAUGAUAAUUUUUAAAUGACAUAAAAAAAGUUCUCAUAAAAUAAAUAUACAUUUAUUUUUUAUAUUUGUACAAAAAUACUAUAAUAUAUAUUUUGGUACAAAAUGACCAUUCGAUUCCUUUUUUCUACCUAUAAAGAUUAAAAUUAACUCUGCCUUAGUAUAUAGUGAUGUGUACAAUAUUAAUUACACCUCAUUUUACAUUCUAUUCUAUUUUUAAGGAAUUAAUUAUGAUGAUAAAAAAUAUGAGUUAAUAUUUGAUUCAAUGAUAGUAUAUAUUUAUUUUAAAAUAAUAUAUUAAAAAAAUUAUUAUGAGUUUUUUUUUCAUAUUUUAUUUUAUUAAUAUAGGACACUUGUGAACCUUGAACCAAUAUUAUUUAUAGAGUCUAAAAACUCUACUUAUAAUAUACUAAAUAUUUUUCUAAAGAAUAUUAUCCUAACUUAUAAAAAAAAUAUAUAAAGCGUGGAUGGUAAGAUAUGCUAAUAAUAGGAUUCAACAAUAUUCAACAAUAUCGAAUGGUAAUGGGAAUACCUAAAUCUUAAAUCAUGAUAAAAGUUCCCAAAGGAGGCAUGCAUCAACAGUGAAGGGACUGAAAAACCCUUCAGCUCUGCUCCUAUUUAUAGGAGGGGAAGGCGGUUGAGUUCAAGUCGUGGAAUUGAAAACUGAAAAACUCUGAAUAUAUAUUUGUGGGAGGAGUAGACAUGACGUGAUAUUGUUUCGGCUCAUCUUAGUGUGAUUAAAAAUUUUAAGGCGAGCCGAAUCAAUAUCACUCAUGUAUGCUUUUUCUUUAUUAUUAUUGAUUUUUAAAAAUAAAAUUUUAGAAAAUUUAUUGUACCAAUAUCAUACAUGUUAUUAUUAUUAUCAGAUUAAAAAAAAAGAAUUUCAGGAAAUUUACUGUAUUUGCUGCAAAAUCAUGGUACGUGAUAACCAUCCAUUUCUUUGAUCUGUUUCGUGAAUAUUAUCUUCUAGGUUAGAAUCAACUUCUUCAUACAUCCAGUCCCCAUUCAAUCUUUGGAUCUCUUCCACUUCAUCAUGCUUCAAUUUUUAUAUAUAUAUACAUAUACAUAUAUAUAUCAGCCUCGUCCCAAGAGACCAAAGUCAGUUAUUAGUCAAGGACUAGCUUGCCAGCCUAACUCGCCUAGCAUAGCUCUUGCUGCUCAACUCCUGCACACUCAAACAUGUGGAACUCAUCUCUCCAGUCUUGCCGAAUCAAAAGGUCAUGUCCCUCCUACAUGGUCGAUACGUGAAGCCCAUCAAGUCUUUUCCACAUCAUGUCUCCAAAUCCAUCAAGUCCAAUUGCUGCCUAGCUAGAAGGUUAUCUCUACUCCCCAACCACUUACCAGGACAAACCCCCCUCUUGCAGGAAAUGGGUACACACCAAAACUCUACCAAAAUUUCUCGCAACACCAUUCAACCUCUCCUCUUACGACUCUCUGCACGACCUCAAAUGCCGCCAUUCUCACCCUUCAACUUUUCAUUAUAUCAAUAUAUAUAUAUGAUCACUUUAAACAUGUUUGUAGCUUAAAUUAUAUAUGUGAUGGAAUAGAAAUUAAAUUAGGGUUUGAUCUUUAACUCAGCGUAUAAAAAUUAAGAUCGAUCAUAUCUCCUUUUACAAAUGAAACUUGUCUUUUAAGCACUGUGUUGUGAUUAACUUAAUGCACAUUAGAAGUGGUGGCAAAAAUCUGUGCAUAAUUUUUACUUCACUGAAUAACUAAAAUCUUAUCCAUGCAUAUCAAUCCCUUAUAAGACAUCCAAAAAUAUCAUGAUCUAACUUCAAAAUCCUUUGCACUUUUAAUGUAUGUCUCAAGUCUGACUAGAUCAAUGACAUUUUUUCUCCCUAUGAAACUACUGUUACAAGUUAAAAGACAAAACAUACCAAGUGUUAAAACAUGUCAAAAUUAAUCAAUAUGAAACUUUAGCCUGCCAUAAACAUUUCUUUUUUUGGCAUUUUCGUUAGACUAAUUUUUGGAGAAAAUACAUUAUAUAAUGCAAUAAAGGUUAGGCUAUCGUUAUACCAGUUGACAAAACAUGUCACAGAUGAAGAACAUCUGUGACAAAACAUCUGGUACAAAAUGUAGCUCUUAAGGAUUGACAAUUUCGCUAAGAAAGACUUGACAUAGCCGAGGAUGCAGGGCCAACAAAAUCAUUACCUUACAUACUUGCCUAGUUUGGACAAAAGGGGCAACCAAUCAUUAUGCAUUUCCAUGCUAUGGGUAGCCUGUUAAGCGGUCUAAAAUCAGGUAUAAAUACUCACUCCCACGCUAUAGAUUUUUUAGUGUUUUAUUAUCAUAAGCUCUUAUUUUCCUCUUCACAAUAACUCACGCUUCAUAAAUUUAGAAUUUUAUCUUCAUAAAUUUAGUUUUAAGAAUUUAGUAAAUUAGUUGGUGUAAUGUUUAAAAAAAAAAACUCACUUCAUAUCAAAUAUAAUUAACAAAAUGACUAGAUUAAUGAAUUUGAAUUUACAAAAUAAUUAUAAUAGUGUUAACGGUUGGAUUUGAAUUUUAAAAUAUAAAAAGUAAAUAGACUAAAUUACUAAAAAUAAAAAUAAAAAGACUAAAUUUCACAUUUAUAAAUAAUAUAAAGACUUCUGACAUAUUUUAACUCCGUAAUCCAAAGUUUAGUUCAACCGUUCAUAAAUCCAACCACUAACCUAAUUUAUGACGGGGAGUACAUAAAUAGUUAUAUUGUCUACUAAACGAUUAGUAAAAUAACAAAAGAUUUAUAUUAAACUUUUUUUACACCAAUUCUUGAUUGGAUCUUUAAUAAUCUCUAUACUUUACCUCUGAUUUACAUAUAUUGAUGGUACAAUUUAAGGUGACACUACACCAAAACAGGUCUUUAGCGGCGUAUUUUGUGGCGUUUGGACAACAAACGCCGCUAAAAAUUGAACAUUAGCGGCGCAUUAACGAAAACGCCGCUAAUAAUAAGCAAUAGCGGCGAUUCACAAAAAGCGCCGCAAAAAAAUAAGGCCAACGACGUCGUUUAUUGAGUUUUUGGGCCAUUAGCGGCGUUUUUACAAAAGCGCCAUAAUGCUCCUGUCUUUAGCGGCGUUUUCUGAGAAGCGCCGCAAAAAACCUAAGGGCAACGACGCCGUUUUCUUUGUUUUUUGGGCCUUUAGCGGCGUUUUCUUAAAAGCGCCGCUAAUGAUUUGUUUUUUAGCGGCGUUUUUCUGUAAGCGCCGCUAAUAGUAAUAAAAAACCAUUCCAAUUAUCUCAUGAUUUGAUAUAUUUUUUAUUAUAAGAUGAAUAUUUCGUUGUAUUUAUUAUAUAUUGGUCAAAUUUACAUUUAAAUGAUAACAAAUAAUAUUAAUGUUUAAUACAAAAUGUUUUGAUUAAUUAAAGAGAAGUCCUAAUUAAGUCCUAACUAUUUAUUAUUAUUUUUCAAUCACAGUUUAUUUAAAUUACUUUAGUAGAAAUAUAUAUAUAUAUAUAAAAUUAUGAGUAAAAUAAAAUAUAAUACAACUUAAAUUGUUGUGUUGUAAAGAAUAAAAAAUAGAAAAAAAUUUGAUAUAUAGUUCGACUAAAUUAAUAUAUAAAUCAAACAAAGUAAUAUAAAACACCAAAUUAAUAUCGUGAUUAAUAAUAUUAUAUAUUAUUUAAUUAGUCGGGUUAGUACGGAUAAUGAUGAAUAAUUAUGAUAAUAUGCAUGGGACAUGGCAUAUAGCUUCCUAAAACGAUGUGGAGUGGGCACCAAACUCUAAUUAAUAAUAUUUUUGUAGUCCAUGCCCCAGUAGAAUGGGUUGAAACAUCGAUCUUUUUCUCUGGAUAAUGAUAUGCAAAUUAAGUGAGAUGCUUAGGGGUUAGGGGUGUAGAGGUUAGACGUUAGGCUUUAAGACUUAGGGUUUAGGGGUUUAGGGUUAUAGGGGUCGUGUUAGGGUUUAGGGUCUAGAUUAAUUUUUUUAAUUUAUAUUUUAAAUAUAUGUUCUUUAUGUACGUAAUUGUAAAUGAGAUAAUAAUAAAUUUAAUAAACUGAAAUUAUGAGUAUAUAUAUAGUUGAAAUUAUGGCUUAAGAGAUAUAUAUUAAUAUAUGUUAUAUUUAAUUACUGAGAUUCAUACCAUUUGAUAUUAUAAGUAUCUAAAAUAUUUAUUUUGUACUACAAUAAUAUUACGAUUUGGGAUUCUUGGUUUUUGAGUUUGGGGUUUAGGAUUUAGAGGUAAGGGUUUGUGGUUUGGGGUUUGGGAUUUGAGUUUUUGAGUUUAGAGUUUAAUGUUUGGGGUUUGGGGUUAGGGGUUUGUAAAUUUAAGGGUCAGUUUGGGGUUUAGAGUUUAAAGAUAAGUUAUGAUAUAAUAUUUGAUUUUAGGGUUUGUUUAUGGUUGUUUCUAGUUUUUGGGUUCAGGUACGGUGUUCCGGCUAACGGGUCACGGGUCAUGAGUUUUAUGGUUUAAAUGUGGAUAUUUUACAAUAUAAUUCGAAUUAAAUUAAAUUUAAAUUAUCAAUUUAAUAAAUAUAUAUAUGAAAAAGGAUUAAAUCCCAGAAGCUUACAAAAAUUAGAUGGUUUUAGGGUUUAAAUUGUAUUCAUUGAAAACGAUGCCGUUUCUAGUGGAUUUGCAUUAGAAUUAGCGGCGCUAAACAUGAAACGCCGCAAUAGAUGAAAUAAUACCGGCGUUUAUUAUAAAAGCGCCGUAAAAUCUUGUAAGUUGUGAAGAAAACGGCGCCGUUUUCUUAUUACAUUUAGUGGCGUUUUAUACAAAACGCCGCAACUAUGUUUUCUUUGUUACGGGAACGGCGUUGUUUUCCAUUGUUAUUAGUGGCGUUACACCCAAAACGCCGCAAAUAUAUUUUAAAGAUUACACGAGUUUGCGUUAAACGACUGCGUUUGACCUUAUAUUUAGUGGCAUUUAUAUAUAAACGUCGCAAACUCGAAAUGGUGUUACGAAAAAUGACGCCGUUUUCUUAUUACAUUUAGUGGCGUUUUAGAUAAAACGCCGCAAGUAUGUUUUCUUUGUUACAGAAACGGCAUCGUUUUCAAGGAUAUUUGUGGCGUUACACCCAAAACGCCGCAAAUAUAUUUUAAAGAUUACAGGAGUUUACUUUAAACGACUGCGUUUGACCUUAUAUUUAGUGGCGCUUAUAUAUAAACGCCGCAAAAUCGAAAUGGUGUUACGGAAAACGGCGCCGUUUACUUAGUUGGUUUUAGUGGCGCUUUUAUUAAACGCCGCAAAUUUGCAUUAUAACUUAAGGAAACUGCGUCGUUUUCCAUUGUUAGUAGUGGCACUUUGCUUAAAACGCCGCAAUGUUGUUUUAAUUUUAAUAGAAACGAUGCCGUUUUCUAUAUAUUAUUCGUGGCGUUUUUUCUAAAACGCCAAGAGGUUUAGUUACUUGAUGGGGAAACGACUGCGUUUGGCGAUAUAGUUAGUGGCGUUUGUUUAUAAACGCCGCAAAGGGGUUAAAUAUGUUGACGUAAACGAUGUCGUUUGUUUUCCACCAUUUUCACCGAAACAAAACUAACAUAAGGUCCCCGAUUCUCCACCCCCCAAAACAGACAUCUCCCCCAAAUCCCUAAAAUUUCCCCUAAUCCCUAACAGUUCCCCAACGUAGUCCAGAACGGCGCCGAUUUCUUUGCUGCAUCACAGCCUCCGUGCGUAUCCGGUACCGCAACCAUCGGUAAGUUCGUUAACUUCCUUUUUCUUUUUCAUGCGUGAACAUUUUCUGGAGACUGAAAUGCCGAUUUAAAUUCAAACUGCAUGCUUCUUAUCCGUGCAUAUCCGUACUUGUUGCUUGUGUUUUGGGGGGAUUUGGUUCAGCUUGCAGUCCCCAUGUGCUAGUCUUUUGCUUUGACGUCAAACUGCAUGCCUCCUUCUGUUAUCUCUUUUAGGGUUCAACAACCAGUAGAACCCCUUCAGUGGAUAUUAGCAGGAAAAAAAUUUAACUUAUUAAAGCACUUAGCCAAAUUUCAAUAAUUUAGUUACAACCGCCCCUUAGUUUAGAUUGCUCGCUAAUUACAAUAGAAUCUUCCAAAAUGUUUACGUGACAACCUAUUUUUGAAAGAACUAAUUUUCUCUUAAUAAUCUCUUUGGAAGUAUCAAUUCAUGCUUGAGAAAUAUGAUCUCACUCUGUCACGUGGAUCUCUCUAACAAUCAAUUCAAUAGCACUUUUCCUUCAUUGCUAAUUAUAUAAUAUUAACGCAGACCAGUCACUUUUUCUAUCAAGCAAUGAGUUUCAAGGCAUGAUUUGUUUUCUGUGUUUUUGUCAAUUUGUCAAGGCUAAAUGAACUUGAUAUUUCUUUCAAUCACUUGGAAGUGGAAGCAGAGAUGAUGUUACCAAGUUGUCAAAAACAAUGAUUUGUUGUCAUUUUGAUUUUUGAUAUGCUUGAUGUGGGGUUAUUUAAUUGUUAACUUGUUAGCUUGUUCAGUACUGCUAAUUUAUUUAUUCGUUAUUACUUUUUCAAUGUUAAAAGUUGACAGCACACAUAUAUGCAGUAAAGGUUUAGUGUUUUAAUAUUUUCUAAGUCUUUGAAUUUUUUUAAAAUCGUUUGUGCAUAGAUGGCAUUCUUUUUUUUAACAUAUUUGGUUCUCAUAUUGAUAAAGUUUUACAAACUGAAAAAAUAUUUGCUGCUAACUGAUCAUGGUUCAUCUACUGUAGGCAGAAUUAAUAUUUGGUGCAAUUAUUUUCAUAUCUGACCAUUGACAUCUGGUUUGCUGCCUGUGUUUUGGCCAAACUAUUGUUUGGGCAGGUACAGGAUAAUUCAUAUACAUUUUCCCUUAUUUAUAUGCAUUUUCCCAAAUUACUUAACCAAAUUCAUGUUUCUGACUGCAGUCUGUCUUUGUUGGUGUGAGUGAAGUAGACAAAGUUGAGUGAAAUAUUAAGGUAUGUUUUAGUUCAUAACUUAAAUCAGAUCUAGUUUUAUCAUGAUGAUUUUUGAAAAAUGUUUCUUUUGCGGCACUGGUUUUGUAUACAUGCAAUUGGUUUUGGUUGUUUUCCUUUAGCUUAUGUUUCAUUUUACUUAUUUUACAACUGCCAUGUACUUUUCUGACUUAUGUUUUCUUGUAUUAUCCAUCAACGAUUGUUAUAUAUGUUGAGCAAAAUAGAAGCAAUUGUUUAAAUUGUACCGGGAAUUACAUUAAAAUAUUUUAUUUUAAAAUUAUUAUAAAUUUCGGAACUAUACGUUACAUUCAAUAACAAAUUAGUCCACUUUCUUUUCACAUUUCAGUUUCAUUGAUAUCAAAUAUGCUUAAUUGUUGUAUACAUAUUAUUCUAUAUCGCAAGUAAAUUAUUUCGAAAAUGAAGGUUAUUUAUUUCUAAAUAAUAUAAACAUUUGGUUAAAAGCUUGUAUAGUUUUAAAAUAAUUAUAUGUUUUCGUCCAAAUUUUUUGUUUUUCCUUUAGUUGCUAUUUUAAUCACGGAAAUUUAGUUUGUUUUGUUUUCUUUUAUUUAAUUUGAAUCUUGGAAAAAAAAUUUCAAACUUUGACCGAUUUUUAAGUUUAAUUUUAGAUAACUUACAAAAAUUUUGUUAAAACUAACAUAACAUACAUAAUUUAAUUCAAAGUUACUGACUAUUUAUUUUAAAGUUAAAUUUCACAUAACAUACAUAAAUUAAAGUUACAAUUUCUUAACUUAUAUAAUAUUAAGAUAACUUAUAUAAUAUUACAUAACUUAUAUCAUGUUAAGAUAAAAAAUCGAAUUACAUAACUUAUAUAAUAUUAAUAUUACUUUUAUAAUAUUAAGAUCAAAUUUCGAAUUACAUAACUUAUACAAUAAUAAGGUAAAAUUUCUAAUUACAUAACUUAUACAAUAUUAAGAUAAAAUUCCGAAUUACAUAACUUAUAUAAUAUUAAGAUUACUUUUAUAAUAUUAAGAUCAAAUUUCGAAUUACAUAACUUAUAUAAUAUUACAUAACUUACGUACAAUAUUAAGAUAAAAUUUCGAAUUACAUAAGUUAUAUAAUAUUAAGAUUACUUUUAUAAUAUUAAGAUCAAAUUUCGAAUUACAUAACUUAUAUAAUUUUCCGUAACUUAUAUAAUAUUAAGAUAAAAUUUCGAAUUACAUAACUUAUAUAAUAUUACAUAACUUAUACAAUAUUAAGGUAAGAUUUCGAAUUACAUAACUCAUACAAUAUUAAGAUUACUUAUAUAAUAUUAAGAUUACUUUUAUAAUAUUAAGAUCAAAUUUUGAAUUACAUAACUUAUAUAAUUUUCCGUAACUUAUAUAAUAUUAAGAUAAAAUUUCUAAUUACAUAACUUACAUAAAUUACAUAACUUAUACAAUAUUAAGGUAAGAUUUCAAAUUACAUAACUCAUACAAUAUUAAGAUUACUUAUAUAAUAUUAAGAUAAAAUUUCUAAUUACAUAACUUACAUAAUUUACAUAACUUAUACAAUAUUAAGGUAAGAUUUCGAAUUACAUAACUCAUACAAUAUUAAGAUUAAUUAUAUAAUAUUAAGAUAAAAUUUCUAAUUACAUAACUUACAUAAAUUACAUAACUUACAUAAAUUAAAUAACUUGCAUAACUUAAAUAACUUACAUAACACAUAACCUUCCUAGCUUACAUUAUUUAGAUAAUACAUAGCCUACAUAACUUACAUAACUUACAUAAAUUAAAUAACUUACAUAACUUACAUAAAUUAAAUAACUUACAUAACUUACAUAACUCACAUAAUACACAACUUACAUAACUUACAUAAUACAUAACAUUCCUAUCAUAUCAUAACUUACAUAACUCAUUUGUAGUAAUAUCUGGCGUUUUAACUUUCCCGUGCAAAUUAUUGUCAACAUCAGACUUCAAUAAUUAAGAAAUGGACCGGUCUUGGAUGAAUUUGUCAAGGGUAAGCAACGGCUAUCGAAAUGGAGUACAGACGUUUCUAAAUUUUGCAUUUCAAUAUGCAAGCCAAGAGAACAUGAUUCUUUGCCCCUGUAAGAAAUGUGUCAACAUAAACUGGCAUUAUCGUGAGGUUGUAUAUGAGCAUCUAAUUGUUGAUGGGUUUGUUCGGGGUUAUAAACAAUGGUUAUUUCAUGGAGAAUGCCCGUCUAGUACUUCCUCUUCAAGGAUGGAUGUAACUUAUACUGAUACUGCUUACCAUCAGUCUGAUAGAGGGGAUGACAUGGAAGGUAUGUUGCGGGAUGCAUUUAAUAUGCACAAUCAUUGUUCAAAAUGAUCCAAACUCGACAGAAACAAAUAGUACUGAGCAACAGACAGCAAUUGGAUCUUCGAAUGUUCCGAUUACAGCUGAGGAUCCUACAGAAGUUCAAAGUAAUUUUACAUUUAAUUUACAUGCGUGUUGACUUAUAAUUGAUUUAUUUUUUAAAUUCUUAUAUUAUAAUAUACCAUUUGUAGCUAAAAAUGGUGGGACACGCAGAGGUCAAGGACGUACGCUACUUAGAGAGUUAUACGAGUUAGAUCCAGUCGAGCGUGUCAAAGUUGGACGAAAUAGUUUUGGUCAGCCUGUUGGAUCAGAAGCUCGACUUUUAUCAGGAUACAUGGGCAUUUUAGCACGAAAUCCGAACAUGUUGCCUAUCAACUACGAGUCAUGGCAUCAAAUGCCCGAUAGCAACAAAAACCAAGCCAUCGAUAAUAUUAAGGUAACAAAAUGUUAAUGUCAUAUGUAAUGCUUGAGACAUAGUUUCAUUUAUAUUUACUUUAUUAACUUGUGUUUUUUGUAGGCGAGAUUUGCUUUAGAGGUCUCGGAUGCUUAUGUAAAGAAGGCAUUGGGAAAAAGAUGGAGAGAUAAUAAAAGUACUUUGAAGAAAAAUUAUUAUAAGACAAAAACAACCCUCGAUGAGAAAUUGCAAAAUGUCCCGCCGGGUAUGUUGAGGUACCAAUGGGAAGAUGCGGUUAGAUUUUGGCAUUCGAAGAAAGGCGAGGUAUGACGUUCUUCCAAACUAUUGUAAUUAUUUCGGUUUAUAGUAUUUACUAUUUACGAACUAAAAAUUUCAUAACGUAGGAUCGUGAACAAGUUGGAAAAAGUAGCAGGCAGAAACAAAAAUUCACUCACACAGCCGGGUCGAGAAGUUUUGCAUGUGUAGCUGAGGCAGAGGUAUUUUGAAUUUUUUAAUAUUCUCAAAUAUGUAUAACUUUCCAUUAAAUAACAUUUUACACAUAUAUUGUAGGAACUGUCGUCCAGUCAAAAAGUUGGACGCCUUCAACUUUUUGAAAUUACACAUAGGAAGAAAGAUGGAUCUCCCAUGACUCCUGAAGCUGGUGAAAUAAUGGUACGUUUACUUAAUACGAUUUGACUUGUUUUAGUUAUUUAUAGUGUUUAUUUUCUAAUGGUUUAAUUCAUUGCUUCUAAUGCGACUAUUGUUAUGUUGCAUAUGUUUUUUAAUAUAUAUUGCGUUCCUAACUAUGUGAUUUAUUUAUUAGGAAAAACUAAAAGAUAAAAAGGCGGAGUACGAAGCGAUUGCUUCUAGUGAUAGUUCUGUUCAUCUUGAAGACAUUGAUAACCGGAUUAUUACUGAAGUUUUGGGUCCUGAAAGGUAUGGUCGGGUUCGAUUUCAAGGAUCUUUUGUUAGCCCAACCCAAUAUUUUGGAUCCAGCUCGCACCAAUACAUGGCUUCGGGGAGUCAGGCUCAAGCUGAAGUUCAGAGGUUAAAAGACCAGAUGGCUCAGAUGCAAGCGACCACAGUUGAGGUUCAAAGGAAAUAUGAAGAACUCCAGCUACAACUUAAAGCAGAGGCGGCAGCGAGGGAAGCAGCGGCUGUAGCGAGGGAAGCAGAGGCUGCAGCGAGAGAAGCAGAGCAGAACAAAAAGUACGACGAACUCCAGCAGCAGCUUUAGAUUAUGAUGAAGAUGUUUCAGUCGCAACUUCCGCCGUCAUAGUGUAUUACAUAAAUAUUUUAACAUUUAACAUUUUUGCAAAAAUAAUAUGAAUUCACUUUUAUUUAUUGAUAUUAAUAUUAUUUUUAUUCGUUUAAUUUGGAAUAUUAUAUAAAUUUAUUGCUUUUGGCUGGUUUAAAUCUGUUUGCUUUUGAUUUGUUGCUACAGGAGGGCUGAAAAAAUGAAAAAUUUAAUAUUAAAAAAAUCAUAAAAAUAGUGGCGUUUUUUGUGAAAAAGCGCCACUAAAGGCCAUGUUCUUUAGCGGUGCUUAGAAAAAAACGCUGCUAAAGACAAUGCUCUUUAGUGGCGUUUCUUUCAAAGCGCCGCUAAAGAACAUGGUUUUUAGCGGCGUUUUUUUCUAAGCGCCGCUAAAGAACAUGGUCUUUAGCGGCAUUUUUUUUAUAAGCGCCGCUAAAGAACAUGGUCUUUAGCGGCGUUUUUUUUUAACGCGCCGCUAAAGAACAUGGUCUUUAGUGGCGUUUUUGUUGUAAACGCCGCAAACGUUUUCGUCGUUUUCGUUAGCGGCCUUUUUUGCGGCGUUUUUGGAAGCGCCGCAAAUACCUUUAGUGGCGUUAAAAAGCGCCGCUAAAGGCCUAAAAAAACGCCGCUAAAGACUUGUUUUGGUGUAGUGUGAUCAUUAGUUGGGUGUGGAUUGUAGAAUUUGAGCUUAAAACACCGAUAGUUUCUCCCAAGAUGAAAGGCAGAGGCUCAACGCUAAGUUCAGUGGAGUUGUCAAACUUUAAACCUUUGACAUUUUAUCUAUUAUAGGGAUUGAACUAAAUUAAUUUUACUAUUAAAUAGGUUAAUGUGCAAAUUUAUCACUAUACUUUAUUUUGAUUAAUAUUUGCCAUUGUACUUUUGAGUUAAAAAUUAAUAUACCACUAUGUUUUAACUUUAUCUUGAAUUUUGCAGUUUUAAUUUUUAUUGAUUUUUGCCGCUUUAAUUUUUUUUAUUGAAUUUUAUCACUAAAAUUUAAUUUUUAUUAAAAUUUACUAUUUAAUUUUAAUUUAAAAUAAAUUGACGAAAAAAAUUAAUAAAAAUAAUAUUUUAAUUUAAUACGUAAAUUAUUAAAUUAAUAUUAUAUUGACAAUUAAUAAAAAAUUAUUUAUAUAUAAAAAGUAAACUUAAUAUUUUUAAAAUUUUUAUUUUCAAGUAUUUCUUUUAAUAAAUAAAAUUCUAAAUAAAAUUUACUAUUUUGAAUAUUUAUAAAAUGAAUUAAUAUUAAUUAUUAAAAUAAAAACUUUCUUGUAAAAAUUUAUUUUUAAAUCAUCAAAAUCAAUAUUAAGAAGUAAAAGCUAAUUAAAAAUUAAAAUUAAUGAAAGAAAUGAAUAAAAUUAAAAGUUUAGUGAUAAAAUUCAAUCACAUAACCGUUGUGAGAAAAAUUUAACCAUAUUUAUAAAAUAUAAUGACAAAUAUUAAUCAAAAUAAAAUACAAUGAUAAAUUUUAAUAUUCACCAAUAGUAUGGUGACAAAUUUACAUUUUAACUCAAAUUUAAUUUUUGUAUCAUCAAUUGGAAUAGAAUUAAUAUUUAUUAUUAAAAAAAUUUUAAAAUUAUUUUUUAUAUUUAUAGUUGAACUUUAAACAAAAAAUUUUAUUGUAAAAUUAUAAAAAGCUUUAAAAAUAUAACUCCGUUAGACAUUAAAUUACAUUUUUUAAACAAUAAAUAUUAGAUCUAUUGAAAUUUAACCCUUUUUCUGUUUCUUUUCAAUAUUUUAUGGGUUAAAUUAAAUUAAUUAAUUUAAUAAUAAAACAAUUAAUUUAAUUCGAUCUUUAUAAUAAAAGACUUAUCGAGUACAUUUCAUAUUAAUUUUGAAGAUUCAAUUAAAAUGUUUAAAAGUAUUAAAUAAAUUUAAAUGAUUUUAAUAUAAUAAAAAUAUAUUAAUUUUAAGUUUUUAUAUAAAAGAAAAACAUCAGCAAAAAGCUCAUAAAUGUUAGGUUGACUUUGUAUAUUAGACACUUAACUAUUGCAAGCAACAUGCAAUGUAAAAUUUUCAUUUUAUUUCGGAGAUAGGAAUAGGGAUGAGCGGAAUUCUGUUUAAAAUAAAAACCAGUAAUUUCCAAAAAUUUUCGCAUCAAAUUUUCCGCCAAAUAACAGCAAUGGCCCCAUUUCCACAAAUAACAAUGGCUUCCUUUUUUUUUUUCUUUCAAACAAAGCAAAAGCGUAUAGCUUCAAUGGAUAACUCCUCGGGACUCUGUUAGAAGUGCUGUAAUCAAAGAGACCAAAGCUUCAAACUUUUAAAGCCCUUUGAAGACAAACACAUUUUGCUUUGAUUUAUCGACCAGCGAUGUUGGAGCCAUCUUCUCAAAAACCCAAUUUCUUAAUCCCACAGGUGUCGCCAACUCCGGCGGCUCCACCGCCACCAAUGAAACAACCACCUCCACCACCACCGCCACCUUCUCUAGUACGCACCUACUCCGGCAAGUUACUGUCUCUUCUAUCCGAAAGACCUUCCCUUAGGGCGACUUCGGAGUUCGACAGUGACAGCCGUGUGUUCUUUCACAAGGUGUCGUGUAAGCUGUUCGACAACCUGGCCAGUCUCAAAUUGUCGUUCAUCAACGAUAGAAAACGCGAGAUCUCGGAACCGCAGUUGAUGUUAACGUCAAAGUACUUGUCUAUCCAUUACGAUCCUGAUGAACAAAAUGCCCUCAUUAGGACCUCUUUUGAUGUGGGUCCUAUGUUGAAUUUCAAUGUUGCCCAUGAUCUCAAGGUUUGCCCCCUUUUUUUUCGUUUAAAAACAUGUAUAUAUUUACUUAGUGGUGUUGAGUUAGUUGGUUGGCAUUGUCAAUGAAAAUUAUAUAGUUAUUGUUUACUCUUUUAUUGAGAUGCAUGGGAGGUUUGAGAGAUUGUUUUUUUUGGUAAUAUUUAAUAAGAUGCAGCCCGAUUUGUGCAUUGGAGGUGCAAGUUUUCAUGAAAUUGAUGAGGGGAUUUUACUGAAAUUUUCUCUCAUAUUGAUUCUUGAAGACCAUUUUGUUCAUCCUUUUGCAUUUGGAUUUUCAUCUUAAAAACCUCCAUUUUCUUUUAGAUGAUGUACUUUUUGGAAUCUGAAAAUUGUUAUUGCUUCUGGAGUCAAUGCUAUCAAUAGGGGUGUUAAAAGUGGCAUUGGUGCUCUCAAGCUAUUUGAGAGUUAUUGGCUUGAACUUGAGCUAUUAAUCAAAUCAAAUUCGAGCAGUUUAUAAGUCUAAUCGAACAUUUUGUUUUAAUAUGGUUUUAUAUUAUAAAAUUACAUUUUUACUCUUGUUAUAUAGAAAGAGCUUAAGUACAAACGAGCUCCAGCUUGACUACGAAUGAGCUUAAUUGAGCUUGAGUUCGAUCUUAAGUACGAAAAUUUAUAAGCAAGCUUAAUCCAGUUUGAUUAAGCCUUGACCCAAGCUCUAGCUUAAAAAUUAAUGUUUAUUCAAGCUCAAGCCGAGUAUUGAGCUUUGAGUUUCAAGUUGAACUCGUGCUUGUCACUAUUCAGGUUUGGUUAGGCUCAAUUACACCCCUAGCUAUCUCGGUUGUUAUUUUGAAUAUUUACUUCAAGCGACAUAUGUUGUCCCGUUAAUAUUUGUAUUUUUCUCAGGCACAACAAGGUGAGGUGUCUAUGAAUGCAAGCCUUCCCAGUCCCGGCUUUGGUGUCCAAGUAUCAUCUUCUUUUCCAUAUUCUGGUUUGGUGAGUACUAUUUUUGUCCUAAGUAUCUUCCUGUAAUAAUCAACCAUUUAUAGCAUUAAGUUCUAGACAAUUGGAGACUUAAAUACCUUAAUGUUCUUAUACUGAUAGCAUGACAGCACUUAUUCAUAUUAGUCCCAUCAAAUAUUUAUCUGAACAUAGAGUUUGAAAAAGUAUCCGGUAAUUCCCGUUCAGCCGGUUUUCGUGGUUCUGACUAUAGUUUUCAAAGGUGCAACCUGUGCUUUAGGCAUUAGAAUCCUUGUGUUUCUUGAGGCAUAAGGCACAAAAGAAAAAAGCUUACUUAAGUGAAGUAAGACACAAUAUGUAAUAAUGUGUGAUUUGUUACUUUUGUAUAUGUAUUUGUGUGUGUAUGUGUUUUGCCUACGGUCUUACAAAAAAAAUGAGUCCGAGUCCAACAGACAUAUGUCCGAUCAAAUGUAUGCUGCUUGAAAGGGUAUAAGAUGCUUUUGUUGUUUGACACUUAGAUACAGUGCUUAGGUGCAUGCCUUAACAUGUGUCUGAUUACUGGUAUUGCUGUUGUGUUUUCGUGCCUAUGCAUUAUCACCCGUCCACCGCGCUUCUUUUCCGCUUUAAUAUAUUUAAACAAGGUUAUAGCCUCUCUCUUUUUUGCCCUCUAAUUACCUUCUGUUACUUUCCUCUCGCUGCAGCCUAGAGCAACGAUUAGAUUCCCGAUGGGUGAAGUUACAUUGGAGGAGAGAGAAGAGGCGGAUGUACUGAGAACAUUGUCGGUAAAGGGAAUUCUUAGAGGUCAAAUUUUAAACGGGGUCUGUUCCGCUCAUUACGUUGAUGAAGAACUGAAAUUAAGAUACAUAUAUAAGGUGGUUAUUCCUCAUUGUUAUAAAAGCUCUGCUUCUGUUCCUGUUUAUGUGCAAAAUUUUGAGUUUGUGGGUGUUUUCUUUUACUAGAUGGUUUCGAUGUUUUUGUUGAAUUGCAGGAUCAAGCAAUGUCAUUUAUCCCUAGCAUUUCGAUACCGUCGAAUGCUGUAUCAUUUGCAUUCAAGCGACGUCUCAGUCCAUCUGAUAAAUUGAGGUUAGAACGCUGCAAUUUCUUUUAUUUUGCUCAGGACAUAACGAGCUCUUUUCGCAGUGGUGUCUGUUCUAUCGAAGUGUUUUUAUGAUCGGUUUUCGAACUUAUCCGCAGCUACUGGUACAAGCUUUAUUCGAACAAUUGGAGUGCUGUGUACAAGCACACAUACAAGAAAAGCUUCAAGCUCAAAGCUGGAUAUGAUUCAGAAGUCCGUCUCGGUUGGGCUUCUAUAUGGGUAAGCUCUUUCUAUUUGCCGAACUUUGUCAUCCUCGAAAGCAAGGCUCUCGUUGUUUACUCGAAAUAACUCAUAAUAUCCUCGUUUCAGGUUGGAGACAAAAACGGCAGGGCAAGGACAGCCCCGAUGAAGAUGAAAGUCCAGUUUAUGUUACAGGUACCGCAGGAUGACAUUAAGUCAUCGACGCUAAUGUUCCGAGUUAAAAAGAGAUGGGAUAUAUUGUAGUGUAGUCCCGUGCCUGCGACAUCCUCGUCUCGUUUCUCUCUUUAUAUUUGCAUAGUUUCUUUUUACCUUUUACGACGCUUCGUAAUGAUGCUAACUGUUAUAUAAUCACAUCAUUAUAUAUUUUGAUCAUAUCUGCUGUUUUUGAGACAAUUUCUAAAAGUAUUCAUAGCUCCUCUUCAACCUAUAAAUAGAAGGACAAUAUGUUUCAAAGCACUCGAAUACACAAUCUCCUGCAUUAGCAGCAAUGCUUAUGCUAAUCAAGUUAAGACUCAAUCGACAAUUAAAUAUUAGUUAAAUAUUCAUUAUAUACUUAUUACAUGAAUGGUUUAAAUUUGAUGUAUUAAAAAAAUUCUUAUAAUUAAAUUUGUGAUUCAUUAUAUACUUGCAAAAGAAUAGUGCAAGUGCACAUGACUUAAAUAUUCAUUUAGUCCUUAAAUUUGUUAUUCACCCUCAAGUUGGUACUUAUGAUUCUAAGUUGGCAUUCGAAUUUUUAUUUUGUGAAGUCUUUUAGUACUUCAUUGUAAUGAUGUUAAGUUUGGUAUAUGUGACAUUUUUAGACAGUGAUACGUGGUAAUGUUGACAUUAUUAUGAUAUCAUAAUUUAUUUUUUGAAAAAAAUAAAAAUCUAUUAUUUAAAAAAAAUUAUAAACUUUUUAAAAUCAUAAUUUUUUUAAAUAAUUAGAAAAGUUAGAAAACUCUAAAAAUAUAUAAAAAUAUAUACAAAUUUAAAAUGUUUUGUUAAUAACAUGAAUAAAAUUAUUAAAAUAUUAUUAAAUAAUUAGAAAGGGAUAUAGAAGAUUAAAAUGCCUUUUUUUUUAUUUAUAUUCCAUACACUAUCCAGAAAAGAAGAAGAAGAAGAAUUUGUAUUUAAUUUAUUGGUACCUUUCUUUUUUAUAUUCCCAUUCAAAUCUAUAGGAUAGAUUAGGAUCUAUAUCUAUUAUCAUAUAUAAAUCGAAUUGAUGAAAUAAACAAAAUGAAAAAAAAAUCUUUCUUUUUCUAUCUCGCCCAGUUUUUUGUUGUCUUACAUUUAUAAUUUAUACAUCUCCAUUUAUACAUGAAAACUACAUUAAAAUAAAAAAUGUAAAACCCAUUUUAUCUACCUAUGCAAACUUGAAUUUGAUUUUUUUUCCAUAAAUUGGUAAUUGGUCAAUCUCGAAGAGAGGGUAUGCCCAAUUUUCAUUUUCAACCAAAUUCGAAUGAGACUCGUAGUUAAUCUGUUGAAGGAUACAUAAUUUUGAAAAAAAAAGAGAAUAUUUUAUUACAUUAAUAGUCAUUUUUCUUUUAAUUAUAUGUAAAUAUAAAGAAAAUAUCGGAUAGUCUUUCCUACAAGAAAAUGUUCAUUUAUUGUAGUGGAAGAAAAUCAAUUAGUUCCGUGAUGAAAAUGAACUAGUUAAUAAGUUCAAAUAAACAAACUCAAAUAAUUCGUUUUUCUUUUAAAUUCUAGGACAUCUUAUAAUUUAUAUCAUACUUUUUUGGGGGAAAUUCUUUGUAUUUUUUAUUGAUGCAUCUAACUUAUUGUAAAUAGAAAUUACUGUAAUAUGUAUUAAUAAUAAAUAAUAAUUGAUACUUUCAGAAAAAUAUUACUAUAAUAAAAAAAAGAAUUCUUUUAUUUUUCAUUAUAGUAACUCGGUGAGAUCAUUUGAUUACUUCUAAUUUCGAAAUUUGAAUAUUUUUGAAAUAGUUGCGAAAGAUUAAAAAAUUAAGAAUAGAAAAUUUCAAUUAACUUUAUAAUCUCUCGAUUUUUUUAUUGCUCCUUUUCAAUCAAAAGAGAUAAGAGCCGGUGAAUCAGAAACGAUUAAUUAAGAAAGAAUAACAAAAAUUUUUUUAUGGACCAUGCAUAUUAGUAUUCAUGGAUCGUACCUUUUGUUCCACUUACAAUUCCUAUUUUAAUAGGAAUGAGACUCUUACUGUAACAACCUCUUUUUUUGUGGUGUUGAAAAUAGUGGUUUCGGGGCUACCAAAUUCGACGAGUAAGUUCGUAAAUAUUAUUAUUUAAUAUUUACGAGUCAAAUGUGAUUUUUAAAAAGGUUUUUGAUUUGAUAAUUUAUGCUAUAUAAGUGAUUUAUUAAGUUCAAGUGGUUUUAGAAAAUAAGGUAUCGGGAUCUUGUUUUUAUAAACUGAGCCGUAAAUAUUUUUAUAAAUAUUUAUGGAGUGUCAUUAAGGUGGUAUUAAAGUUUCAUUAAGAAAUUCUAACGUUUCAAUGGUUAAUUAAUUAAAAAAGAUCAAAUUAAAAAAAAGUACAUUCCCGGGACUCCGUUCCUGUAAAUCGGACUCGUUUGUGUAGUUAAUUAGGUUUCAAUUAAAUGAAUUUGCUUGAAUUAAAAGUAAUUAGAUAUAAGAACUAAAUUGCAUAUAAUAUAGAGUGAAAAUUGAAUUAUAGAUUAAAGAAAAAUUAAAGGGACUAAAGAAGCAAUUAUGUCAUUAUUCUUUAACAAGGUGGCAUAAGUUAAGAUAUUUAUAAAUUUAAUAUAUAUUAUAAUAAAAUAUGUUUUACUUAAUUAUUAAGAGUAUAUAUAUUAUAUUAUAUUAAAACAAAACAAAAAAAAUAAAAAAUAAAUAAAAAGAAAGAAAGAAAGAAAGAAAAGAAAAGAAAAAGGAAAGAAAGGAAGGAGAAAGCCACGGUUUUAGUGGCUUUAAUUGUUCAAAGUUUAUUUGGUUAGUCAAUUUAGUUCAUUUUUCUUUUAAUUUUUAUGUUUUUGGAAUCCCGAUAUUAAAUAUUACCCAACCCAUGUCAAAAUUUUAGAAAUUAUUGAGUUUUUAAAUGUUGUUAAUGUUGAAUAAUUUUAGUAGUAGAGAUUAAAUUAAUAGAUUUUUAAGUUAGAAGUGAAAAAGGAUUGAAUUGUAGAAAAAAUUGUAAAUUUUGAGUAAUAGGGACUAAAAUGUGAAAAAUUCAAAAUUUAGGGAUUUAAGUGAAAUUAGAGAGUUAAAUCUAGUUUACAGUGGAAAUUGAAUGAAAAUAUAGAAUUUAUUGUGAAGAAAUAAAAUUAGUCUCGUUUAGGGACUAAAUUGGAAUUUAGACAAAUGUUGAGUAAAAAUUGAAAUAUGCAAUUGAAUUGUAUUGUAAUGUAUUGUAUUGUAUUGUAUUGUAUUGAUGAAUUUUAAUUUCUUAGCUAACGUCAUACCGGAAUCCUCGACUAAAAAGGGGAAAGAUAAAGUCGACGAGGAAUAGCUCGGAAUUUUUGGUUUGUAUUUUUAUAAUCCGAAUUUAAUUGUUAAUUGUUAUAAUUCAAUUUAAUGUACAUAGUAAGUGUUGAGGUGAGAAUUAUUAUGUUUUGCAAUUGAAAUGGAUUGAUUUAGUAAUGUGAUGAAUUUAUUGAAUUUAUAUUGAUUGAAUUGGUAUAUAUAUUGAAUAUAUUGAUUAUUUGAAUUGAAAUGAAUAUUGGUUGUAUUUGAAAAGUGAAUUGAAACCCUAUUAACUGUAUCGGGUUGAGUCGGAUAUAGAUGGCAUGCCAUAAGAUUGGAAAAGUUCAAGGAUUUCUUCGACUUCGAGUCGAUGAGACAUUGGGUGUCCAUUUACUACUUCGGAUUAAUUUGAUGAUGCAUUGGGUGCCAAUUUACUUCGGUUUAACUGAUGAGGCACUAAGUGUCAAAUUAUUACUUUGAAUUAUCCGAUGAGGCACUGGUGCCAAACUGGUGUGUUUUGGUUGGAUCUGUGUAUCCGUCCGAGUCCGAGUCGUGUAAUAGGGGUAAAUGAAUAAUAAAGUUUUAUAAUUGAUAUUGAAAUGGUAUGGUAUGAGAAAUGGAAGUGAAAUAGUGAAUUGAAAAUAGAAUAUGAAAAAUGUUGCAAAUAUAUGGAAUAUAUGAGUUAUAUACUCAUGAAAUGACUAUGGAAUGAAUAUUGCAAUUGUAUAAUGAAAUGUGAAAUAAAUUGUGAAAAUCUAUUUAUAUAGCAAGUAUGAGAAUUGAGAUAUUUGUGAAACAAAUAAAAUAUGAUAUGGUUGUUGUAAUAAUUAAAUAUUAAUAUGUGUUUAUAUUUCAAUUAUAUAUUUGUAAUUUCUUAUCUUUAAAUAUUCGGAUUAUAGAAAUACCAUUGAGUUUAUACUCAGCGUACGGUUUUGUUUCCCCUGCGCAAAUUAGGCACUUAACUUUUGAUCGCUGAUUUAGCAUCCAACAACAAUCCCGAACUUAAAUGUAGUGAUGUUUAUCCUUUGUGUCGGCAUAUACCUAGGGUGUCUAAAUCAUAAUUAUUUUGUGGUUUGAUUGUAAAUGAGGUUAUAAGUUUAAUUUUGGUUGGUUUUAUACAUAUAAAUAUGUGUUUGUUUUUGAAGUCAUAUUAUGACAUGAUAAAUUGAACUAAAUCUAGAUAGGUGCAUGUGAUUUUAAUUCUAUGUUUAAGUGCUCGUGAACUAGGCAAAUUGAUUUGGAUUUAGUAUGUUUAUAAUUUGGAUUAAAAUGAUGCUUUGAUGACUUAGGGUGGGUUUGGAUGGGCGAUUGGGUACGGUGCGGUGCGUUUAGAUUACUUUUUGUCUCACGCUACAGUAUCGUUACACUAUCUAAUCUCACCGCCACCGCUGUUUUUACACUAACCACAGGUAAACGCACCGCCCAUCCGAACUCACCCUUAUUUUGAUGAUAUAAAAUGUUUAAAAUUUCUGUCUAUUUGAUCUGUAAACUCCGGUAAUGCUCCGUAACCCGGUUCCGACGAGGGAUACAGGUUUGGGGUGUUACACUUACUUUUUUCGAAUGCAACAAAAACUCUUCGUCGUAUGUGGGCUUUUCCCAAUAUUUUAUUGUUAAGUAUAGUUAUAAUUUUUUUUCGCUCGAUCUGUCUAUUCAGUAAAUAAAUGGAAGUUCUAUCUAUCAAUAUGUAUGGUCUUGGACCAUCAAUAAUGAUUUUUCUUUCGAGUUUGGCUACUUUAUUGAUUCACUUACCGAUCUAUUAUGUCAAUAUUAAUCACUACUGUUAGAUUUUUUGUUCUUAUUUAUAGUGACAAUUACAUGUCUCAUGAUGAAGGAUAUUUGAAAUUUUUUGCUUACAUGAGUUUGUUCAAUGCUUCAAUGUUGGGAUUAGUUACUUGUUCGAAUUUAUUACAAAUUUAUAUUUUUGGGGAAUUAGUUGGAAUGUGCUCUUAUCUAUUAAUAGGUUUUUGGUUCACACGACCCGCUACGGCAAAUGCUUGUCAAAAAGCGUUUGUAACUAAUGGGAUAGGCGAUUUUGGUUUAUUAUUAGGAAUCUUAGGUUUUUAUUGGAUAACAGGAAGUUUCGAAUUUCAAGAUUUGUUCGAAAUAUUUAAUAACUUGAUUUAUAAUAAUAAGGUUCAUUUUUUAUUUGUUACUUUAUGUGCCUCUUUAUUAUUUGCGCCAGCAUCAUUGAAUUGAAUUAAUAAAUAUUCAAAUAGAUAGAAUAGAUAGAAUUUGAAUAUCGAGCGGGUAGCGGGAAUCGAACCCGCAUCGUUAGCUUGGAAGGCUAGGGGUUAUAGUCGACGUUGAUUCAUUAUUUUUAGCGUCUCUAAUUCAAAACCGAAUAUGAAAUUUUGGUUUCAUUUGGCUCCUUUAUGGAAGAUGGAUAAAAAAAUAUAAUAUAAAUAAGAUAAAGGUAAGGCAGUAACGAAAUGAAAUAAGAAUUCGGCCCAUAACAUCUAUGUUAGCUUUUCUAUCUGAAUGCAUUCAAAACAAUUUGCUUUUUAGAUGAUCCUUCUAGAAGAGUGCGACUAGAAUAGAACAAUUUUUCUAGUUACUUCGUUCUCUAUUUCUAUUUGAGAAAAUCUUUAGGAAAAACAUUUUGUUUCCACCGAGCUAAAACAAGAUGUAAAUGUCUCUAGUAGACCAAAGUUAUCGUUUAAUAGCUAUUUUGCUUCAAUUUAUCCCAUCAAAAAAAAUUGAAGAUUUUGUUACAAAUAGAAAUACACUUGUCUAUCUUUAUCCAUGGAUCUUUUCCUCAUACUUAUUCAAUUGGAAGUAUUGAUCCAAUUGAAAAAAAAAUAUGUUUCGUAAUUUCAUAAUCCAAUUUUUCAAUUUUUAGUUAGAAUAUAAUUAAAAAAUUAUAUAUAAUUUAAUUGACCCUUGGAUCCAAAUCACGAGAAUAUAUAUUCUUCUUCAAAUCUUUCGUUGAGAGAUAAAGGAUUAAAUCCUUUUAAGAAAAAAAUUUUUUGCUCGGAAUAUGAAUCAAACUGAGGGACCCCUUAACUCUUAGGGGGAUUAAUAGAACGAGUCACACUUUUAGCACUAAACUAUACCCACUACAAUGCGAUUAUUGUAUUUAUUGUAUAUUUAUUGUAUAUAAAGGGACCCUUUGUCGAAUAGGGGAAUUGGGCGUAAUCAAGAUAGGAGCCACCUUUUGUCAGAAGACUUGUGUUAAUAGGAGUUUUGAUAGACAGGAUUUGACAGAAGGACUUUGUAACAGCCUAAUUUUGGGUCUAGUCGGAACAGUGGUUUCGGGACCACAAAUUCGACAAGAAAAAAAUUAUUUUAAAAUUUUGACAUGGGUUGCAUUAUGAUAGGAAGGUUGCAUGAAAAUACUGAUAUGAAAAUUUUAUCGAUUUAGUGAUUAAUUAAAGAAAGGACCUAUUUGUAUAAAAUGUAGAAAUUGAAUUUUAGAAGCUAGAAGGGUUAAAUAGCUAUGAAAUUCAAAACUAGAGGUCCUUAUAUGGUAAAUAUACUAUCAAUCAAAAGAUGAUAGAUUUUUAUGGAUGAAUCAUCCAUGGAAUUUGAGAAAAAGAAAAGGACUAAAUUGGAAUUUUCGAAAAUUAAAAGAUGAUAAUUAAUUACAUGAACAUAACAUCUUUUUCUAUCAUCUUCUUCCUUAAAAUUUACAUGGAAACCCUAGGAGAGAGAAAAGAGACUUUCUUGGCAUAAAUUGGUAAGUAAUCAUGUCCCGUUUUUAAUAUUUUUUAUAUUUUUGAGAUCGAGAUAACAUGUUCUCUCUAUUUUGAGGAUUUAUUUGAAAAGUUAUCCAGGUAUGGAAAUUGUGCCAUGGAUGAACAUGCUGAAAAUUGAAAAUUUAUGGUAGAAAAUGAAAGGUUGUUAGUAAAUAAAUAACUUUUACCAAGUGAUUUUGGGUGAAACUGAGAUUUAGGGACUAAAUGGUAAACUUGUGAAAUUCAAAGGAAAAUUUUGAUUUUUUUGUGAAAUCUAUGGACUGUUAUAGAUAUACAUGAAUUUCGUUUAGGCUUGAAAAGGGGAUUGAAUUGCAUGAAUUUCAUUUUUCGAGCCUAGGGACGAAAUAAGAAUUAAUGAAAAGUUUAAGGGCAAAAAUGUAAUCUUUUUCCAAAGAGUGAUUUUUGAACUAAAUUGAAUAAUGUGAGUGUUAAAUAAGUUAAAUGUGUUGUUAUAAAUCAAGAAAGACGAGAAAUUG
rnacentral:lncRNA from 1 species